rnacentral:lncRNA from 1 species
UUUGGGUGUAGGUAAAAAAAGUAUAUCUACUCCAGAAAAUUUGUAUUUCUAUGUGUCACAUUUUAUAAUUUGAAAGUUUAAUAAUAAAAUAUCUUUUUGGCCAAACGUACUAAGUGACACAUGAAAUAACACACAUUCUAUAAGACAACAAAUAUGUUUCAAUAGAGUAAAAAGUAAAAAAGUAUUUUAAGAAAAAAAAAAAAAUCCAGGGGGGGCAGCUGCCCCCACCUGUACCUUCCAUGCUCCGCCCAUGUGCAGAAGGUGAGAGUGAAUGAAUGAUAGAGGAGAGGAAUGAAUCACAAUGUAUAUUACUUGCCUUGAGUUUUAGAGAGUACAUACUAUUUAUAGAAACCAGUUAGUAACAGAAAAAAACUAACUUUCUGUUUAUAGUAAGAAUUACAAAAAUGCUUAACACAUAUAUCCAGUCUUUUUGGAUUUUUUCCAAUGCUUAUUCUUCCCGUUAUCUUUCUCUCUUCUCUGUCCACUCGUAACCAGUUUUAUCUGGCAAAUAUACAUUCUUUUUAUUUCUUUUUUUUUUUAUAAAUUAUAUCAUAUGAUUCUGUUUUUAUUCUUUUUUUAAUAAAUAAUAGUAAGGAGUUAAACACUACCUAUGCUUCUGUUUUGUGUUUUAAUAUAUUGAGAUUAAUGAAAACAAUAAUAAUUACCGUAGUAAAAUAAUGAAAUAACAAAUGUCCUUUUUGGUGAAAUGUAUAUUUAUACAAAUAUAUAAAUGAAAAACAUAAAAUUUCAACUUUUAUAUUUUGCUGUAAAUAUUAUUUAAUUUCUAUAUACAAAAAAACAUAAUCCUAAGUAACCACCACCAACCAUUAACAUUCAUCUCAUCUUAAAUUGAACAUUAUAAAAAGACAAAAAAAAAUUAUACAUUAUUCAAUUAUUGAAUUGAUCAUAAAUCGUACUCAAGGAUAAAUCCAAAAACAUACUGCAUGAAAGAGUAGGAUAGAUAAAGAGGUGCCAAAUAUACAUGUCUCUAAUAAAUAUUUAACAAUAGAUUAUUUUUUAUAAAAAUAUUAUUAAUAUAACAAAAUAUAUACAAAGAGAGGCCAACCACAUGACAUGGAAUUUCUUUAGCAUAUUGAGUCUUAGAUCUAUCAUGGGCACAUUUAGGAUAUUGUACUCACUAAUAGUGUUUGCCCAUUCAAAUCAUAAAAAUAGUUAAGGGAUUAUAUGACAAAGUAAAGGGGUUCGAUUCCUGUAAGUAACAUUUAUUAAGAGUAACAGUUAUAUUCCCCAAAAGAGAUUAGUUAUUUACCAAAAAGGGUAAGAGAAUCCCUUGGUAGUACCCAAAAUAAUCAAUAUUUACAAAGGUGUUCUAUGAAACCCACUCUAAUAAUCAAACAAAACUACAUUGACUUACUAAUAAUCCUCUUCAUUCCUUUCCCAUCACAAACUAUGUUUUAAAUAUACCAAUGACUAUGUAGUUACAUUAUCAUCUGCUCCAAAAGGCUCACAUCAUUAAUUUGGCUAAUUGUUCCCUUUGUUUCUGUAAUUUGUCACAUUGAAAUAUUCAGGAAGGUAUCAUUAAAUUUGCUGCUUUCAGAAUCAAUUAUUGAUGCAUGUAAAAAGAUACACAAUCCAAGAUAUAUCAAGUUCCAGAACUCAUGCUCAUAAAGAACAGUUAAGAACACUGGAAUUUACAGCAGUAACUCACAAAAACACCCUUCAGCCUUGAGAUUCAGUAUUAUUAGAGGUACAUUCUUGAGGCAACAUGGGCUUUAAGAUUUGCACAUGAUAUAUAAGUAUAGUGAAGCAAUUCACUAAAAGCAAAAUCUAAUACAUUUUAGGAAGAUAACUGCUUAACAACUUCAAUUUGCCCGGUCUCUGAGCACUUCAAGAUCCAUUUCUGUGGGAUCAGUAGCCUGGAUUUCAUAGUGAACACCAUCUAGCUGACGUAUAAACCUGUCUUUAGAUGUGGCGUAGAGCAUCUUGGCACGGAUGCGAGAUGUUGAAGGAGACCUAACCGAUAUCAUGCAGUGAAAGAAUUCUAGUUAUAUCAGUGGCAGAUUCAUAACAAAUGUAUAUAUGAAUUAAGACUACACACAAUGAUGAGUAUGAAAGCACAUUAAAAGCUACUAUAAAAAAAACUCCAACUUGUCAAUAAGGCACAGGACUGAAAAAAUGCAGCACUCACAAUCACAACAGAAAGAGGAGGAGGUCUAAUUCCAACUGAGAUAUUUAAACCUAAUACAGAAAAUGAUAAUGUGAUAGCUAAGAUACAGUUCAAACAAAAUAUAGAAAAUUAAUGGUCAAAGUAAUCCAUCAAACUAUAAGCAAAACCUUUAAAAUCAUAAAAUGGGUCAUCUAUUAUUUUCUUUCAGUUGCUUUGUACUCAAAGGUACAAAAUGCAACUAUUAGCCAAUGCCCUAGAUUAGAUUCUGCACGAGCCUCAAGUGUCAUGGACAAGGUCCAACAAACAUGAAGAUAAAGUACAAUACCAAUAGUGAGGUUUUGAAUUCUGGAGAGAAAGUAAACUAUAUCAAGGAUGUGCAAGUUUAGUUGAAGUAUAGAUGAACAAUGGACAAGACCUUCUUUCCCUUCAUGAGAUCAUCAUCUUAUCUGAAGAUACUAAAAUAAUUAUCUGCUAGUCUCUAGAAGACGAUACUUAUGGAAAUUUUGUAACUACAUAAUGCACUGGCAACAAAAUAGUAAUGUGCAAAUUGCUUAAUCUCAUCAAAAUUUGAUUUUCUUCUUUAAGAUAAGAUUUUUAACAAGAGGAUGAGCACUAGCAUAACAGUAAAGUUGUUCUCUUGUGACAUGAAGGUCACAGGUUUAAGUCAUGGAAAAAACCUUUCUACUUGCAGGAAACAAGUUUCUGGUUUCAGCCAAGGAAGCACUAGACAGUAUCCUCGUACAUUGGACUGUUUUUUUUUAGAUUUCAGCAAAAAAGGUUAGAAUCCCUGUCAGAACAAUUAAAUUCUCUAAAAUAUCAAUGUUAAAGUUAAAACUAGACAAAUUAACCACCCCAAAAAAUGGAAAAGAAAAUUACGCCUAACAGUUAGGCCAUUCAAGAAGCUUACUCAUGUAUGAUUCAAUCUAUUGAAGCAUGAAGAUGUUUGUGUUGUUUUAAUCACGUCAGAUUUUUUCAUACUAACAUAAGCAUUUGAAGACUGUAAAAUCUUAUCUGAAAUUUAAAUGCUCUGUUUGCCCUUAAAAUGUGACUGACAGAAUGCCCCGGUACAAAUUGAUUUCUGACAGCAGCAAACAGAUUAGAGAUGUGGUAAAAGGGAGAAUGGUACCAAAAAGCUACAAGUUUCUAGAUUCGCUAGAAUAUAAAGCUUAAUAAAUGAGUCAGCCUAGUGCAUGAGGCUCUCACCUAGUGGGGUAUGGGAUAGGUAGAUGCGCGCAGCCUUAACCUUGCAAGCGGAGAGGCCAAGAUUUGAACCUGUGACCUCAUCGUCAUAAGCCGCAACCUUACCAUUGUGCCAAGUUCACCCUCUAAUAGAAAGCUCAAUCAAUGUAAAAGAAAUUGCAUCUAAACAAAAACACGAAAUUCAGCCCAAAAUAAUGAAACAAUAAACAUAUGGUGCCAUGAAUAGAUAACAUGCAAAAUAUACACUAAAGGCAAAAGCAAGUAGCGUCAUGGCAUGUUGAGUUAGAGAAAUUCAAGUAACGGCGUAGUGCAUAAAUCAUAUGUGCUGCAAGAUUUCCCUUAUUGCACAUCAUGGACCACAUUUUACAAACAUCACUAUCUACUUUGUUAGUCAGAGCAACAAUGCUGCUCUUGAAGACAAAUACACAUGAAUAUUAAAGAAAGAGGUGGAAUAAACUAACCAUGCAAUGAAAAAGAUUUUACUCUUUUGACAGUUCUCAGAAGUGACAAAAUCAAAGUCGAAGACAGCAUAUCUGCAAUCGUUCUGAGGCAAAGAUGCAGCAAAAUCAUCAUAGCUCUCAGAUGGAACACCGGUCUUCUCAACCACAACCUCCCUUUUACUUUCAUCAAUCUUAAAGAUCACAUAUCGAUAAACCUUCUUUAGUUUCAAGUCCAUGAAUGUAUUUUGGCUGUGAUCAGCAACACCCAUUCCUGAUGAAGCAUUUGGCUGCAAACCAAAUGUAGCUGGGUCAACAAAGUGAUUUUUAAACAAAGAAAUCUCUAGUGCCUGUCAUUGAGAGAAAUUCUUGGUCUCUUGGGAUGAAAUUUCCUAACUUUUUACACCGGAAAAUCAUUUUCCUAAAUAGUGUAAAGUGAUGUUAAUAAGGGCACUAUUAGUUUCAGGAGAAAUUAGACUAACCUCUGUCAAAAUUUAACUUAAUUACAUCAAGCUGCAGUUUUUAUAUGAAAAUUUACUCCGAUCCACACUUGAGUUUAUAUUAUUACAUUUACAAAGUUGAGAUUUAUGCUAUCAUUACAUUUACACCCCCUUCAGCCUAAUAUCAAGUGAGAUCAGUAUAAUUAUGAAACCACAUAUAGGUACAAAAAACAACAACUUAUCCUUGAUCCCAAUAAGUGGAAGUUGGCUACAUGGAUCGAACUACCCGAUAAUGCUAAUCAUUUUCAUUUAUCUCUAAUUUUUUACUAAUGAUUUCACCUACAUUUUUUCUUGACCUCCCUCUUCCGAUAGAAAUUGGACAAACCUUCCUGUUUGAUCUAUUCUUCUUAACGAGACUUCCAAAAGUCCCCUCCACACGUAUUUCCAAAACACGGAAGAAGCGACUCUACCUUCUUUUCUACACCGAUUACAAAUAUAUAACUACAGACAUGACAAAAAUAUAACCUCGAGUGAAAUCAGUAGCAAUUUGUAAAGCUAAGGUUUAAAUGAUGGAGCAUAGAAACCAAAAGCACCACAUCUGAAAAAUAUGAUUCACCAAUCAUGACCCAGAAAAAUAUGGGAUUGGAAAGUAAAAUGGUGAUUCAAAGUUGAAAGCUUUUAUUUGUCUGGAAUAAAAAGAAAUUAGAGGAAUUUGAUUAAAGUAAGUGGGAAGUAGCAGAAGAUGAGAUUUGAAGUUGAUAAUCUUACACGGUUGAGCCAUCGGAAAGACAUGACAGGCAGAGACUACAGUAGAAAAGAGACAGAGAGAGGCGGCGAACAGUUGGUAACUUCGAUUUACUCAAAGAGGCAAAGCAAGAACUUUCGAUUCAACUAUAUAUAUAUAUAGUAAAUUAGAGUGACACUUUGGUGAAAUUAUUCACUCCAUUUUUUUUAUAAAUAUUGAUUACGUGCAUGAGGAAUAAACAUGAUCUAUAAAAUAAAAAAGAUGAUAAAGUGUAAUUAAGUUAAACAAAAUAUUAUAUAUUGUAGAGAAAAAUUCAAAUAAUAUAUAAUUCAAAACAUUUCCAUUAUUUUUUGUUUAUUAUAAGAUGCAUUAAUAAUUAUAAGAUAUAUUGUUUACAUCACUCUUAUAUUGUAUUGUAAUGAACAACAAAUAAUGAAAAUAUACUCACAUACUAUUUAUACUUCUAUCUAUAAUAUAUUAUAUUUUGUUUAACUUAAUUACACUUAUUACCUUUUUUUAUUUAAAAAUCAUACUCAUUUCUCACAGAUGAGUAGUUAGUGUUAUGUAUAUAUAAAAAUUAGAGGUUUUUUGUUUGUGUAAAAAAUAGAAGGAUAAUUUAGUGUUUAAGAUGUUCUUUAGAAUUGAGCAGGGAUGGUCAGUAUCGAACGUCAGUAGAAUGGAGAUGAUCAGAAGUCUUGGUCGGAAUAUUGUCUAGACUCGUCGGGGGAGGUACCUGAAAAGGUUCUCCGACGAUCAAGUCAAUAUAGAGUCUUAGAGAGUGAAUGAGAAUAAGAGAGAAGUUAGAACAAUAGCAAUAAGUGCAAGCAAUAAAUGAGAAUUAAUUAUACUUUUUAUGUGGAAUCCUCUAUUUAUAGGGUUUUGGGGCUGCUGAUAUGAAAUCUGGCCAUUGGUUAGUACAUGGUAGGUAAAAUGGAAUGUGCAAGUGGCGUGGCAGGUGGAAUGUCAGUUUGCAUUAAAGGUGAGCCAGUGGCGCAUUGAAGAUGAAGUUAGAGAUGCAUUAAAUAAUAGACUAGAAGCAUUAAUGGCACGUCAUAAGCAUUUAUGACACUUAUAGUGGGUAUUACCUACCUUAAGCGGGUGAGAGAGGUAUACAUAGCUUAGGUCAAAUGUCUGGGGUGGGUUAGAAACAACUUAGAUUUAUCCAGGGUGGAACAGUUGCUUCCAGUCUAUCAGGUCCGGCAGAAGUGGUCGGGCUGGUAGACUCAGGAUGUUCCGAUCUGGUGAUUUUGGGUAGCAUCUAGGUGUAGGGGUAGGUCAUGUCGAGCUCGCUUGAUACAUGAAUCCGGUUGUCAGUCCUUUAUCUUUUUCAAAGCUUCUAAUUCUCAGUAACUCGGUAAUUCCUUUCUCUCUUUUCCUUUUAGGCAUAAGUUUUUCCUGUUAUACUAAUGUUGAGCGGAGACUCUAGCCUUGACAAGGUGGAGAUCUUGUCCAGACCUGCACCUGUUUUUAUUAACGUCGCCCCUUGUCGCAGUCAACAAGCUCAGCUUGCUUCCAUUCUGGGUAGUAGUUGGUCCCUAUGGAGGCGACCGAAGCAAUUAUCCCUGCCGGCCUUAUUACGUAAUCUGAGAAAGAAGAAGGCCGAAAGUGAGGUAACCCUGAUGGACUAGGCAGCUCUCUUAGAGAAGUAGCAUCUGGUCUUGAAUAAUAUGUCCAGUUUGGAGUCUAACACUUCUUCUAAUGACAUGUAUAUUAUUGGGGGCUCUCAAAGUUAUGGAGCGGUCUUGUAUCCUUCGCUUGUUUUUCUAGAUGUUCCGAGUGACCCAUAGCACGAACAAAGACCAAGCUAGGGCUGGGCGCCAAGGGUGGACAACUCUUCAAUCUCGGAAUGGUCGCGCUCUUUCCCUUCCCUUCGAAGGGUCAGUAAAGAAUUGGAAGGGUGGCUUCUUCAGCGUGGAAGCUCGAGGGACACGCCAUACUUGGGCGUAUGGUCCCGACUACCUCCCCUCUUCCCCUUUUCUUGGAAUGGGGAAAUCCAUCAAAAGUCCACCGACUCCUUCGCUUUCGCAUAUGAACAGUUGGACGAUCGAGAGAAAUGGCGGAACAAGGACAAGUCGCCUGCCAUUCCACCUACCACGCCGCCUGCACAUUCCACCUGCCCCCGACAAGUCAACAAGCGCAGACCUGAAGGAGGAACAAAGACAACCCGACAUAUCCCCAUUGUACCUACCAUGUACUAACCAAUGGCCAGAUGUCAUAUCAGCAGCCCCAAAAUCUUAUAAAUAGAUGAUUCCACACAUGGAGUAUAAUUAUUUUCAUUCCUUCAUUUAUUGCUUGCACUUAUUGUUAUUGCUCUAACUUCUCUCAUAUUUACUCCCAUUCCCUCUUUAAGACUCUAUACUGACUUGAUCAUCGGAGAAUAUUUUCAGGUAACUCCCCCGGCGGAUCCAAACAACAUUCCGACUAAGACUUAUGAUCAUCUCCAUUCUAUCGGGCGUUUGAUACCGACCAUCCCCAUUCAAUACUAAAGAACAUUAGUGUUUAAGAUUAUGAGUGUCUUAACGUCAUGGAUUUUCCAUUUUAUAUACUCCUUUAUUUUAAUAUUGAUAAAUUCUCAAAAUACAACGAUAAAUUUUUUCAAACAAAUAAAAUAAUACUUUUUGAAUAAUCAUCCAUCAUUUUUUAUAUUUUUUUUUGUUCAUUUUAGUUUUCCAUUUCAUCCCCUAAUUAAAUUGUUUUGUUAAGUUUAUUUUGUUCAUUUUAGUUUUCCAUGUCAUCUCCUAAUUGUUUUAUAUUAAAUUAAGUUUAUUUUGAUUUAACCAUGUGCAACCAAAAUUUUAACAUAGCUAAGAAGGACUAUGUGCAAGAGGAAGAGAGAGUGCAGAGAGAUAAGACUGAAAGUACUCACUUAGUUAUGACCUCUCAAAAUAAGAAAAGAAAGAACAAUAAGGAUGUUGCGAAAGGGCUAUUUGUGUUUUCCUCAGAGAAUGUGGAAUUGUUCUACAAUACAUUAUUCCAUGCAAACCUAGCAUGAAGGGUGUUGUUGAGUGAUUAAACUGAACUCUUAAGGAUAUAGUGAGAAGUAUGAUUAGUCAUUCUUCCUUGGUAGAGUCUAUUUGGGGGAAAGCUUUAAAGACUGUAGUUUACAUCCUUAAUAGCAUGCCAAGUAAAGCAGUUAACAAAACCUCAUAUGAUUUUUGGACUGAUAAAAGACCAAGCUUAAAACACUUGCAUUUUGGGUUGUCCAGCUGAGGCACGACCUUAUAGGCUGCAUGAAAGAAAAGUGGACUAAAGAAUAGUUAGCGGUUAUUUUGUUUGCUAUGCUGAACACUCUCGAGACUAUAAAUUUUAUGAUCCCACUUCACGACUUUUUUUAGACGAGAAAUGCAAGAUUUCUUGAGGAAGUUGAAUUUGGGAGGAAGAGAACAUAAAGAAUGUUGUCUUUGAGAAAAAACCUACCACUAAUGGUGAGCAAGUUCUUGUGCCUAUUACCAUUCAAGGAACAACUUCGGUAAUAGAAGAUAAUAUUCAGAAUAUUGUUCCUAAAAAUAUUCUUGAACAAGACAACAAUGAGGUUCUCCCUCAAUUACCUAUAGAAAAUAUUCAAGAACCUCAAGAAGUAAAAAUGUCAUCAAGUAGAUCCACUAGAAAGGAGAAGUGCAAUUCCUGAUGAUUAUAUUGUAUUUCUUUAAGAACAUGAGGAUGACAUUGGGUUAACAUAAGAUGAUCUAUUGAACUUCUAUCAAGCCAUGAAAAGUUAUAAUUCUCAAAAGUGGAUCGAUGCCAUGAAGGAUGAGAUGAAGUCUAUGCAUAAUAAUGACAUUUAGGAUCUUGUCGAAUUACCUAAAGGUGCGAAACCUGUUGGUUGCAAAUAGAUAUUUAAAACGAAGAAGGAUUCGAAGAAUAAUAUUGACAGAUAUAAAGCUCGUCUUGUUGCUAAAUGCUACACUCGGGAAGAGGACAUUGAUUAUAAAGAAACUUUCACUUCAGUAACUUCGAAUGAUCCUUUUAGAAUAAUAUUGGAACUAGUAGCUCAUUUUGAUUUAGAGCUAUAUCAUAUGGAUGUUAAGACUACGUUUCUAAAUGGUGACAUUAAAGAAACGACCUAUAUGGCGCAACUAGGAAAAUUUGUGUUAGUUGGCUCAAAGUCUAUGGUAUGCAAAUUAAAGAAAUUCAUCUAUGGCCUUAAAUAAGCUUUCCAUCAAUGGAAUCACAAUAUUCAUCAAGCUAUUACCUCGUAUAGUUUUGAGGCAAAUAAAGUUGAUAGUUGCAUGUACCAAAGGUUCAGUGAGAGUAAAUUUAUAAUCUUGAUAUUAUAUGUCAAUGAUAUACUGCUUGUUAGCAGUGAUAUGAGACUAUUGCAUGAGACCAAGAGAUUUCUAACGAAGAAUUUCGAAAUGAAAGAUCUUGGAAAAAUUUCUUUUGUAUUAGGUAUUCACAUACUGAGAGAUCACUCUCAAGGUAUCCUAAGGUUGUUACAAUAAAGCUGUAUAGAUAAAGUCCUAGAUAGAUUUGGCAUGAAAUACAGCAAACCAGUGGAUACCCCUAUAGCUAAGAAAGACAAGUUUAGUCUUAAACAGUGUCCCAAAAAUGACCUUGAAAGAUCCGAUAUGCAAAAGAUUUUUCAUGCAUAUGUAGUAGGAAGUCUAAUGUAUGUUCAAGUUUGUACACGUCCCGACAUAACGUUUGUCGUGGGAGUUUUGAAAGUUAUUUGAGCAAUUUUAUAAUGCAUCAGUGGAAGACAAUCAAACAUGUUAUGCGCUACUUAAAGAAAACAAAUGAUUACAUGUUCAGUUAUUAAAUGUAUGAGAAUUUAGAGAUCAUUGGGUAUUUUGACUCCGAUUUUUGGGUGUCUAGACAAUAGACACUCCACCUCUGGAUAUGUGUUUAUCUUGGUUGAAGGUGCUAUAUCUUGGAAGUCUUCUAAAUAGACGCUCAUAGCUCCUUUAAUCAUGGUUGCGGAUUUCAUGGUUUGUUUUGAAACAUCAGACCAUUGCAUAUGGUUGCGGAAAUUUUGUCACUGGUUUACGUGUGGUUGAUGGUACUAAAAGACCACUGAGAAUUUGUUGUGAUAGUAAGUUUGCGGUUCUUUACUCCAACAAUAAUAUGAGUUCUAUAAAGUCAAAAUUUAUUGAUAUCAAGUUUUUGGUUGUUAAAGAAAGUGUUCAAAAUUGACAAAAUUCCAUAUAACAUAUAGGGACAAAUUUAUGCUAGUUGAUCCAUUGACUAAAGGCUUGGUAUCUAAAGUCUUUCAUCAGCAUAUUUCUCAUAUGAGUAUUGCUCCUUAUGAUACUUUGGUUCAAUGUGAGUCUAUAUGUUUUAUGACUUAUUUUGGACGUUAUAUAUAGUUUUAUGCAUAAUAAAGUCAAUGGUUUAUUGUUCUAUUUUGAAGUUAUAUAUUGUAAUUAUUGUGUUGCAAUUAAGGACUUUGGAUUGAUCUUACUAAAUAAUAAAGAAGGACCAGUUGGAAAUAGAUAUGUUUGAGAUCACAUUGCAUGAAAUUUCCAUGUCACUCAUCCAUAUUUGAUUUUUAUCAUUAGUAUAUUAAUAUGAUAUUCAUCGUGGUCGAGUCACGUUUGAAUGUGAUGAAGGUCGCUGUGGUUCUAUAGUUGAUAUAUGAGAUGAACCAGAUUGUAUUAAGGAGAAGUCUAAAUAUAAAUAGCAUACGGAUGUGCGCAUAAAGAAUAUGUGGUAUAAUUGUUUCAUAAAAAAUAUGAAGCUCAAGUGGAAGAUUAUUAGAAGUUUAUAAUUUCUAAUUAAGGUGGACAUCAUAUAUUUAAUACAAUUAUAUCGACUAUUUAUUUCGGGGUUGCAAAUCAAGUGAUCUAAUUAAUGACAACCUAAAAGACUUCUGAAACUUAUAACGAAUAUAAGUUUAAUGAGUGGAUACCCAAACAGUUGGCCUAUAAGAGAUAAUGGGAACCCUAUAAGUUAACACACAAGGAGCGGUUAUGGUCCCUAAGAUACCAAAUCACAAAUAGUUUUCACAUAUCUCCAUCAGAGAGAAAAUGAAGGUCCCAAAAGGAAUUAAUGAUUUGGUUCAGGAAGAUCAUCAUACCAAAACUCUCUCAAAAGAUAUAUCAAAUGAGUAGAUCGGAGAAUAUGGAUUCAAGGAUUCAGAUAUCAUUUUGUAUCCUUGUUUUAUAUAAUGUGUGAGAAUCAUGAGAUUUAAGAUCAUAUGAUUGAUAUUUCAGCAAUCGUUAGUAAAUAUCUAACAUUUUUUUGCUCCCGAAGAAGUCUCAAAUAUUACCCUAAAGAAUAUCUUGUAAAUGGAGAUGAUAGGGGUGUCAGGAGAUCCAACCAACAUAGUAAUGAUAGUGCGAUUGAGAUAAGAUUUGGUGAUUUAGAGGAGGAGACCAAUGUUGAAGACAAGUACUCUUUCAAUUUGGAUGCAAGGAUUGUUCAUGAAAAAACCAGAGAGGAAUGCCAUGUUGUCAUGUCCUUAUUUCUAUUUAUGUAUUUGUUUAAUGUCUAGUUCAAUUGAAAGGUGUCAAGAAAAGUCUUAAAACAAACCUAAUUCAGUGAAAUAUAAUUGAUUAAAGACAGUAAAAAAACAUGAUUUUUUUUGGACAAAUAAUUUUAUGCUAGGAAGACCUAAGAAGAGAAGGAUCAAAGCAUUAAAUUCAUGAGUUGUAUAAACUUUUUUGGUACUACUAAAUAUAUUUUUUACUGUAUGAUUAAGAAAUUAAUCUCUUAUAGGGUGUGUGGUUGUCACUUCUAAUAAAUGCUGCUAUUGAACCCUUAACAUUUUGGUCUUUCUGAGAAUUUAACGAGAUCUUAUAUCACUAGACCAAUGUAUAAUUGGUAUGAGUCAUAUAAACUACAAACCUUUUAAAAAUAGUAAUUUUUUUAUUUUCUAUUAUUAGUAAAUCAAAUCAUACUUGGUGAUAAUCGCCUAUCAGUUUUCAAAAUUGUGUAGUGUUUAAAAUUAUCUAAAAAAUAAUAUGAGCGAGAUAUUAAAUAAAAGAGAGUGAAUCCACUUAUUUUAGGAGUAGGUUCAAAAUACAUACUAUAUAUAUUUAGUAUAUGAAAAUUUAAUGGGUCAUAUGAACUAUGUUUUUUAACUUACUCGUGGAGUAAUGAAUUCCCUCUUCUUUUAGUACUACCAAAAGUAUCAAUUCGCCAUUUUCUUCUCUAAAUGAAAUAUAACAUUUUCUUAUAUAUAAAAUUAUGAAUUAUAUAAUAAAAAUACUCAUCUUUAACUUAAUUUUAUACAUAUAAAAUCUCAACUAAAAGAAGAUAAUAGUAAACUUAGUCCUCUAAAGAUUACAUUGGCAUUAACUUAGGUUGCCUUUAGUUGGGGAGAGUAUGUAGAGAAAGAAAGUAAAAGUGAUGGACCCAUCAACUUUUAGUUUCUUCUCUCAUGUUAGAAGAAAUGGUAAACAAAGAAAGUUUUUUUGUAUUUAUAACAAUGCAUUAGGGCAACUACAAUGAUUGUUCUUAACAUAAUAAGAAUUUGUUCCCCCAUUGUGCUAUUCUUAUUUUCUGAUUUUUAACAGUUUUUUGUUGUUCUUAGUCAAAGGAAAAUGAGGAAAGAGGUAGAUUUUCUAGAAAAAAUAGAUAUUGUGGGACCCAAAUAAAAAUGAAAUUUUUGUUAUCUAUUGGAGAUGUUCUUAGCUUUAUCAAAUCAUCAUUGUUAUUUAAAAGGGUAAAAUUAUCUUUUUAGCAAAAACACAUUUUCUCCCCUUCUAAUUCUUUCAUAUCAAAGAACUCUUACAAUCAACUCAUUUUUUCUUUCUCUCUAGUCAUACUCUUUCUUUUUAUCUUCUCUCCACUCAUACUCAUCCUAUUUUCUUCUGAAAAAAUGUUACUAAACUAUUCCCUUAAAUAUUAUAUUUUUCACCAAGUUAGUGAUUGAAAGAAAUUGUAAUCAUAUUAAGCCAUAUCUUAUCACAUUAGUUUCUUAAAGAACAUAUAUGUUGGUGGUACCGAAUAAGAUGAGAAAUUGUACAAAUAUUAAUAUAUUUAUCAUAAUUGAAUAAUCUUUACUUGACUUUAACUUAACUAUGACAGUUAUCAUUUUUUUAAAAUCAUUAAUCAAUAUGCAAAGAAUUUUUAUAUAACCUAUAUUAUAAAUAUAUGGCCAAGUUCAUGACCAUCCAAAUAUGAUGUUAUAAAUAUUUUACAAAUUUAUCACUAACUUAGUUUUUCAAAGGUCGUGGUGUCAUGACAUAAUUUUCCAAUAAUUUAUUUUAUUAAACUUGUCCAUUAAAAAUUAGAUUUGGUAACACGUAACACGUUAGCCCUUUAUUAACAGAGAUAUUAACUUCAAAAAAAACCUGUCUCUGAAAAAGUAAUACUUUCAGCUUUUUGAAAUAUAGUCUUUGAAGAUUAAUCUAAUAAUUUUUUAUCCUCUUUAAUACUAGAGGUCAAAUAUUUGAAUUCGGAGCUCAAAUUAUUUUUAUGAUAUACUAGGUCAAAUAUCCGACGAAUGAUAUUACAUAUUCAAUUUUUAUAUAUUAUAUUUUUUUUGUUUAUGAUAAUGUUUAAUUUAAUGUGAGAUAUGUGAUUAAUUAAUGCAUUGGUGGUAGUUGCUUAGGAUUAUAUAGUUUUUUUUGUAAAAAUUAAAUAAUGUUAAGAGGAAUACAAAAAAUAUUACACCAUGAGGGAAGUUAUUUCAAGUUUUGGCUUUAUAUAUAUAUAUUAUAUUUCAAAUUUGCACCGUCCAUUUCCUUUGUUUUUUCAAAACACAUAUCAUAAUCUUUUCUUUUAAAUUUCCUGGAGGGUAAAAAAAGAUGUAAUGAGAUUAAUCUAAUUACAAAUUUAUUUGAGAACCAAGUUGAUGAUUCAUCUUUACAUGCGAAAUUAACCAUAUGGAUCCUCGAAAAACCAAAACUUUGGUUGAAAUGGAUAUGUUCACUUCAAAGGAAAAUAACUCCGUUUCUACACGUUCGUUUUAUAGCGUGUGUUAGGUGAAGACUGUUCUAGUUCCUUUGAGAGCCUCGAAAUCCUUUACCUUUUCAUCAAAUUUGAAUUCUUUCAAUGGAAUUGCUGGUAACUACUCUAACAACAAGCCUCUCUCUCUUUUCUUCUGUCUGUGUAUUGCAAUUUCUAAUUUUUUGCAUUGAAAAAACUUCAGGAGAAGCUGAAGAUGCAGAAGAAAAAACAACCAGACAAUAACGAAGUCGAAGGUGGUCCUGUGUUUUGGUUUGAAACCUCUGUUUCUGUUUCUCGCCGCUUUCAGUUUGAACCACAGGGCCAACUUUCUGUAUGUUCCUCUCUCUCUCUCUGUAUUGAUGUGUAAAUUAUAAUGAUAAAUGGGUAUUGGGUCUAUGUGUGAUUGAAUUGUGGAUGUAUAAUGUAGUAGUAUAAAUAGGUUUAGGGUUAAUUGUGUUUGUGAUAAGCAAAAGAAAGAAAAAGAGUAGGUAGCAGAUAGAAAAUGAUGUGUAAGAGUAAUAAGUGAUGGGCACUUUUGAUUUGAGAAGAAUAUUUGCAAGGUACCACUUUUGUACACUUUCUUUGAGGGGAAAAGUCUAGUUUCUCAAGCUAGGGAUUAACAUUUUAUGUUUUGUACCUUUGUUCAUUGUUAGUAUCAUAUUAUUAGGUAAAUGAUAGUACUUAAUAUGUUUGUAAUGAGCCAAUGACUAAUGCUAACCAUUAAAACAUUGAUUCUGUAUUUUCACUUAAUGUGAUUUUAUGUUUAUUUUAUACUAAUUUUAUAUGUUGAAGCAUAGCCGUUUUGUAAUAUAAUUUAUAUAACUGCUGUGUCAUGAUAUCCUUGCUUUAUGAAUUUGUAUCCUAUAUUCCUAUGUCAUCUACUCAUAUGUGUGCUUCCUAGAUGAGUUUCUUUGAAGUCUAGGUUUGGCCAAUCCUUUCCUUUCAUUACCCGGAAAAAAUGUAUAUUUUAUUUUUCGUUUUCUAUGCAGGUAAAGAUUGUUGAUGAUUCCAGACCAUUGCACAGCAGGGUUGUUGAGUCUUUCCUGCAUAAAUUUUUCCCUUCUGGAUAUCCAUACAGGUAGUUUGAUUUUUUAUUGAAUAUGUUGCAAGGCAUAGUUAUUAUAUCUUAGACAAGCUAGUUUAGAUUUUUAGUGUUCAAUUUGCAGUGUGAAUGAAGGCUACCUUACCUACACUAAGUUUCGAGCAAUGCAACACAUUACCAGUGCAGCACUAUCAGUGUUAUCAACUCAGGUCUUCUUCUGAUAACUUGAAAACCUCAGCAAAGCAUGUAACCAUAAAAAAGUUCACGUCUUUGAUGUUCUAAAAUAAAAUCCAUUUACCUAGCCACUGAAAGAAAAGGGUGGUCCAGUGCACGAGGCUCCCACCUAGUUGGGUCUGGAGAGGGUAGAUGUGUACAAUCUUACCCUUGCAAGCAAAGACGUUGUUUCCAGGAUUUGAACACAUAACCUCUAGGUCAUAAGGCAAGCAACCUUACUGUUGCGCCGAGGCUCACCCUCUAAAAAGGAAGCCUAGUGUUACUGAAUGUAUGAUGUUUUCCAUUUCAUAUUUGAUUUAUUCCUUAUAUAGUAUAGAAAAUAUUUCAAUGCCUCUUUGGCUGGUACAAUUCAUUUAGUGGUUGUAAUUUUUACAAAAAGAAUCUAUAUGAAACAAUUGUGUGUGAAGUCUAUGUCUUUGGUCUGUAUGCUUAUUCUUCUGCAGUCACUGUUAUUUGCUGCAGGCUUGCGUCCCACUCCUGCACAAGCAACUGCUGUUAGCUGGGUAAAUUGAUACUACAUUCCAAUUGACUAUUUCUCGGACCAGUCGUGGUGGCAUCCAUUUACGAUAUAACAUUUUUUUUCUCUUGUUGGCGUCCAGAUUUUAAAGGAUGGCAUGCAACAUUUAGGGAAUCUGAUAUGUAGUAAUUUGGGUGCAAGAAUGGAUUCAGAGCCUAAACGUUGGAGAAUUCUAGGUUUGCAAUUGAGCUGUUGCUUUUCAUUUUUUCUUGUAUUAGCUCUUAUGACACUAUCAAGGUUUUUGACUGCAAUAAUCAUUGCAUCGCGCAGCCGAUGUGCUCUAUGACGUUGGCUCUGGAUUGGAAGUGCUUUCUCCCUUAUGCCCACAUCUCUUUCUUGAAAUGGCAGGCCUAGGCAAUUUUGCUAAGGUAUAAUUUUUAUUGAAUUUCUUAAAUUAAUUUUACAUGUUGGUAUUUGUUGCUAACAUGCUAUGUAAAGUUGAUAUGAUGCUAAUUGUUGAUUCAUGCAUCUGUAUGUCAUGAUAAAGAACUUUAAUGUCAUAGUGAAAGUGACUGCUCAUUAACCUAUUGUUAUUGUUUUAAUCAGUUCAUGUUUACUCUUAGUCUGCUUAAAAUUGGUGUAAAGCCAUUUACAAAAUUUAAAUUUUAAAUAUUGAAACAAAAUAUGAAAGAGAGAGAGAAUGAAAGGCUCAGAGAGAUGUUAUGCUAUAAACGGAUGAGAGAGGCUAUAAUAGUUGGAUUAGAAAAAAUUCUAUGAAAUAGAGUUCGUAAAGAACCAGUUUCCCCCGCUUAGGCGCCUGCCCUGGGAGAUUGGUCUUUCACAUAUCGGGUGGGAGGAUACUUUGGAAAACCAAAAAAAUAAAUAAAAAGUUAGGUAGUUACGAAACACUGUUCAUUUGAAAGGUAGCUCUUGUGCUCUUACAUAUCUAGUUUUUAGAAUUCCAGACAUCCCUUUAUCUUUAUAUUAUUCUGUAAUCAACAGGGGAUGGCAGUUGUUGCAGCAAGAGCUACAAGGUUACCUAUAUAUUCUGCGUUUGCCAAAGAAGGAAAUCUCAGUGACCUAUUUGCUAAAGGGGAGGCUAUUUCGACUCUCUUCAAUGUUAUUGGAAUUGGAGUUGGAAUUCAAUUAGCAUCUACUGUAUGUUCGUCAAUGCAGGGAAAGGUAAAAUGUCUAUAUAGAUUAUCUUUGCUUGUUCUUGGGAGUUUAGUGUUCAAUAUUUUCUUCAGUUUUUGACUCACAUAAGAAUUUGCGCAAACCACCCAUGAUUGUCGCCAUUGUUUGUUACUGGAAUGGGUGAAGAUUGUUGCGCAGGUUGAGAUCAGAAAUUUGAUGUUUUCUAUUGAAUGUGGUGGCAAAGUUGUAGAUUAAAUGUAGCUUAUGAAGUCAUCCCCAAGGGUAUGGAUCAUAGAUAUUGUUUAUUGGAAAUUAGAACAAUUACUAAAAAAAUAUGAAAGCAAGUGAUUUUUUUUCUAGUUUUCUUAUAGAGAUAUAAAUAUGCUUUGUCAUAUUUUAAUGAUAAAUAUACAUUUUAUUUAUGAUUCCAAACUGAUGGAUUAUGAAAUGUUUCUUGUUAGUUGGUUGCGGGGCCUAUACUUUCAGUUCUACAUGUAUACAGCGUCAUCGAAGAAAUGAAAGCUACUCCUAUCAAUACCUUAAAUCCACAAAGAACUGCAAUGAUUGUGGCUGAUUUUCUCAAGGUCUGCUUUACAAUAUUAUCAUAAAUGAAUGUUCUCUUGUUUCCCUUUAAUUAAAAAGAAAUUGAAAUGCUGUUUGACUGAUAUUUGAAUUCCAAACCAGGCAGGAAAUGUAUCAAGCCCUGCUGAUCUCAGAUAUGGAGAAGAUUUGCUAUUUCCGGGGCGUCUCAUAGAAGAUGCCGGAAAUGUGAGAGUGGGUAGGGCUGUGCACAAGGUUAUUAAGCCUUCAAGGUUUGUUGAAUUAAAACAAAUGUUCCCCGAGGAAAAGUUUCUUUUAAAUCGAGGCGAUAAAUGCAUUGAUAUGGUACUGGCAAAAGACGCGGUCGGCGAAGAUGCAUUGAGAGGGUGGCUAGUUGCUGCAUACGCUGCACAAAUCGACAAGUCCUCUCAUGAGCUCAGUGCCAGUACCCUGCAAGAGGCCUAUGAGAGAAUGAGUGAUGUCUUCCCUGUGUUUUUAAAUGAAUUACAGAACAAAGGGUGGCAUACUGAUCGUUUUCUGGAUGGAACCGGGAGCCGCUUUUCCUUAUAGUGUUCAAAUAGAUCCUAUAUUGACCUGAGUAGGUUUUGUAACCCUUUUUGUGAUAUAGGAUGCAUUGCAGUUAAUGGUUCAGAUAAGUUGAACUUGAUCUCACUCUUUUUCUGCAUUGCUGGAUGGAAUGUUAUAGCUUUGGUUUUAUUGUUCUUCUUUCUCUUGCAAGUUGCAACAAUGUAGAAUAUAUUCAUGGUAUUCUCAGGACUUGUGUUUGACCUUGUUUUCUUCUCUUGGUGUUGUCCUUUUACUAUUAUUAAUUUGCAAUAAAGAAUGUAUGACUCUGGAAUAGUGAAAAGUGUUAUUUGCAUAAUUAAUAAACAUCAGAACUCAGAAGGCAAGUUUUGAUCACUGACAGAAUUUGAAGAUAUGGUACAAACAUUAAGACAUACCGGAAAUUCAUUUGUUUAUAGUAGAUCUUGAAACAAUGUUAAGUAAUCUAUCUUUUAUAUUUCUCAAAAUACUCUUCAGGAAUAGCUAAAACAAGAAAAUUGUUCCAAGAAAAUUCCUUCAAGCUUGUGUAUUCUGAUGAGCAAUUUUAUGGAGUUUAUAAGACUGCUCUUCCACAGUCUUGUCAUUUGAUACUUAAGGUAUCGGAUUAUAAUAUAUUUCUUCGUUCUAGCUUUCUCAAUGUUUUACUUCUUCCUGAACACAUCUCCUACCUAUUAGGAGAGUUGUUUAUAGAAUAAUAGUCAUAUAGGUCAUCUCACAACUUAUUAAAGAUGGAAUUUUUGAACAAAAAAAUCAUUCUCCAUCAAAACAGACAAAUCCUUAUUUUGUUUUUCUUUUUCCUCUUAAGUUGCAAAUCCAGUAUACUAUUAAAAGAUGUUGUCACUUAGCACAUGAUAAUACUCUAAGAAAAUUAAUCUUUCACCCCCUAAGUGGAGCUGUUUGAAAAUUAAAAAGCAUAGUUAGUUCUACAUAAAUUUUAUCUCACAUAAAAAAAAUAAAACAAAAGAUGAAAAGAUAAUAACAAAACUUCAAAAGUAACAUUUUAUCAUGGCGCAAAAGUACUAUUAUAUUAUAUGCAAACUCUGCAAUUUACAUAGAUAAGGAGGCUUGGAAGUACACAAGGCCAUAUUUUAUUACUAAACGUUACUACAAGUUCUCAACAUCCAAAACUUAUUUUAUUUUAAGAUGGCCACCUUAUUUCAACACCAUUGUUAUUUUCUUAUGCAACCUUAGGAAGGGUGUGAUCCUCAGACUCAGACUGAGGACUAACCAAAGGACCCUGGUUUCCACUGUACUUGAGCUGGCUCACCUGAUUCAGGCGAAGACCGAAAGCAUUGGCAAGAACCUCUGCAGGGAUGCCCCUAAACACUUGCUUAACUGGGCUAGUUGCAGCUAAGUCAUUUGUUUUGAAUGCUAUGAACUCAAAUCCUUCAUCCCCUGCUUGGUGUGCCACAACAAAGUUCUGUGGCACCACUAGAAGUUGUCCCCUUCUAAGGUCAUCAUUGAAAACUGAGUUGCCUUGGCAAUUCACCACUUGAACCCUUCCUCUUCCUCUAGUCACAAAGAUCACACUGUUUGCAUUGAUGUUCCAGUGUGGAGCAUAUAUACCAUUCUGCAUGCAUACACUAAUUUCAUGUUAAUAUAAAAUCAUGUUCAUAUAUAUACCAUAUUAUGAUAAGACAGAAUAAUAACAAUUGAUGUGUAUUUCAUAUUAAAACUAUUAGUGUCUAUUUUCGAGUUGGAUUAUGGAGGGGAAUGAAAAGAAAAGAAGGCUCGAGAGCCAUGAAAUACACUUUUCAUUAUUUCCCUUCCAAAACUUAACUCACAUAAGAACCCUCAUGAGAAGUUGUUGAAAUAAUAGUGGCUAAAGUUAAGGUGAUUAAUUACCCUGUAGAGGUUAACAUAGUCAGCACUAAGUUGGAACCAUCUGAGAAUUGGGAGGGUCAAGCUAUUGACACUGCUGAUGCGGCCAGCAUUUGGGUUGUAGAGAUCAGCACGCGAAGGUUUAGCAAUGUUCUCUAGAAGCCUAGCAGUGCAGAUAGUUUCCUCAAGUCCAUUUCUACUUUCUUGUCUCUUUCUCCUUCCUUGUUGUUGCUGCUGCUCUUCUUCUUCUUCCUCUCUUUGUUGUCCUGAUCUGCGUCCUCUACCUCCGUGGCGUCCUCGCCUUCCUUCUUGUUGUUCCUCUUCUUGUUCUUGUUCUUGUCCUUGUUCUUGUCCUUGUUCUUGUCCACGCCCUCUUCCUUGCUGGCGACGCACUCGAGUACUUGUUUCUUCUUCCUCCUCCUCUCCUUCUUCUCCUUGUGCACGUCUGUGUCGGGUUGUUCUCUCCCAUUCACGCUGCUGUCCUCUUCCUUCCUGCUCUGACUCUGACUCUUCUUCCUGCUCUUCUCCUUGGCGUCCUUGUUGUCUUCCCGGACGCCUUCUAGAUUGACGCUCAUAGCGUUCUCGAGAGCGAGGUUCAUCCUCUUCUUCUUCUUCCUCUUUCUCCUCUUCUCUUCUUUCCUCUCUUCGUUCAGGCUGUCCUCUCUGGCGCGGUUCUUCUUCUUCUUCUUCCUCUUCUUCUUGCGACUUGGGGCUGAUAAUGCUGAGACCUCUCUUCACUCUCACAAUUUGCUUCAAACGUUCAUCUGGGUUUUGUAGUCUGUUUAUAAUCUCCUCAUCAACGUUGAACGCUUGAGUCAAAAAUUGUGGGUCGAAUCCACUCAACACGUUGUUUUUUCCUUCUUCUUCCUGCUCCUGCUGGUGUUUCCCACGCCUGCGUCCACCAGCACCCUGUUGCUGCUCGCGCUGCUGCCCUUGUUGUUCCUGAGUUUCUGGAUGCUCUUCUUCUGGGUUCCCAGCAAUAUAGAAUCUCUGCAAAGUCAAGUAAAUAAAAAUAUUAAGUAACAAAUAAAGAUAUAUAUAAACUGCCACCCAAUCAAAGAGACUCUUACUUAGUGCAUUUUAGUUUGUGAUCGUGAUUGUAGUCACAAUUGUGAUUAUUCUCAUUACGUUAGUUAUAAUGUAAACUAUUUUAUGAUUAAAUAAGUAUUAUUUAAUUCGAUACAUCAUGAUACAGCCCAAAUGCGAUCCGAUUACCAUAUAGUCUGAUGAUGCAACUACAUCAUUGUGAAUUAUUAUGAUGUGACACAAUUGCCGCGAUCACAACAACUAUAAUAUUGCGGUUGCAUCUCCUGAUAUCAAGGUAGUAAAGUAUACUUACUCUUGGGCUUGGAUCAAGCUGGUUUAACAAGCUGGUGGUGUCAAGAAGGUUGAUGGCAACCAACCGUUGUUCACCAUAGUUAUAGGUCCAGUAAGGGAUUCCAGGUGGAAUAGCAAUGAUGUCACCUUCCCUGAAGUACUGAAUCUUCUGGUGGCUAUCCUGUUGUUCCUGUUCCUGGGAUUGUGAUCGUGAGCUUCUUCUCCUAGGAUCUUGGCUGGAUUGUGAUUGUUGUGCCUCUUCAUAUGUUUCAGUACAUCCAGGAACUGAAAUUCCUAGGGCUCCCUCACCUGUAGUAUGUGAACAUGCACGUAAGUACUCACAAAUAAGCAAAUAAAAUAACACAAUCACAUUAGUGGCCUAUUGUCCUUCAUUGUAGUUAUUUUUAAUACCCAAUAUUAAUAUUCACUAGUAUUUUAAAUUGUGGUUACGAUUGUAAUCAUUAUGAUGCAGAUUGUACUGUCAAUUAUUUUGUGAGUACUUUUUUUUAAAUUGCAGCCUGAUGCAGUUGUGUUACGGCCCAAAUAUGGUUAGAUGCAGUUGCGUUGCAACCCAAUGUGACCUCAUCAUUGUGAUUCAGCAUCACAUCACAAUUGUUACGAUAUAAUGCGAUUGCAACGGUCACCACAACCACAAUAUUGUGGCUGGAUCACAUAAUGCGGUCCACAAUUUAAAUAACUUGACCAAUUAAUAACACUUAAGAUAGUGGCAACAACAACUACACAUAUUGUUGUAAGACUUGUAAUUUGUAGCAUUAGGAAAUUAAUAGGUGUGACCUUCAACGAUGAAAAUGAGCUGAGGAUAAUUAGUGUAGGAUGGCAAGUGCAGUCCUUGGGGCUGAAUGGUGUGCUUUUCAAAGGCAACACCAGCACAGCGUAGCUCAGGUCGGUUGGAGUUCCAUGUCUCAGUGACACCACCCUCAGACUCAACGCGGUUAUCGGGUUCUAACGCGUUGAGUCUAUCGAGUUGGCACUCCUUGUACCUUUCAGGCCUUUCUGCUAAGCAGAGACUAGAGAGUAACAGUAAGCAAAGGGAAAAAGAGAAUAGACAAGGCUUUGCCAUUGUGAUGGAACAAACAGUAGCAGACUGAACUUGGUGAAGAGGAGAACCUGAGCCAUGAUUAUUUAUAGUGAAGAUAUGAGGGUAAAUGAGGGACACGUAGUGAAGGUGUGUUUCCGAGCUAGUGACAUUCUUCAUUAUGCAUGGCUAUUGAAACAUAGAGUUGUUACACCUCAUAACUUUAGUUCUUCAUGAUUCACAUAAUAAUCCAAAGAAUGGAAUUGUUUGUAUGUUUCAUUCAUAUCUUGAUUCUGAUGUUAAAUGAAUCUGGCCAAAAUUGGAGGGACCCUAGAUGGUCCCCUUGUAGAUCCUCCGCGUCUAUUAUUGUCCUAUGUUCUUAAUUUACCUUUUAAUUUGUAGUGCAUGGAUUUGAGUUAUAACUCAUUAUGGAUUCUUUGCCUUGCAUAUUAUUUCAUGAUGGACUUUUUCAUUCAUGUCUCAUAUCUAAUUAGAAAAUGAGUUUAAAAUUUGCAAUAAUAGUAUAAAGUUUUUUAUAAUCUACAUCGAUUUAUAUUACUUUUGUUUGAGAGUCAAUGCUAGUUAACAAAUGAUUUAUUGACAGUGUAAAAAACACUUACACUGUCAGUGCAUACAUAUUAAAUCUUUAGAAAAUAUCAUUUCAUUAAAAAGAAAGAGGGAGAUUCACUUAUUUCAUCGUAGCCAUCAAUUCUACGAACAUCUAAUGAUUUAGAUCUAUUCACUAAUUCAAACUAUUGGAUUUUUCUAUAAUUGAUGGUUAAGAUAAGGAGUAAAUUUACACCUGGAGUGAGUGAAUCCUCCUAAAAAAGAAAAAUCAUGAUAAUAAAAAUUAAUAUUUUUAUAUUAUUGUGUAAUAUCUGGUUGGCUAGGGACAUAAAGAAAAAAAAACCCCUUGAAACAAAUAAAUUUGUAUAAUAGACUUAAUAACAUUUCAAAAGUUAUUUUGGAAACUAAGUUUUGAAUAUUGUGUACAUUUAUUUUAAUAUCUUACUUGCCCUUUAUCUUUGUUGUAUAUAUGCAUUAAAAAAACAUAUCAAAGUUGAAAGUAACAUCCUAUAUUAUCAGAAAAGAUGUAUCCACUGAUAUAAAUGUCAUGCAUGUUUUUUACACUAUUAUUGUAUCAUUUAAUAUUCAUGUUGAAUUAACUCUUAAAUACAAAUAAUCCAAAUAAUAACUCAAUGUUUUUUAGACAUCCUACAUUAUUCCACAAUAAUGUAUUGAACAAUCUUGAAUUUAAUGUCAUUUGAGAGAAAAAAGUUGUAGCCCAAGGGGAAAAAACAUUUGAGAGAACAAUUCACAUUUAAAUGUGCCAUCUUAAUAUAGUUAUUGAAUGGUGUAAAAAUAUUGAGGGAAAUAGUUUUUCAUGUAUUCUUUCUUUAAACUUCAAAGGACGGGAAAGGCCAAAGUCCGGAAUACAGAAGAAGAAAACUAAUUGGAUCUGCACCUUUAUUACGUAGAUAAUAAUUGUGGCUCCACAAAUAACCAUUAUAUAUCAGAAGUUAUCACAAUAUAUGUGAAGGGAUUAAUUAUAUUCUGAAAUGCAUAAUAGAUAAUACACAUCACGGUCAAUAUGAAUUCCAUAACCGAACUGUUGUGUGUUGGCAUGAAAUCUCUCACUUUUGGUUUAUUUCUAUCUCAAAAUAAUUAAAAAGAAAAAUCAUAAAAAUAUAUAAAAAAUUUUAUAUUAUUUGAUGAAAUGUGAUUAGUUUCAGAUAUAAAGAUAUAAAUUUUUUGGGUCAUGUAAUUCUUGUAGAAAAAUUGAGUCAUUUUAAUAGAACAAAGAUUAGUUAUCCUAAAUUAGGAUGAAGAUCACAUAUCUUAACUUGGUUUUCACAUUCAUGUCUCAUUCUAAUUAGAUCUAGACACGUGUAAUUAUGUAUAUUUGUAUAAAAUAAAAUGUUAUUUUUUAUUUGUUGACAAAUAUUGAUUGGUUCGAGACAUGAAAUAUGAUAUUGUAAGGGACAUAAGAUCUCCUUUCCCUAAAUAAUGUCUAUCAUGUCCCUCACCAAUAAAAUUAUGUUUUGUCAAUUACAAAAAUUAAACAUUCAUUGUUUUUCUAAUUUUCCUUUAAUAUUGCGAUAUAUAAUUUGUUACAUACUUAACUAAUUUAUUUUAGUAGGUGUUAGAUUAGAGCACUAAAUUGAGACAAUAGUAAAAAGCAGAUUAUUGAGAGGAAUCUUGCAUAGUAUCUAAUUAUACAUUGAAAGGGUAGCAUCUCUAAAACAAUCAGCCUUUAUUUCACUAAUUAGGAAUGAGCACAUGGUUCCAAAUAUAUUAUAAUACAUUUGAUAAAUUAUUUUCCUUGAGAAAACAUUGUUCACAUGUUUAAACUGUACUUGAGUUGUAAUUUUACAAUCUUUUCUACAAUAUAAGCUCCUCUAAUAUUCUCUUCAAUGUAUUCAUUUCUAAUUGAAUUAUUUAAUAUGACACCUAAAAGACUCUAGCAUUUCAUCCUUUCAUCUACUACAGUUGAAUUUUAUGGUUUACAUCUCCACCAAUUUCACUAUUGUGUUAUAUAGUUGACCUAAAUAUCGUGAAUUUUGGUAUGUUAUGAUCAUCAAGCUGUACUUCUACAAUAGGGUUUGUCUGUCUCUUUCUAAACUUAUACUCCAUAUAUUUUGUCUUACUUCGACUUAUAAUAAAGUCUUGUGCUUCUAAGAUUUGAUUCCACAUUUCUAGUUUCCCAUUUAAUUUCUCUCUCAAUUCUCUAACUAGGACAAUAUAAUACAUAAAAAUCAUCCAGUGUGGCACCAGCUCUUAUAUAUGCUUAGUAAGCGCAUGUAAAAACAAUGUUAACAAGUGAGGGCUCAAUAUUGACCGUUGGUGUAGUCUUGUAAAUAUCUUAUGAACAUUCUCACAUGCUUCUUGACCCAAUUAUACAUAUUUUUUGUUGCUCUAAGGUAGACAAUUUGAACACAUUUCUUUGCUAGAACUUUCUACAAUACCUCUCUAGACACAUUAUCACAUGCCUUCUCUAAAUUAAUGAAAAUAAUGUGCAAGUUCCUUGAUUCCUUCGAUAUCUCCAUCAAUAAUCAUAGCAAAUAUAUAACAUUCACGGUUGACCUCCCUAACAUAAAACCAAAUAAUUUUCAGUGAUAGAGUUUAUAGCAUAAAACCAAAUUGUCUCAACCUCCGCUUAAUUACUAUUUAUGUCGACUCCAUAGUAUGUCUCAUAAGCUUAACCCCCUAUAGUUUAUACAAUUUUGUAUGAUGCUCUGUUCUCAUAACCUUCGAGAAUUCAAUAGGUAUAUUAUCUUGUCCAACCACUUUGUCAUUCUCCAUCGUUUUCAAAGCUUAUGCUCCAAUAUAAAAUCUACGAUAAAAUGUUUAAAUUUGAUCCUCCUACUAUGGGUUUAGUCUAUUAGAAAACAUGGAUUUAAAUCGAUCAUUGAAAAACUUGUGAAAGUAAUUUUUUCAUCUUUCCUUAAUAUCUUUUUAUCCUAAAAGACUUUACCAUUGUCAUUUUAAAUUUAUUUUACUUGGUCCAAGUCUCUCGUCUUUCUUUCCCAACCAUUUCCAAGCAUGUAUACGGUUCUUUCUCACCCUUAAUACCUUGAGAUUUAUAUAACUUAUCAUAUGUUUUAUCUUUUGAUUCACCUAGUGCCUUACUGGUCUCUUUUUUAGCUACCUUGUAGUUUUCUUCUUUCAAUUUUUAGUAUUUUUACACAGUGACCAUACUUUAUGACAUUCCAUUUUCACCUUAAUUUUGUUCUAAAUGCUUUUGUCUCACCACAUGAUUUUUUGUGCAUCUCCUCUCACAUAUUGUUAGUACUUCCUUGUGUCUCUCAAAACUCUUUGAUUGAAGCUCUUACUUUCCUCUUCCUUCAAAUUACAUCAUUUAAUUCUUGGGACUCUAUCUUGGUCUUUUCUAUUCACUCUGCUAUUAACUUUUACGUCUGUAACCAAAACUCUAUAUUAGAUAGUCAAGCUCUCUCCAUGUAUGAGAACAUGUAAUCUCACUCUUAUAUAUGAUAAGAUUCUCAUCUCACUUCCUAAAAUAAGUGUUGAUUAUUGUAAAAGCAAAAGUUGGAGAGAAGUUUAGAAUAGUCUUACAUUCCAUAUUUACUUCCACUAUGACGUAUAAUCCUUCAUGAAGACCUUCAAAUCAUUAGUGUCCCUCCCCACAUGCCCACUAAGAUCUCCUUCUAGGAAAAUUAUUUCUCCUAAAGGUAUUCCCUAGACUACGCCUUCUAAAUCCUCCCAAAAUUUUAUCUUGUAGUAUUCCUCUAGCCCUACCUAAGAUUCUUAAGCAUUAAUCACAUAAAAAAGAUCUUUCUUGUUACAAACUCUAGGGUUAUGAUCCUAUCUAUUGUUCUUUUUAUAUCCACCUCACCUUUCUUUCAUUCUUUAUAUAUAAUUAUAUUACCUCAUUUCUCGACCUUGUCUUACUCAUGUAUCAUAGUUUAAAAUCACAAACUUCUAAUUCCCUUGACUUUUCUCUUAGUUUUUUAUAGACACAUAAAAUUGAUCCUCCUCAUAAUAAUCAUUGUGUCUACUAAUUCCAUUGAUUUACCUAAAAAAUGUCUAUUUCAUGUUCUAAUUUAUAUCCUAGACUCGUGAAAUGACUUCUUUACAUGCACCUAUUCACAUAAGUAUGGAACUCUCACUACAUCUCAGUGACAAUGCAUCUGCCCUUAAUCUUUUGACGCUACAAACCAACUGAUAAAGUGUGUGUUGCUUUUGGGCAACAACCUAUCAUUGAUAUUACCAUUCAUAUAAUAGAUAUUUGACAAAGUUAUAUAACAGUUGUCGACUGCCUAACACAAGCUAUCCCUUCUAUUCAACAAUUUAAAAAAAAAAAAUUUAACUGUAUUUUUUACUAUACAUAUUCAUAUUACACAUUUACUGACUAAAGUUUCAUAAGCCACAUUGUAACAGUGUUGGUUAUGUGUUGAGCAAAAAUGCAGAAAACAAAUGUGUUACAUAGAAGGUUUGAUAUUAUUCAUCAACAAGACACAUAAUUUAUAGAACAUGAAUGAGUCACAUAAGUGCUCCAACAUAGUAGAUGAAAAUAUUACUAACAAUCAUAUUGGCUCUUUAUUGUCUAAUGAAUAGAAGCAUUACAGAUUCUGAGUCAUAUUAAUCAACACUCCUCAUUGACUUUGAAGCUGCAAAGUUCAAACUUUUGUCAUAUACUUAUUCUUAGAACCGUCAAGAUUGAACUUGGUUAUGUAAGUCCAUUUGACUUUUAUACCCUUCUUAUAGUCUUUCUCCAUCAACUGAGGAACACUUAACAAAUUUUGAUUAAUUUCAAGAACAUAUAAGAUAUCAUGAAUUAAUUUCAAACCUGUGUAACUUUUAAUUGCAACUUUUCCUUUGCCUUUUGUUGUAAUAUAUGCCACAUUUCCAAUUCUGACUUUGGAAAUAGCAGUUUUAUCAAAUUCUCUGAAGAGCUCUCGAUCAUAAGUCAAAUGGUUUGUACAACCACUAUCAAUGAGCCAACUUUCUGUAGAAUUGUUGGCGUCAAAGCAUAAUACUACGAACAAUUGUUCUUCUUCUGGUUCAUCAACAACAACCUUAGCUUCUCCUUGUUGUUGUUGUUGCUAAGACAUGCAUAUCUUUUCCAUGUGCCCUAACUUUCCACACUUAUAACAUAUUGCAUCUGGCCUCCACCAACAUUUGUUUUGUGGAUGAUUAGUUUGUUUGCAGUAGAAACAAGGUUGAAAAACUUCAUUGUUGCUACUUUGGUUAUUUGUAUUCGUUGUUUGCAGAACCUGCUGUUUUGUAGUUGUUAUUUUGCCUCAUUUUAUUGUGAUUCCAACCAUUGUUGCUUUGUAAUUUGGUUUGGAAAGCACUCUCUACUAAUCAUUCUUGCCUCAUGAGUCUUCUUUGUUCUUGUGCCUGUAAUGCAUUCAACAUUUCUGCCAAGGUGAUGCUUGAAAUAUCCUUAGACAUUUCUAGAGAUGAAAUUGCAGCUUCAUAUUUUUUAGGAAGUGUAACUAAAAUCUUUUGAACUAUUCUAGAAUCAGAAAAUUUAGUAUCAAGAAGUCUUACAUUGUUGGCAACGACUAGAAGUUUAUCAGAGUACUCAUUAAUUAUUUUCGAAUCUCUCAUCCUUUGCAUUUCAAAUUCUUGGAUCAAAUUCAUUACUUGCACCCCUUUGACCCUUUCAUCUCUCUCACAUUCUUCCUUAAAAAAAUUUCAGAUUUCACAUGUAAUUUUUAGUGUCAUUAUUACUUUCGUUGCUUCAUUUCCUUCUCAUUUUUAAUUUGUGCAAUAGUUGGAUUGUGUGGAAGAGUUGGAAUGACAUAAUCUUCUUCAAUGGCAUCCCAUAGAUCAUUAACAUCCAAGAAAACUUUCAUUCUAACAACACAUACAUGAUAUUUUUUUCCAUUAAACAUUGGAGGUGAAAAUGCAGCAUAAACUACUUCUGAAUUCAUUUUGAUAAUUUUAGGGAAUAGAAAGUAAUAGAGAAAAUGUUUUAGUUGUGUUUAGUUUGUUCUCACAUAUCCCUCAAGAUAUAGUUCUAUAUACCAAUUUGUUGGUUAUGUAUUGAGCAAAAGUGUAGAGAAGAAAUAUGUUAUGUAGAAGGCUUGAUAUUAUUAAUCAACAAGUCACAUCAUUUAUACAGCAUGAAAAAAAAAACUGAUGCAGAAAAUUAAAUCCAACAUAGUAGAUGAAAAUAUUCCUAACAAUCAUGUUGACUCUUUAUUGCCUAAUGAAUAGAAACAUAACGCACAAUUUGAGUCAUAUUAAUCAACAAAUAGUUUACAUUCAACACUUAUAUAUUCAGACAACUUGAUUUAAAACCCUGAUAAGUUUUACAUUUUUGUGAUGCAACCAUUUUUUUUAUAAACACAUGCUAAUGGUAAACAAUCUAUCCCCCAAAUGAUUAACUCAAAAUAAUGCAAAAGGUCCAGCAGUUCUCAAUGCUGAACUUAUAAUAAAUCAAAGUAACUAUGUUUGAACUAACUAUAACAUAAAAAUAUCUAUUCCAUUAACUCAUGUCUUUCAAGUCCAUAUGAUUAUAAAAAAUUAGAAACAUGUGCAUAUAUAGACAAUCAAUUCUAACAAUCAAGAACUAACAAGUGAUUGUUAGAAACAUGUGCAUAUAUAGACAAUCAAUGCUUGCUUCUGACAAAUUGGAGUGAAAGAAUAUACAAUAUCUUCAAAUUAAGUGGUAGCUUGGAAGCUAUUUGUCAGGAUAAUAACAGAAACAUAGGAAUAGUGGUUCUGGAUUUAAAUCUAUAGAACAUUUUCUUCUUAUUGAAAGUAGCAUUUGCCACUGUAAUCACUAUCUUCCCAGGUUCAUUGAUGUAAAAGGAGUUUCUAGUACUGUCACCAACUCUAUUUUGGUUUUGUAGCAAUACAAUGUAUGAGCCUUCAUCAUCUGGAAUAAACUCUUCCUUGUAGGACACUUCCCAUCCAACCACAGUUACAUCCCAUGUUAUUGUCACUCCAGGCUAGACAAAUACCAAUAUAUAAUUAGAACUAAGCAAAGUCCAAAAUGUGUCAAAUAAUCAAUUGUCCCGAGCCAAUGAAAACAUGUCAUGUCGAUUGAAAAUUCAAAACAUUCAUAUGGGACAGGAUCUGGCACAACAGAUAUGUGUUCGUACAACAUACCUCCUUGACUGGAAAUUCAACUCUAGAAACUGUAUUUGCUUUGAUUUUAAGUUCUCCAACCUUCUCAUCAGGCGAAAAUUCUUGGUCGUUUUCCCUCCUGAGACCACCAUAUUCAACUGGAAGAUGUUCUGGGGCUAUAACCCUUCACAACUCACAAUGUUAGCAGAAGAUGAAUUGAAUCACAUUAGAGUUCAUUCAGAUAAUGAGACAUUGAAGUUCAGGUUAAAAUCACACUCACUUGAGAAGAGUCUCUGUGGUAUUUUGUGGUCUAGCUAAGAUGAACCUCUUUUUAUUCCUCUGACUCAUAAGCUUUGAAAAUAGAAUUUGAGAGGUGAAGAACCAAAAUGGAGAAUACACCACUAUCUGCAAAUCAUAAAAUGAGGUGAAAACAGAAAACAAUCAACCUUUCUGUAAUUUUAAUUUAGAAAAUGAUUAUCUCACUUCACCUUAUAACUACUUAUUAAAGACUUUGAAAGCAAAAGUGAUUAUAAAAAGGGUGUGGAUAAAAAAUUUGUGAGAAUAUGAUCACUCAAUAACAUUGAUAUACUAACACUUUUGUGAAUUAUCUCAGGAUAGUAGUUCUGAAACAGAAUUAUAGUUUUCUUGCUGAUUGAGUGAAGUUCCUUCAUUCCUUGUGCUGGUGUGUUCCUUAAAUCAUAAAUCUGAAGUAUAGAAUCAACCCCUCCUUCUCUAAAGCUUAACUUCUUAAUAGCUUUUUCCAUUAAUUGAAUCCCCCACCUGAAAAACAUGUCACGUUUUUCUUGUGUUCCAAAGGAAACCUUAUACACAAGUUUGUCUCUAAAAAAACCACGAACAUGGUAACACACCGGGCGACCUUCUCUAUCCUUACCCUUUAAGAAACCGGCAUUUUCGAAAUCAAAUUCUUCAUCCAUGAUCCCAUCAAUGUUGUUCUCGAUUCUCCAUAUCAUGGUUUUUUGUAACAUAUCGAAGGCGUCAUUGACCUUGUAAUCUUUGGUUUUCAAGAAUUUCAUUAGAAUAAUAUCAGUGCCCUCAUGAGCCUUGCUUGGUAACAAAGGCACACCCCAUAGAGUAAUAUCUCUAAGCUUUUCCCUUGCAAGUCCUAUUUCCCCUUGAGAGAGAUUCUCAUGUCGUUCCCCUAAUAAAUAGUUCCCAAGAAUCGAAUCCUCAACUUUGCAACGAAAUUCCAAUAACGACUUCUUUAUCUUCAACUUAUUCUCAAUAGGAUUUGGAUUAUUCCCUUCUCCAUAAGUUUCCAAAUGAUCAAGAUCUUCUUGAUCAUAACAACUAUCCUUGUUUUCUUGAAAGGGUUUUUCCCUCUCAUCAUCAAAAGGCUUUUCUUCAUCAUUUACAUUCUUCUCAAUAUCAUUGAAAACUACAUGCAUAUUCAUCCCAACAAGGUUGUUAUCCCUCCCAUUUUCAUCAAUGCACUCAUCAUCAUGGCUAUCAAUCAUGGCUGUCAUGGUCAAAACUUUGUUUCAGGAAAGUUCUAACCGUAUCUAAAAAAGAUUAAUCUCUUACUUAACAGAUAGCCCGAAAAGCCGAAAAAACUAAAGUCUCAUUUUUUUCUUCUCCUCCUUAAUCAGAUUUUCCAGCACCAAGGACUUACCGGAAAAUUAAACCUUGAGGAGCUCAAGGAUUGAAGGGGGAAAGAUGGUCUUACAUGAAGACCUCCUUCAUUUUCAAAUAUGGCAAUAUUACAAGAUAAUGUUGAGUGAUGAUGGAUAUCACUACCCUGAAUUCAUGACAAUUCUCAACCAUUAAUUGAUUUGUGUGGAACCAAAUAUAGAAAUUGGUAUGUUUACAUGAGGUGGCGUAAUGUUUGGUUUCAUUGUCAAACCUUAUCAUAUGAUAAUCUAAUUAAACCAUAUUGGCAAUGUUCUAAGGUCAACGGUUUUUUCAUGCAAGAUAAUCAAUUCAUAUACCAAACUCUUUAGCAGAGACAACCAACUAUAUUAUUUAAAAGCUCAUUAUUUAUAUGUUUGAAACUAACAUUCAUAUCAUUUUUUUUUAAAAUAGAUCAUCAUUUACGUUGGACUCUCCAAUAUUAAAUAAAGAUGGUGGCAUGUAUACUAAUAUAUUUCAACCUUUAUUUUCAAUUUAAUCAAGAUAAUAACAUAUAUCUUAAUAUAUUUUUUCUUCUAUCUCACAUCUCACAUCUCAAUAUUGGAGAGGAUCCUUACCCUUUAUUUUUGUGUCCCUACAUACUUGUUUAUCAUUUUUUCUUACAUCAUUUCAUUCCAAUCUCAAACAUCAUGUCCCUACCACAAUGUCACCCCUAAGUUGCCCAUAUAACGUUACUCUUUUCUUCUUUUUGAUAGUGAAUAUCUCACUUCAUAUUUUCUGUUCCACUACACGCCAAAUGUAUCACUAUAUACAAAUUAAAUGACGUAGGAAUUUCUGUGUAUAAAUGCAUUUCUGUAUGACCAUGGUCCUAUAUACAUUCCUAAUGAUGUGUAUAAAGAAUAGUUGUUGGCUGGUUUAGUGAUGUGACUUGAAAACUACCUAAAUCAUUGUGUCGAGGUUCUUGUAUUUUAUACUGUAUUCUUUAUUCUAUUUGUCCAAUGAAAAUGUAACACAAAAUUUAUUCUUUAGAUAAAAUAAAAGAAAAAAUGAUGUAUGCGCUGAUAGUAUAAGAGUUUGUAUAUUAUCAUUAUAUUUUCAAUUAUUAUUGACUCUUAUAUAAAAACAAUAAAAACGAAUGAUGUUGUGUAUAAUUUUUUACACAUCUGUUUAAGUAAUACCUUGAAUAAAAUAGAAUUUCUGUUUUAUUAUACAUUAUUUAUAAACUAAAAACAUAAAUAUAAACUAAAAAUUGCUUUCAUGUGAUGCGGCUUAAAUCAAAAUUCACUGAAGCGUAUAUUUUGUACAAUUUUUUCUUCUUCUAUAAACAUACAGUUGAAUAAAUAGGAACAUAAUUUGACAUUAAAACACUAUGUGAACUUUCUUGUUACAGGUUUUUUAAAAAUAAUAGGGAAGUCGGUAGAAAAUAUAAUAUAAAAAAGGUAUAAUAGUAAGUUAUUCAAAAUAAGUUUAUUUCCAGUUAAAAUAAAUUGAAAAGUGGGUGGUUAUAAUUUACUCAAAUUAUUAAGUUCUUGUCUUUCCUUUCAAUAAUUUACUCAUUAAAUUGUACUUCCAUUUUCUAUGUGAUUCUAUUAAACAAGAUGCUAAUUAUAAAUGGUUUUUGUGUUGAAACAGAAAAAUGUAAUUCAAGUUAGUUAGAACUUACUAAAAAUAGAAGUUAGUUGAUUAGUAGUUAGUUGGUAGUUGAAGAUUCAUACUAUAAAUAGAAAGCAGUGUAUUUUGUUUCAAGUUGAAUAAGAAGAUACACACUUCAUUCAUAUACUCUUCUUUCAUCUUCUCUGCACAAUCUUCUCCUCCUCUAUUUUUCAUUCUCAUCUCAAUCUGAUUUCUAACAAACUGGUAUCUAGAGCCAAGAAAAGAAGAAAUGAUCUGUGGUCACAAGGAGGAAGAAGAAAGAGGCAAAUAUGGGGUAGAAGAAAAGUUGAUCAAUUGCUGCAAUUUUUGGUGGAGCCUUAAUCUGAGGAAGAGACCAAAGGCAGAUUCAUCAAAACAAGAAAAUGGUUGGCAAUGGUAGCAAUCUCCCAUCAAUGGGGCUCCCUAUUCUAACAGACAAGAAUUGGGAUAGAUGGAGAACACAAAUGAAUGUAUUGUUCAAUUUCCAAGAAGUGAGUGAGGUAGUAGAAGAUGGAAUACCUCCAUUGAAUCCUGAGGCAAAUGAAGGACAGAGAAUCACAUUCAAAGAUGCCAAGAAGAAGGACAAUAAAGCACUGUUCUUGAUUCAUCACUGUGUAGAUGAUGUGAACUUUGAGAAGAUUCAGAAUGCCAACAAUGCAAAGGAAGCCUGGGACAUAUUAAUUCGAAGCCAUGCAGGGGGAGAUAAGAUAAAGAAGGUAAAACUUCAAACCCUUAGGAGACAAUAUGAACUGCUAAACAUGGAGGAAAGUGACAGAAUUGGUGAUUAUUUCACCAAGAUUCUAGCCAUCACCAACCAGAUGAAAGGCUAUGGAGAACAGAUAUCAGACAUCAUGAUAAUUGAGAAAAUCAUGAGGUCCUUGCCUCAGAAAUUUGACUUCAUCAUUGUGGCAAUAGAAGAAUCGAAGGACAUCAAUGUGAUGAAAAUUGAGGAACUUCAAAGCUCCCUAGAGGCACAUGAAAUGAGAUUACUUGAAAGGAAUCCAAACAAGAAAGCAGAACAAGCCUUAAAAGCAAGUCACUAUAAAGAAGAAGAGAAGAGAAAAGACAAAAGAUGGAAAGGGAAACAACCAAGGAAAUGGCCUAUGCAUUCAGAUAGAAACAAGACAAGAAUCCUGAAUCUUCUGAUAGAAGAGGAGGGUCAAGAAUGAACCAGAAUCCAAAGAGGUUUGACAAAAGAAAGGUGGAGUGUUACAACUGUCACAAACAAGGCCAUUACUCUUAUGAGUGCUAUGCAGACAAAGCAAAAUCAAAGAAGAGUGAAGAAGCUUACACUGCAUAAGAAGAAUCAGACUUAGAACCACUAAGCUUAAUGGUGACAACUUAUGCAGGAGAUGCUCACACAGAGUCAUGGUACUUAGACUCAGGAUGCUCAAACCACAUGACAAAGCACAAGGAAUGGCUGACUGAUUUUGAUUCCUCUAAGAAGAGCAAGGUAAAAUUUGCUGAUGAUAGCUCACUUGAGGUAGAAGGAACAUGCAAUGUAGUUAUAAUGAGGCAGAGUGGAUCAAAAGCUUUGAUAUCAAAUGUGCUAUAUGUUCCCAAGAUGAAAUGCAAUCUACUCAGCAUAGGGCAACUGGUAGAGAAAGGGUUCAGUGUUGUGAUGAAGAAUGGUAUGCUUGAACUAUUUGAUCCAAACAAGAAACCAAUAAUAAGGAGAAAGUUGACAAAGAAUAGAACAUUUCAAGUUGAUAUCAAGGCAACUGAAGUAAAAUGUUUAGCCACUAUUGAAGCCAAAGAUGUAAGUUGGUUGUGGCACUCAAGAUUUGGGCACCUGAACUUCACAAGUAUGCAACACCUAGGAACAAAACAAAUGGUCACAUGGAUUCUUACAAUUUCUCAGCCAGAAAGAGCAUGUGAGGUUUGCUUGAUUGGGAAACAAACCAGAAACUCAUUCAAGUCAGAAGGGUACAUGAGAUCAAGAUCAGUCCUAGAAGUGGUUCACUCAGAUGUUUGUGGUCCAUUUGAAACUCCCUCACUAGCUGGAAACAGGUAUUUCAUUAUAUUUGUUGAUGAAUUUAGUAGAAUGAUUUGGCUAACAAUGUUGAAAGUCAAGAGUGAAGCAUUUGAAGCAUUUCUAGACUUCAAAGCAUCAGCAGAAAAAGAAAGUGGAAAACAACUCAAGGUGCUGAGAACAGAUGGAGGGGGAGAGUUCACAUCUAUGGAGCUUGAAAACUACUGCAUAAAGCAAGGAAUCAAGCAUGAAGUAAUCCCACCUUACACCCCUCAACACAAUGGCCUAGCAGAGAGGAGGAAUAGGACCAUAAUGAACAUGGCCAGAAGCCUGAUCAAGGAGAAGGAACUCCCACAAAAGCUAUGGGCAGAGGCUGUGUCAACUUCAGUCUACCUACUAAAUAGGUGUCCAACAAAGAAACUAGAGGGAAGAGUCCCUCUUGAAGUAUGGUCAGGAAGAAAACCACCUGUUGGCCACCUCAGAAUCUUUGGCUCAUUGGCUUUCAAACACACACCAGAUCAAAAGAGAACCAAGCUUCAAGACAAAAGUGAGGCAAUGGUGUUUGUAGGAUAUCAUCCCACUGGAGCAUACAGAUUAUUUGACUCAAUCAGAAAUAAAAUUCAAAUCAGUAGAGAUGUCCUGGUUUUAGAAAAUGAACAAUAGGAUUGGAAGAACAUGCAUACAAGUCUGAAAAGAAUUCUACCUAGACUAAAUGAAGAUGAGUCAAACACAGAAAAUCUAACUGAAAGACCAAAUGAAGAAGGAGAUCAAACAGCAGAAGAAACAUCCUUAACUCAAAGAUCACAAAGGCAGAGAAUAAGGCCUAUCAGAUUCAAUGACUAUGAAGUGCACAAUGAUGAUCAGAUAGAUGAAGCAGGAGAUCUGAUUCACCUAGCAUUAAUGGCAGAAGCUUUACCAAUAGAUGAAACAGAAGCCUUAAAACAGAAAGUACGGAAAGAUGCAAUGGAUGAAGAAAUCAUAUCAAUUGAGAAGAAUGAAACUUGGAACCUAGUUGAGCUUCCAAGGGACAAACAUCAAAUAGGGGUGAAAUAGAUCUUCAAACAGAAGAUAAAUCCUGAUGGAUCAAUCUCAAAAUACAAGGCCAGAUUAGUUUCAAAAGGCUUUCUGCAGAAACAGGGCCUAGACUAUACUGAGGUCUUUUCCCCUAUGGCACGAAUUGAAACAAUCAGGUUAGUGAUAGCUAUUGCUUGUGCAAGAAACUGGACACUGUACCAACUUGAUGUAAAGUCAGCAUUUCUCCAUGGGCCUCUGAUUGAAGAAGUAUAUGUACAACAACCUCCAGGCUUCAUAAUCAGUGGCAAAGAACACAUGGUGUACAAACUAAACAAGGCCCUAUAUGGCCUGAAGCAAGCACCAAGGGCCUGGAACAGAAGGAUUGACUCAUUCAUGGACAAACUCAGUUUCUAUAAAUGCUCAGUAGAGCAUGGAGUGUAUGUGAAAGAGGGAAACCAAGGAGAAUUACUCAUUAUCUGCCUAUAUGUUGAUGACUUACUAGUAACAGGAUCCAGCCUAGAAGGAAUUGAAGACUUCAAAAGUGUCAUAAAAGCUGAAUUCGACAUGAUAGAUCUAGGGAGGCUAAGUUACUUCCUUGGCAUGGAGUUUGCAUACACAACUUCAGGAAUUCUUAUGCACCAAAAGAAAUAUGCAAAUGAAAUGCUAAUCAAAUUCAACAUGGACAAAUGCAAUCCUGCAAUUACUCCUACUGAAUCUAAUCUGAAGUUGACAACAGAUGAGGAUGGUGAGUCAGUAAAUGAAACCAUGUUCAAACAAAUAGUUGGAUCUCUAAGGUUCCUAUGCAAUAGCAGGCCUGACAUCACAAAAGGGUGGGUUUAGUGAGCAGAUUCAUGUGCAAACCAAAAAAGACUCAUAUGUUAGCUGCCAAGAGAAUCUUGAGAUACAUCAAAGGGACUUCAAACUAUGGGAUCCUAUUUCCAACAAGAAAACAGAAACUAUCACUCAAACUGAUUGGUUUUUCAGACUCAGAUUAUGGUGGUGAUCUUGUUGAGAGGAAAAGCACUUCUGGAUACAUCUUCUUGCUCAAUGAAGCUCCUAUCUCAUGGUGCUCCAAGAAACAAGAAGUAAUUGCUCUAUCAAGUUGUGAAGCAGAGUAUAUUUCUGGUUGUUAUGUUGCCUACCAAUUCGUAUGGCUUGAAGAAUUGCUUAAGGAGAUCAAGACAAAGGUUGAGACACCUCUGCAACUCCUAAUAGACAACAUUUCUACUAUCAAUCUGUCCAGAAAUCCAGUAAGUCAUGGCAGAAGCAAACAUAUCGAAGUGAGGUUCCAUUUCUUAAGGAACUUGGUGAAUAAAGGACAGAUUGAGAUUGUUCACUGCAAAACCGAGGUACAACUAGCAGAUGGUUUCACUAAGGCAUUAAAACCAGAAAGGUUUGCAAAGCUAAGGAGAGGGAUAGGUGUUGAAUCUCCUAGAUACUUGAAUUAAGGGAGAAUGUUGAAACAGAAAAAUGUAAUUCAAGUUAGUUAGAACUUACUAAAAAUAGAAGUUAGUUGAUUAGUAGUUAGUUGGUAGUUGAAGAUUCAUACUAUAAAUAGAAAGCUGUGUAUUUUGUUUCAAGUUGAAUAAGAAUAUACACACUUCAUUCAUAUACUCUUCUUUCAUCUUCUCUGCACAAUCUUCUCCUCCUCUAUUUUUCAUUCUCAUCUCAAUCUGAUUUCUAACAUUUUGGACGUAGAGCAAAACAUUCUAGCAAGCAAAACAUCAUAGCCAAUCUGCUACAUAGAAUACAUAUGAAGAUAAAAGUCAUAACACACAAGAAAAUAUGAAUGAAGUAAAUAUAUAAAAGUUUGCAUUUCUAAUGGCAGAAAGAGCAUAUUCUUUGGUUUAGGAGUGUGCUUGUUUAGGAUUAUUUCUCAACAAAAUCACUUAUAACUUAAUGAAACAAGUUUUGUAAGAUUAUUUCCAUAAUAAGAAUUUGAAAUUAAUCAGAUUAAUUUCAUAUUCUACUUUGAUAAUUUGAUUACAUUCGGAUUGUAAUGGGGGUGUGGUAGAUGAGAGAUAAACAAUGCCCAAAUUAUGGAGCAUUAUAAAAUGGAUUAUUUUGGUCUGAAUCAAACAUAAUUCGCUUUUGAUUUUCACCAAAGUCUAUAAAAAUUAAAUUACUUAUUUUACACAAUCUAAAAUAAGUACUUUUUACAUCUACCAUUUUGGAUGACAAAUAUCAAUAUCAUCAUAAAACCAACUACAUUUCCAGUUCUGAAUUUAACACCCUUACUCAACCAAUAAUGUAAUUUCGGUAUAAUGCUAUAUGGUAAAAAUAUGUUACUCCUAUAAACUUUAGAUCAUUAUAAAGGAUUUACAUCAUCUUUAAUGAUUAUAUAACCAAAUAUUUGUUACACAAGUAAUAUUAUAUAUGUUAUAUAUUUGUGUUUUCGACUUAGAUUUUUUUUUUCAGCAUUCUUUUGUAUAUGCAUCAAAACAAAUUUGUCUUUAGCGAAUGCACAUAUAUGUUGCUAGUUUUUAACCUUAAAAGAUAGGGCCCAAAGUUCCAUUUAGUGGCAUGUUUGUUUUCAGAAAAUUUAAAGCACAAAACUUCAAAGCAGUUGGCCUCGUGUGGUGUUACAUUCAGUGCUCAUCAUGUGCAACAGUUAUGUGUAAAAUUUGUUUGUUUUUUUUGGCAGAUAGGACUUUUUUAUUUUAGAUUAAAUAAUCAUUUCUGUUUCUCAUGUUUUUUUGCCUUAACUAGUUUGAUUCCUAAAAUUUUGAAAAACACAAAAUAGUCCCCAAAAAAUUCAAAUAUUUGUUAAAUUAAUCAUUUUUUUAUGUUUUACAAUAUUUGAUAGUAACUAAUUUGACCUAAAAAUUAUUUGACUAACAUUUGAAUUUUUGGGACUAUUUUAAGUUUUUUCAAUUUUUGAGGGACCAAACUGGUAAAGUUAAAAAAUACAAGAGAAUAAAAUGAAUAUUUACUCUUUAUUUUAUAGGUGGUAUGAGUCAUGAUCAUCUAACCAUAGCCAUAAAUGUUGCUAAUUAGGUGUGUAGCUUAAAAUUUUGGAAAUUAGAUAUUACUUCAUAGUCUGUUUGUGAGUUGAGUUUUGAUGAAGGAAAAAGGAAAAUACAAAACUUGAGAACCAUAAAAUACACUAACGAUAUGACUUUAAAGUCUUCCCAUUGUUAGAAAUUCAUAAUUUCUAAGUAAGGUAGACAUCAUAUAUUUAAUACAAUUAUAUUGGCUAUUUAUUUUGGGUUACAAAACAUGUGAUCUAAUUAAUGACAACCUAUAAGACUUCUGAGACUGAUAACAGAUAUGAGCUUAAUGAGUAGAUACCCAAACGGUUGACCUAUAGGGGAUAAUGAGAACACUAUAAGUUAAUACAUAAGGAAUGGUUAUAGUACCCAAUACACCAAAUCACAAAUAGUUUUUACAUCUCCCCAUCAGAGAAAAAAUGAAGGUCCCAAAAGGAAUUAAGGAUUUGGUUGAGGAAGACCAUCAUACCAAAACUCUCUCCAAAGGUAUAUCAAAGGAGUAGAUGAGAGAACAUGGAUUCAGGUAGACUUUGGAUCCUUGUUUUCUAUUAUAUGUAAGAAUCAUGAUAUUCAAGAUCCUAGAAUUGAUAUUUCACAAAUCACCAGGAAAUAUUUAACAAGUGGUAUCAGAGCUUUAGGUUCUGAAUUUUAUGGUUCUCUAAGAUGUUUCCCCCAAUUUUUUAUGAACCCUAAUUUUUUUAAAUUUGUGGAUUUUUAUGCUUCCGCUAUUGGUUAUGAAAAUUGGGUAUUUAGGAAUAAUGAUGAUAAAUUUUAUUCGCUCUCGCAGAUAUGAAUUACGAGUAAUUUGUAUUAUGAAUCAUUGCAACAUGUGUUGAAGUAUAUAUUCAGAUCUGUGCAUGAACAUUACAUUAAAUUUUAUGACUAUAUUAUGUAAUAUGUAUAUUAUAUGUGCACUAAUGUCUUAAUGUUGUACAUUGACUUUUAUUACUUCGCAGUUUUUGUUUUUGCAAUUGUUAAAGUAUAUGUAUAAGGUAUAUAUAUAUAUAUAUAUAUAUUGUGAGCAACGUGUAUUUAUUAUACAUUGGGGUAUUAUGUAAUCUGAAUAUCUGCAUAUAUGUUAUAUAUAUAAUCAUGGUUUGAUCAAAUAUACUCAUGUAUAUUUGAGGUUUUUGAAUAUUGCUCGAAACUUCUAUGAUUCCCACUUGAUGCACAACGUGUGGGUGAUCUUUAUUCGCUCAUAGCGUGACAGAUUGGCAAGAGAAAAUACAUUUUUAUUGCCUUAAUGUAUGUAUAUAUAUAUAUAUAUAUAUAUGUGUGUGUAUAAAAUAAUUGACCAAAUAUAUAAAAAGAUAUGCUCUUGAUGUUUUAAAGUUGGGCAUAAUCAUAUUCGAUUUAGAAUUUAUGAUAUUGAUUUGCAUAUAUUUUUUAUGCUUUUCAAUGUGGAUGUAUUUUGUAUUUGAUUAAGAUUGCACCCAUUUUUAUAUGUUGAUAUAUAUGUAGUAUAUCUUUUUUUUAUUUGGAACUAGCAAGUUACCCGUGCAUCAGCACGGGGCAAUACUUCUUUGCUGUAAGAUUAAUAACACAUAUUACAUAGACAUUUAUAUGGUUAAGAAACACAUGUCACUCGUGCAUUCGUAUUGUUAAGAACACACAUGUGACUCGUACAUUCACAUGGCUAAAAAUACACAUGUUAUCUGUACAUUCGCAUUACUAAGAAAACACAUGUUACUCAUGCAUUCGCAUAGUUAAAACAUACGUAUUACUCAUACAUUUACAUUAUUAAGAAUACACAUCUUACCUGUAUAUUUGCAUAUUCAAGCACAUAAAGAAAAUAAAUGACAAUUUUUAAUUUGAAUUUUCUAAUCGAAAUAGCAAACUAAAAGUCUGAAACACGAUAGCAUAUUAUUUUUAUUAAAAUAAAUAUUUUAAAAUUUAUAGAAAAUGAAAUGAUUUUUCAAUUUUAAAUACGAUUUUUUUAAUGAAAAAAUGGAAAUCAAAUCGUUAUACUAUAUGAGUUUUUUAUUAUGAAUAUAUUUAAAAGUUAUAAAAAACUUCAAUUUGGAAUUUGAUUUUUUUAAAUUUAUAAUAGAGAAAAUUUAAAAUUCAAAGAAUCUAAAAUAUUAAAAUUCAUUGGGAAAAAUGUCACAAAACUUUGAUAAGGUGAAAAAAUAGAAUUAUUCUUAGAUUAAUGGUAAACAUAUACAUAGAUUAAUGUAAAAAAAUAGUUUGGAUGUGAAAAAUAAUUUCAAUCUCAUCUAAUAUUCAGUGUCUAUUGCAUUUUAACAUAACAAAAACCAAACGCUAAUCAUUAGUAUUAAAUUAUUAACAUAUAAAAUAUAUAAAAAGUAAAGAUAAUGUAGGAAGGUACAUAGUAAUAACAUAGAAUAUUUUAGGAGGGAAAGAUGUGAGAAGGUAGUGACAUGUGGCAUGAAGAAGAAAAUGUGAGGAGGAAGUGACAUGUGACAUGUGACAUGAAUGAGUUUUUAUUUUUUUUAUUUUUUAAUUAAUAACAUAGAACAUUUUAGGAGGGAAAAUGUGAGGAGGAGGUGACAUGUGGCAUGAAGAGAAAAAAUGUGAGGAGAAUGUGACAUGUGGCAUGAAUGAGUUUUUUUUAUUAUAUUGUUAAUAGAUAGAUUAUAUUGUGGGAUUAGAUUUGUUAAUAUAAAAUAUAUCAAAUCUGAAGGUAAUUAAUUUUUGAAUUAAUUGAUGCAAUAUGAUGCCAAAGUAACCUCUAUUGUGGAAAUUGAUUAAAAUUACAUAGAUGAGUAUGAGAUUAUUUAUGCGAAUUGUGUUCAGCACAAAGAAAUACACAAUUUGGCCAAGUAAUAACAUAUAUGUGAUGAUAAAUAAGUAACUAUUUUAAAGUUUUUUUCAUGUGAAUAAUAGUCGGUCCAAAGAAAGACUAUUGUUUGACAAAACUAAUUGUUAAUAUUUGAUCAUUACGUUGAGAGUACCACUUACAAAUUAAUUUCUCUGUCCAUAGACUAGAAAUUGAUGUUAUGUUAGGUAUCUUGUGAUGAGUAUAUUAUGUAAAAUUGACUUGUUAUAUAUAUAUAUUACCUGACUUGUUUAUUAAAAUAGUUGCAAUACUUAUGGUUUGUUGCAUUGGUUGGUGGCUGUUGAUUGCAUUAUUAAGUGGUUGCUAUUAUUGAAGUAUUGUUUCUGUUUGAACAACUUGCUCUACCAUAUUUAAUCAUGUAUAAAAUGAUAAUAUUUUUUAUAGAAAAUUCAAAAGGAUCAUUAUUGAAAUUCGAAAUGCAAUCUUUGUGAUGAGAAUGAUGCAAUGCUAUCAGUAGGCUAUAAUGAAUAUAUGUAUUUAUAUGUGAUAUAAAUAAUAUAUGUUUUGGAUUAAGGUUAUGUUGAAUCAAACUCAACUAGUGGUGCAAAUAUUUCUGCUUAAAUUAAGAACAUCUCAUUGCUGAAUGGGACAAAUUUUAAGGUCUAUAAGGAAGCCGUAUAAAUUAUUUUCGGUUGUAUGGAUUUAGAUCUAGCACUUUAGGUAGAGAAAUCCAUUUCUACUUUGGAAAUUCUCGAUGAGGUUAAAAUUUAGAAAUUGGAAGACUCUAACCGAAUGUGUCUAAUGAUCAUGAAUAUUCUAGAAGCGUUUCAUGGCUCUAUUUAUGAGAGUCAUAUGGCAAGGAAGUUCCUUGCAGAAACAGAACAUUUUUUUUGCCAAAAAUGAAAAGGCGGAGACGAGUAGCGUUUUGGCUAAACUCAUCAACAUGAAGUAUAAAGACAAAUGGAAUAUAAGGGAGUACAUUAUGGAGAUGUCUAAUCUCGCAUCAUAGUUCAAGUCACUUAAGUUAGAGCUUGGUGAUGACUUACUCGUGCACUUGAUUUUGAUCUCCCUUCCUACACACAUUGGGAAAUUCAAAGUGAGUUACAACACUCAGAAAGACUAUGUGCAAGAGGAAGAGAAACUGUAGAGAGAUAGGACUGAAAGUGUUCACUUAGCUAUGACCUCUCAGAAUAAGAAAAGAAAGAACAAUAAGGAUGUUGUGAAAGGGUUAUUUGUAUUUUCCUCAGAGAAUGUGGAGUUGUUCUGGAAUACACUAUGUUUGGAAAAUCUAGCAUGAAGGGUGUUGUUGAGCGAAUAAACCGAACUCUUAAGGAUAUGGUGAGAAGUAUGAUUAGUCAUUCUUACUUACCAGAGUUUCUUUGGGGUGAAGCUUUAAAGACCGCGAUUUACAUCCUUAAUAAGGUGCCAAGUAUAACAGUUAACAAAACCCAUAUGAGAUUUGGAGUAAUAAAAGACCAAGCUUAAAACACUUGCACAUUUGGGGUUUCCCAUCUGAAGUGCGGCCUUAUAGGCUGCAUGAAAGGAAACAUGACUCAAGAAUUGUUAGCUGCUAUUUUGUUGGCUAUGUUGAACACUCUCGGGGUUAUAAAUUUUAUGAUCCCACUUCAAGACUUUUUGAGACGAGAAAUGCAAGAUUUUUUGAGAAAGUUGAUUUUGGGAAGGAAGAUAACAUAAUGAAUGUUGUCUUUAAGGAAGAACAUGUCACUAAUGGUGAACAAGUUCUUGUACCUAUUACCAUUCAAGGAAUAAAUUCAAUAAAUAUAAGAUAAUGUUCAUAAUAUUGUUCCUGACAAUAUUCUAGAACAAGACAACAAUGAGGUUCUCCCUCAACUACCUAUAGAACAAAUUCAACAACCUCAAGAAGUAGAAGUGUCAUUAAGGACAUCCACUAGAGAGGAGAAAUACAAUUCUUGAUGAUUAUAUUGUAUUUCUUUAAGAACACGAGGAUGACAUUGGGUUAACAGAGGAUGAUCCAUUGAACUUCUGUCAAGCCAUGAAAUGUUCUAACUCUAAAAAGUGGAUUGAUGUCAUGAAGGAUGAGAUGAAGUCUAUGCAUGAUAAUGACGUUUGGGAUCUCGUCGAAUUACCUGAAGGUACGAAACAUAUUGGUUGCAAAUGGAUAUUUAAAACCAAGAGGGAUUCGAAGGGUAAUAUUGAUAGAUAUAAAACUCGUCUAGUAGCUAAAGGCUUCACUUAGAAAGAAGACAUUGAUUAUAAAUAAAUCUUUUCUCCAGUAUCUUCGAAGGAUUCUUUUAGAAUAAUAUUGGCACUAAUGGCUCAUUUUGAUUUAGAUCUACAUCAGAUGGAUGUUAAAACCGUGUUUCUAAGUGGUAACAUUAAAAAAACGAUCUAUAUGGUGCAGCCAGAAAACUUUGUGUAAAUUGACUCAAAGUCAAUGGUAUACAAAUUAAAGAAAUCCAUCUAUGGACUUAAACAAGCUUCUCGUUAAUGGAAUCACAAGUUUCACCAAAUUAUUACCUCGUAUGGUUUUGAGGCAAAUAAAGUUGAUGAUUGUGUGUACCACGAGUUCAGUGGGAGUAAAGUUAUAUUCUAGGUAUUAUAUGUCAAUGAUAUACUGCUUGCAAGUAGUGAUUUGGGACUAUUGUAUGAGACCAAGAGAUUUUUAACGAAUAAUUUUGAAAUGAAAGAUCUUGGGGAAGCUUCUUUUGUAUUAGGUAUUCAGAUACUAAGAGAUUGCUCUCAGGGUAUCCUAAGGUUGUCACAAGAAAGCUAUAUAGAUAAAGUCCUAAUAGAUUUGGCAUUAAAAGUAGUAAACUAGUGAUACCCCUAUAGCUAAGGGAGACAAGUUUAGUCUCGGACAAUGCCCCAAAAAUGAACUUGAAAGAUAAGAGAUGCAAAAUAUUCCUUAUACAUAUGUAGUAGGAAGUCUAAUGUAUGCUCAAGUUUGCACACGUCCCGACAUAAUGUUUGUCGUGGGAGUUUUGAAAAGACAUUUGAGCAAUCAUGUAAUGCAUCAUUGAAAGACAUUCAAAUUAGUUAUGCGUUACUUAAAGAGAACAAAUGAUUACAUGUUCACUUAUCGGAUGUCUGAGAAUUUAGAGAUCAUUUGGUAAUUUGACUCUGAUUUUUUGGGUGUCUAACAACAAACACUACACCUCUGGAUAUAUGUUUUUUAUUGGAUGGAGGUGCUAUCUCUUGGAAGUCUGCUAAACAGACGCUCAUAGCUCCUUCAACCAUGGUAGCAGAAUUCAUGGUUUGUUUUGAAACAUUAUACCAUGACAUAUGGUUAAUUUUUGUCACUGACUUACGUGUGGUUGAUGGUAAGUCCACGGUUCUUUACUCUAACAAUAAUAGGAGUUCUACAAAGUAAAAUUUUAUUGAUAUCAAGUUUCUGGUUGUGAAAGAAAGUGUUCAAAAUAGACAGUUCUGUAGAACAUAUAGGGACAAAAUUUUUGCUAGCUAAUCUACCAACUAAGGGUUUGGUACCUAAAGUCUUUCAUGAGCAUAUUUCUCAUAUGAGCAUUUCUCCUUAGAAUACCUUAGCUCAGUGGGAGUCAAUAUGUUUUAUGAUUUACUUUGGACGUCAUAUAUAGUUUUAUGCAUAAUAAAGUUGAUGGUUUAUUGUUCCAUUUUGAAAUUGUGCAUUGUAACUAUUGUAUUUCACUUAAAGACUUUGGAUUGAUCUCACUAAAGAAUAAAGAAGGACCAGUUGGAAAUAGACAUGUUUAAGAUCACAUUGCAAGAAAUUUCCAUAUCACUCAUCCAUAUUUGAUCUAUGUCAUUUAGUAUAUUGGUAUGGUGAUCAACGUGGUCGAGUCACAUUUGAAUAUGAUGGAGGUUGUGGUGGUUCCAUAGUUGAUAUAUAAGAUGUACCAAAUUGUAUUAAGGAGAAGUCUAAAUAUAAAUAGCAUACAGAUGUGCGCCUAAAGAAUAUGUGAUAUAAUUGUUAUAGGAAAAAUAUUAAGCCCAAGUGGGAGAUUGUUAGAAAUUCAUAAUUUCUAAUUAAGGUGGACAUCAUAUAUUUAAUACAAUUAUAUGGACUAUUUAUUUUGGGGUUACAAAACAGGUGAUCUAAUUAAUGACAACCUAUAAGACUUCUGAAACUGAUAACGAAUAUGGGCUUAAUGAGCGAAUACUCAAACAGUUGACCUAUAGGGGAUAAUGAGAAUCCUAUAAGUUAACACAUAAGGAAUGGUUAUGGUCCCUAAUACACCAAAUCACAAAUAGUUUUCACCUCUCCCCAUCAGAGAGAAAACGAAGGUCCCAAAAGGAAUUGAAAAUUUGGUUGAGGAAGACCAUCAUACCAAAACUCUCUCAAAAGGUACAUCAAAUAAGUAGAUCAAAGAAUACAGAUUCAAGUAGACUUUGUAUCCUUGUUUUAUAUUAUGUGUAAGAAUCAUGAUAUUUAAGAUCCUAUGAUUGGUAUUUCACCAAUCACCAGGAAAUAUCUAACACCCAUUUCAUUCAUUUCCUUGAAAACUCAACCCGCAUUCCAAAAUUAGUAGGAGAUUGAUCGGCAAUUGACCCCGAGAAACUAGAUAACUUCCUAGUUAGAGGAUUAACUUCAAUUGAAGGUUAUGAAAUGGUUAUUACUGAUGAACAUUUUGCUCUCUCUUUAUAUGUCCAAACCAUACAAGGCGUAAUCAUUCAUCUUUUCUACAAUAGGAACAACACUAACUUUUUCUUGAUGCAUUUAUAUCUAAUCCUAUAUUGUCUAAUGUGACCACUCAUCCAACGAGAGCACAUCUUCUUUCCCAAAAUGUGUAUCACUCCAUGUGUCACUUUCUCUAAUUGGUCAGAAAAAUACUUUUGUUAAAUUUUAAACUUAAAUAUAUAUUUUUCAACUAAUCAGAACAAGUGUCACAAGGAGUGACACACUCUUUUGGUACAACAGAUGUUGACCCAUCAUCUAGCAUAAUAUUCUCAUCUUCUCAUCUAUAUUCUCAUAUUCUAUUGUUAAUAUUUUACACCCAAUAUUUAGUGCAUGUGACAUUGCAUGUCUUAUAGUUGUAUGGCAAAACUUCCCCUUAAGUUUUAGUGAUACAAUUUUAUCACAAAUGACACCUAAAACACUAUGCCAUUUCAUCCAAUUUGCUUGAAUCAUACGGUUCACAUAUCCAUCAAUAUUUCCAUUGUCUUGUAUGAUUGAUACAAAAUACCUAACUUGUAACAUCGUGUUUUAUAGAACACUUUUAAUUAAGUAAUUAGUAUUAAUGGAUUAAUUAUAGAAAUUAAUAAGUAAUAUUUUAGGCUAAACCUAAUUUGAGUUUUAGUCUUGUAUUAUGAUUUUCUUUCUUGCCCUAUUUUUUCAAGAUUUUUGGAUAAUAAAAGUUUCUGAGACGAUUUCGGGUCAUUUUAUCGAGUUUUCGACCAGUUUUUGAGUUUUGUAACUCGGAAUUGAAUUCCAAUUUCGCCUUAAGCUUAGAAAUAUUAUUUAUAGUCAAAAUAGACACCAAGUUUGUCUGUAACUCAUCUCUAGAUAUUUUUCACCUUGAAAUUUAAGUUUCGAAGUUUUAGGCAAAUAUCCUAAAUCGGGAGAUUGUAUAUUUCCGGACGAAAUUAUCUGAAAAUGUUCGGACACGAUGUUUAUCGGGAAAUUACAUCAUAUCAAUAAAGUUUGAAGUCGUCAUUUCAUGAGUGACUUACUUGUUACACAAGUAAUGCAAAAGCUUCCGAAAGCCCCUAAAACACUCAAGAAAUCCUCUUACUCCACCAUCAUUAGACACAUCAACUAUGUUAGUCUAAAUCUACUUUGCAUUAAAUUUUCUGAUUUGAUGAGGGUGAUGCUCUCCUAUAAAUACCUUACCCAAUUCUCUCAUUUUUACACUAAAUUCCCUAUACAAACUAAUGUAGUCUUUUAUUUUCUCUUCUUCAAUUAUGUUGUUCAUAAAGUAGAUUUUAUUUGUUAUUUAAGUAUUUUAUGAAGGCAUAACUAAAGGGGAUAAUAAUAAAAUCAUAUGAACCUUUAUGUAGUUUUUGACUUUUGUAAAUCUUGAAAUUUCUUCCUUGUUCUUAGAUGGAAAAACUAUAUCUUUGGACAAGGUUAGAUGAGUUAUUUGUUUGGAAAAACUAUGUUUAGGAAAAAAGUUUCUAUUUUAUUCUUGAAAGAUUAUGAUGUUGAUGAUUUUUUGUUGAAAAUGUUUAAUUUUUAGAAAGUAUUAUGUUUUAAAAGUGGUUUAGCAUAUUUUACUCUUUUAUUUCCAAGUUAAAAUUAUGAUUUGGGAUAAAAGAUGAUUUAUAAAAGUCUUGACUUCAUAUACUUAAAGUGUUAUGAAAUUUUGGAUAUUAAAGUAGUAGAAAGUCUUACCUUAGGAUUUAUUUUCAUGACUAUGAAAUUAAAACUUACUAAUCCUUGAGGUUUUUCCUAAAAAAUUAGGAGGUGUUAAGAUGUUCAUGAAAAGUUGUUGUGUUAAGAUGUUCAUGAAACUUUGUUUUAGUAGUAUACUUGAAAUAAGGAGAUUUACCUAAAAGUCUUGACUUUAUAAACUUCAAGUGUUAUGAAGUCUUAGAUGGUAAAAUGAUUUAAAAAUCUUGAAUCUUAGUUAAAUGAACUUACUCUAAAAUGGUAAGAUUUACUUAAAAAAUAUUGAUUUUGUUUAAAUUGACUUACUUAAAAAAUGAUAAGUGUAGCUUAAUGAUCUUAUUUUAAAAGGUUAGUUUUAGUAAAAAUGUUUUACUUACAAAAAAUAAGAUAUAUGAACUAUCGGAAAAAUGUAAUGAAAUAGGAAUACAUGUCUAGAAAGGUUCUGUCUAAGGAAAGACUUGGUAUUUAAGGGUGUCUUUACAACCCACAUCUCUUUCCUAGGAACUAGCCUUGUGUAUAUCCACAGAUUACGACAUAAUUCCGGUAUAAGUUUUAUUGAAAAUCUUACUUUAAAAAGUGUUAUUUGAUUGUAAGACUUUCAAUGACAAAUGAUAAUUCAAGGAUGUUCAACCUUGACUCGGAUUGACGAAAGCAAUUAAAUUCAUUUUAAAUCGGAAGUUUUAUCUUCGCGUAAAAAUUUAUUUUGUAAGUAUAAUAAUUAUCGCAUGUUAACUAAUUAACGUUAUUUUGGCGUAAUGACGAGUUCGAGAGGAGAUCGGAUCAAGUAAGCUCACCUGCAAACAAAGAAUCUAGCGACCUGACACACUCAGGUGAUGGAGAAAACAUCGUGACAUAGUGGUGUCCGAAUAUGUAUCAGGACCUCCAAACUCCCUCACAAGUUUGGAGGUGCCUUGGGUAUUAAGAAAGUUCGUACUUAAUCAAUUGCCUGUUUGUUUGGAUUAAGUACAACAAUAUUUCUUAUAUCGANNNNNNNNNNNNNNNNNNNNNNNNNNNNNNNNNNNNNNNNNNNNNNNNNNNNNNNNNNNNNNNNNNNNNNNNNNNNNNNNNNNNNNNNNNNNNNNNNNNNGUGCCCUCGCUUGAGCGAGACAGCUCUCGCUUGAGCGAGAGAGCUCCAUACAGACAUGACUUCUUUUUAAGUCGUCUGAAUGAUAAGUCUCAUAUAUACGAGAGCCUAAUGGCAUGUUUGCCAUCAAGAAGUUGUAAAGGUAAAUAAUUAUAAGAAAUUCUUGAAAGUAAUAAAACUAAGGAAUUGCUUUGUUAAAAGGAGAGGCCCGAGGGUGUGAUAUUAUGCCCACGCAGCGAGAUCGUUUGACUGUAAGAGACUUGGCUAGAGCAGUCGUCCAGGAUGAUUCAGCAAUGGUUCGCAGUGGUGCUGAGAAGUAUUAUGUUGUGCCCAUGCAGCGAGAUCGUCUAACCAUAAGAGGAUUGGCUUGAGAGCCGUCCAAGAUAAUUCAGCGAUGGUUAGUAGUGGUAUCGAAAUUAUUCUCUUUUUGUUUAUAUGUUAAGAUCGGGACCCACUAGAAGCAUUCUCGAUGGGAGAUGUCUUAGGAUGGGUAGAUCGCUAGAAAAGAUGGAUUAAAAGACAUAAUUUGCUAACUUCAGUUAGGGUGCAUAUCCAUGGUCAAAAAUGUAGUAGCGGAGAGGAAAUGUACAGGAGACGAAUGAGCCCCGAUAUGUUUAGAGGGACGGUGUUGAUGGCGGUGAUUCGUCAGCAAAGUCUUGAGGGAGAGUCUAGGUGAGAUGAGUCCCAUGUAUUCCUGGGAUCAGAUAGUGCUCACAGCGCGAACUAGACGAUCUCUGACAAUCCCUCUUUGCAAUCAUGAUCGAUGAGAGGGAUGCCCAGAAUGUGUGUGAUAUGACACCAUCCUGAAAUGGACAGUUCCGUUGGAAUAGAUCGAUCAUAUAUCCUUGCGAGGAAUAAUUUUGGUGCAAUCAAAUCAGCUUGUUAUGUGAAAUGUACUCUCGGUUAUUUCUGAAUAGUUAUUGAGAGGUUAAAGGAGUAAAGAUGGUGGACUCAAGCAUCGCAUUGCAUACAUGAUAUUCUUCAAUAUUGAUUCUAAAUUCUCGAGUUUACUUCAUUCAUCGUUAUUAUAUGCUUGUAUGAUCACAUGAUAAAUCUAUACUUGUGUGUUGUCUUGGUGUAUUAUUCCGUGUAAUUCCACAACGCCGAUGACAAGUUCUUCAUAGAUUUUUUACUCCCUCUCUUUUCUUCUGGUGUAUUUGUAUGCAUGUUCAGAUGGACUCAUCAACACUAAUCUGAGGUUAUCGCUUCCCUAUGUCCCAGGAGGGGACAUGGAGUGUUGAGGGUAAUCGACACACUUACACGGGUCCUUGCGACCUGUAGCUGGAUUGGGCAAGCAAUGGGUCAGUUAUGCAUCUUCCACCUUACUACGCAGUUCGGGAGGCAUUAUUCACUUUACCCGACCGAAGACCUGCAACCGUCAGACUUUCUGUACCGGCUGAAGCUCGAGGCGUACCAGAAGUUGUUAGGACCGGGCCCCAAACAGGAUUCUCAUCAUUAGAAUCGGCGCCAAGAGAGACAGACGGGGCCAUGCCAAGGGGGGACACCCUGGACCCCUCAAUGGAUUGGGGAGCGGAUGAAGUGGAGGAGGAGGAAGACAACGUCGACAAUGUAGAGCUUAUCUGCAUAGAAGACUCAGUUGAGGUCAUUGAGAUCACUUCUAACUCAGAGGUGGAGGAAGAACCCAGCGAGGCUUCCAGUGCACCUCCGGUUUAGGAGGUUUCUCUUUUGUUUUGUUGUGAUAGGAACCUGUGUGAGGUACUUUUUGUGAUGUCAAUGCCCCAACAUUAUUUUCUUUGUAUUUUCAGUUUUUUUAUUUUUAUUUGUGGUGAUGAUUAGAUUUCACCUUGUAAACAAUUUUGUAUUUAUUCAAGAAUUUUAUGAAUGAGAAGUAUUCAGAAAAGAAUUGUGUUCAUUUAAUUAUCUUCAAUAUAUGAAGAAUUUUAUUUCCACAAUGUUUGAAAAUGUGAUGUCUUAAAAAUUAAAUAAGGUAAAAGUGAAAAUGAUUUAUAAGUUAUAGGUUACAUAAAAGAAAAGAAAAAAGGAAAGAAAAUUUUAACUAUUUUUCUAAGAGAUUAAAUAUAUUAAAUAUGAAAUGAUUUUUGGGGCGUUAUAUAACUCUAAUGUCUUAUGGUAUGAUAUUAUCCUUAAUCUUUACCUCUAAAGUAGAAGUGUCAAAACAGGCCAGCCCGGUCAGGUCGCCCCGCCAAAGCCCAAAAAUUUAUAGGGCUUGAGUAUCAUUUUAGACAUUUUUUAUUGAAUUCGGACUUUUUAGCCCGGUCCGACCGAGCUAUAUGAAAACCGGGCUCGGGCCGGGCUUAACCGGGCAGGUUCGAGCUACCCGUUUUUCCUUUUUUUUAUUUAUAUUUUUUGGAACCUUUGACUUGAUAAAGUCUUAUGUGAAAAUUAUUUUACAAAACAACUUAUAAUAAAAAAUAGAUAAUAAAUAUUAUGUUAUGAACUUUGAAUAAAAAAUAGAGUAAUGUCUACAACAUAAAUAUUUAUAAAUUACAAUAAUGUUAUAGAGUUAAACAUUAUAUUAUUUUUCUAUUUUACAUAAUAUCAUUUUAAGCCCAAUAAAAAAUAAUGUAUCAAAUCAAAUUAGAAGACAUUAAACCAAUGUUGUAAAAACCAUUUCGUACUAGCCGGUUCAACCGGAAAACCGGUGAAUCGGACCCCUAACCGGUACAGUACAGGUGUUGAACCGGUUAAGUAUCAAAACCGGUCAAAACCGGCCAAUAUUUUACUAAACUGGCCAGUUUAUACACAUAUAUUUUUUUUUUGCAAAAAAAAAUUAAAUACUUAAAAACUCAUUACAAGGUGACUCAUCUUUCCAACCAUUCUUCAACACUUCAAGGCACAUGUUUCCAAGGCAUAUAUAAAUUACACUUUUUGGUUCCUAAUGUUCGUGUGUAAUCUCAGUGACAUUUGUGUAAUCUUGGAGUAGUGUGUGAAAAUAGGAUUUGGUGGAAAAAUAUAAUAUCGAUAUGAAAUAACUUUGACUCCUUGGUGUUAAAUAUUAAACUCCAAAUUUAUUUGUUUUGUAGAGUGAGUUGUGAACUUGUGUCAUUUAUUUAUAUUUUGCGGUUGUUAAGUGAUACUUUUGGAUUAAUAUGUGUUUUGUAAUUUAGACUUUGAAUUUGUUAAAGUCUUAAAGUUGUUUGUUUAUGUGAAUUUUUAGUAGAUUAUAAACAUGGAUUAUAAAUUUGAGUAUCUACCUAUUUGGAAUUUUUUUGUUAUAGGUUUUUAUAUAUAUAAAUAUAAGUAGGUAUGUCCGGUUUAACCGACAUGCGGUUUAAUUACUGAACCACCGGUUGAACCACUGUACCACUAUACCAGUACCUGACCGGUUUGAUAACCGGUACGGUUUUAACAACACUGCAUUAAACCUUAUAGAUUUCACUUUUCCUUUCUUAAUUGUGUAUCUAAUUAGAUUUAACUUCUAGAACACAAACAUAAUAAAGAAAAUAACUUUUGCAACAAAACUAAAAGACAAUAUAAUUUUUUCUCAUAAAGAACUUCAUACAACCAAAUUUAAUAUAAUAGUUCAUAAUAAAAGUGUUGAUAAAGAACAUACAAAUGAUACUAUUUUUUAUAGUGUCUAAAAAUUUAUAUAAUAUAGUGAAGUCCAAAUUAUAUUGUGUUAGAGAAUAAAAGUCCAAUAAAAAUGAGAUAUUUAAUAAAUGAGUUAUGUUAAAAAUUAUAUAUGUGGACUUCAAGUCUUAACUAAAAAAUCAGAAAUUAGAUCUAUAAGUUUGGUUGUAUUGGGCAUAGGAAGUGUGUUAAAAAAGUUAUACAUUAAUAUCAAAUAUAUAUAUUAAAUAGAUUAAAUAAGUUAAAAUUUAAAUAUUUUUUUAAUAUUAUGCAGGCCUACUCACCACAACCUGCAAUCCGCUUAGGGCAGAUUUGGGAUACAAUAUGAUAUGCAUAAAUUGUAUCCAGGCUUUUUAUCCCGUCCCGAUUUAGCCUGAACCCGAUAUGGGGUAGCCUGAACCCGUCUGAGUAGUCCAUUUUGACACCUCUACUCUAAAGUAUAGUUUAUUGGUCUCUUUCUAAAUGUACACUCCACUCAUACAACAUAAAACCAUGGUCUUAAAAUGAGCAAAUAAUUCUAUCAAGUAAUAACGAGACAAGUUAUUGCUCUUGCAUUUAUAAACAAAGGUAAAAAAAUUAUCUCAUUAUAUCUUAAGGACAAAAAUGUUAAAUCAUAUUAUUUUUUUCUUUUUUUAAGUGUAUUUGUCGCUCAUUAUCAGAGAGGAUCCUAAUUCCUUAAGAAGUGUUGGAUUUAUAAUAAUGGGAAAAGUUCACAAAACCAUCUUAAAUUUUACGUGUUUUGCAAGUAGACACCGUAAACUAUUUUUUCUUCCUAAUUACUCCUUAAACUUUAACUAUUAGUGAAAUUGGUCCCUAUAUGUUAGAUAUUUCGUGAUGAUUGGUGAAAUAGUAAUCCUAGGAUCUUGAAUCUCAUGAUUUUCACACAUAAUAUAAAACAAGGAUACAAAGUCAUAUCUGAAUCCAUAUUUUCUGAUCUACUCAUUUGAUGUACCUUUUGAGAGAGUUUCGGUAUGAUUGCAUUCUUCAACCAAAUCUUUAAUUCCUUUUAUGACCUUCGUUUUCUCUCUAAUGAGAGAGUUGAAAACUAUUUGUGAUUUGGUGUAUUGGGGAUCAUAACCGUUCCUUAUGUGUUAACUUAUAGGGUUCUCAUUAUCCUCUAUAGGCCAACCAUUUGGGUAUCCCUCAUUAAGCUCAUAUUCGUUAUCAGUUUCAUAAGUCUUAUGGUUUGUUAGUAACUUUUUUUUGUUUCCCAUAGGUAUCCUCGCACUGUAGGCAAUCCUGUCCUAGCCGGGAACAUCCACAGGUAUGUGGGGCUAACUCUCCUAGCGGGUAUUUUUUCCAUCCAGUAGACUUGAACCCGAGACCUUGUUUAAGGGGAAUCAAGCAUGUACCACUUAAAUCAACACCUCUUCGUAGUUUGUUAGUAAUUAGAUCACUUAUUUUUUAACCCAAAAAUAAAUAGUCGAUAUAAUUGUAUUAAAUAUAUUAUGCUAACCUUAAUUAUAAAUUAUGAAUUUCAAACAAUCUCCCACUUGGACUUCAUAUUUUUUCUGAACAAUUAUAUCACAUUCUUUAGGCGUGUAUCUGUAUGCUAUUUAUAUUUAGACUUAUCAUUAAUACAAUUUGGUCCAUCUCGUAUAUGAACUAUGGAACCACCACGACCUUCAUCAUACUCGACCACGAUGAUCACUAUAUUAAUAUACUUAAUGACAUAGAUCAAAUAUGGAUAAGUGACAUUGAAAUUUUAUGCAAUGUGAUCUCAAACAUGUCUAUUUCCAACUGGUCAUUCUUUAUUCUUUAGUGAGAUCAAUCCAAAGUCUUUAAUUGCAACACAAUAUUUAUAAUACACAAGUUCAAAGUAGAACAAUAAACCAUCAACUUUAUAAUGCGUAAAAUUAUAUAUGACGUCCAAAGUAAGUCAUAAAACAUAUAGAAUCUCACUGAACUAGAGCAAUACUCAUUGAGCAAUAUUCUCAUCAAAGACUUUAGGUACCAAACCCUUAGUCAAUGGAUCAACUAGCAUAAAAUUUGUCCAUAUAUGUUAUAUGAUUUUUUUUAUUUUGAACACUUUCGUUAACAACCAGAAACUUUAUGUCAAUAAAAUUUGACUUUGUAGAACUCUUAUUAUUGUUGGAGUAAAGAAUCGCAGACUUAGUGUCACAAUAAAUUCUCGAUGGUCUUUUCAUACCAUCGACCACAUGUAAGCGAAUGACAAAAUUUCUACAACCAUAUUGCAUGGUAUGAUGUUUCAAAAAAAAACCAUGAACCCCACAACCAUGGUUGAAGGAGCUAUGAGUGUCUAUUUACAAGACUUCCAAGAGAUAUCACCUCCAACCAACAUAAAUAUAUAUCCAAAGGUGGAGUACAUGUUAUCUAAACAUCUAGCAAAAUUGGAAUCAGAGUACCUAAGGAUCUCUAAAUUUUCAGACAUCUGAUAAGUGAGCAUGUACUCAUUUGUUCUCUUUAAGUAACAUAACACGUUUGAUUACCUUCCAGUGAUGUAUUACAAGAUUGCUCAAAUAUCUUUCCAAAACUCCCAAGACAAACACUAUGUCUGGACAUGUACAAACUUGAGCAUACAUUAGACUUCUUACUGCACAUGCAUAAGGAAUCUUUUGCAUCUCAUUUCUUUCAAGGUCAUAUUUUUUUGGGCAUUGUUCGAGAUUAAACUUAUCUCCCUUAGUUAUAGGGGUAUCCUCUGGUUUACUGUCUUUCAUACCAAAUCUAUCUAGGACUUUAUCUAUAUAGCUUUCUUUUGACAACCUUAGGAUACCUUGAGAGUGAUCUCUUAGUAAUUGAAUACCUAAUACAAAAUAAGUUUUCUCAAGAUCUUUCAUUUCGAAAUUCUUUGUUAGAAAUCUCUUGGUCUUAUGCAAUAGUCUGAUAUCACUACUAGCAAGCAGUAUAUCAACGAAAUAUAAUACCAAAAAUAUAAUUUUACUCCCAUUGAACCUAUGGUAUACACAAUCAUCCACUUUAUUUGCCUCAAAACUAUACGAGGUAAUAACUUGAUGAAACUUGUGAUUCCAUUGACGAGAAGCUUGUUUAAGGUCAUAGAUGGAUUUCUUUAAUUUGUAUAUCAUAGACUUUGAGCCAAUUGACACAAAAUUGUCUGGUUGCACCAUAUAGAUCGUUUCUUUAAUGUCACCAUUUAGAAGCACAAUCUUAACAUCCAUUUGAUGUAGCUCUAAAUCAAAAUGAGCUACUAAUGCCAAUAUUAUUCUAAAAGAAUCAUUCAAAGAUACUGGAGAGAAGGUUUCUUUAUAAUCAAUGCCUUCUUUUUGAGUUAAGUCUUUAACAACUAGACGAGUUUCAUAUAUGUCAAUAUUAUCUUUUGAAUCCCUCUUAUCAUGCAUAGACUUCAUCGCAUCGUUCAUGGCAUCAAUCCACCUUUGAGAGUUAGAACUUUUCAUGGCUUGACAGAAGCUCAAUGGAUCAUCUUCUGUUAACCUGAUGCCAUCUUCGUGUUCUUGAAGAAAUACAAUAUAAUCAUUAGGAAUUUCUCUUCUCCUCUCUCUAGUGGAUCUCCUUAAUGACACUUCUACUUCUUCAGGUCGUUGAAUUUUUUCUAUAGGUACUUGAGGAACAACAUCAUUGUUUUCUUGUACAAGAAUAUUGUCAGGAACAAUAUACUCUUCUAUUACCGAAGUUAUUCCUUGAAUGGUAAUAGACACAAAAACUUGUUUACCAUUAGUGACAGAUUCUUCCUCAAAGACAACAUUUCUUAUGUUCUCUUCCUUCCCAAAAUCAACUUCCUCAAUAAAUUUUGCAUUUCGUGUCACACAAAAAAAGUCUUGAAGUGGGAUCAUAAAAUUUAUAGCCCUGAGAGUGUUCAACAUGGCCAACAAAAUAGCAGCUAACUUUUCUUGAAUCCAGUUUCCUUUCAUGCGGCCUGUAAGGCCGCACCUUAGUUGGAAAACCCAACUGUGCAAGUGUUUUAAGUUUGAUCUUUUAUUACUCUAAAGCUCGUAUAGGGUUUUGUUAAUUGCUUUACCUGACAUGCUAUUAAGGGUGUAAACUGUGGUCUUUAAAGUCCUCCCAAAGAGACUCUAGUAAGGGAGAUUGACUAACCAUACUUCUCACCAUAUUCUUAAGAGUUCGGUUUCAUUGCUCAGCAGCACUCUUCAUGCUAGGUUUGCCUAGCAUAGUGUAUUGUGGAACAAUUCCAUAUUCUCUGAGGAAAACACAAUUAGUCAUUUCACAACAUCUUUAUGGUUCUUUCUUUUCUUAUUAUGAGAGGUCAUAGUCAAAUGAGCACUUUCAGUCUUAUCUCUAUGCAGUCUCUCUUUCUUUUGCACACACUAAGAUAUAAACUCAUUGAGAGGCCAUUUGUCCUUUUGAGUGUUAUAGCUCACUUAGAAUGGCUCAAAGUAUGUAGGAAGCGAGAUCAAAACCAAUUGCACGAGCAAGUCAUCACCAAACUCUAACUUAAGUGACUUGAGUUUUGAUGUGAGAUUAGACAUCUCCAUAAUGUACUAUCUUAUGUUCCAUUUGCCUUUAUACUUCAUGGAGAUGAGUUUAGCCAAAAAGCUACUCGUCUCCGCCUUUUCAUUUUUGCAUAGUAUGGUUCUAUUUCUUCAAGGAACCUCCUUGCACUCUAACCCUUAUAAAUAGAGCCCCAAAAAGCUUAUAGAAUAGAGUGUUUCAUGAUCAUUAGACACAUUCAGUUAGAGUGUUCCCAUUUCUCAAUUUUAACCUCAUCAAGGAUUUCUAGAGUAGAAACGAGUUUCUCCACCUGAAGUGUCAGAUCUAAAUCCAUACCACCGAGAAUAAUUUUUACGGCUUCCUUAUAUACCUUAAAGUUUGCUCCAUUCAGCAAUAGGAUGUUCAUAAUUUAAGCAGAAAUAUUUGCAGCACUAGUAAAAGAACAAAACAAAUUGCAAUCAUUCUUGCAAUUAAACUCACAUUCAACUUUAUUGCUUAAAUUCAAAUGAUGGUGGAGCACAUCACGAGUUACCUAACACAAAAUUAAUAUUCAGUCUUUGGACAAAAAUAUUAACUUGUAAAUGAUACACUCAAUGUAGUAAUCAAAUAUUGAUAAUUAGUCAUGUCAAACAAUAAGUUAUUCUUUGGACUGGCUUAUUAUUCACAUAAAAAGUCAUAUGAUCAUCACAUAUUUAUUGCUAGAAGUAUGCUUGUAAUUUUGGCCAAACAAUAAUCUUCUUUUGGGUCGAUCACUAUUCGCAUAAUAUGCAAAAUAUACAAUUAACUUGAUAUUUCAUAUCAAUCACUAAUGAUACUCUUGUUUGUGAUGGUCAAACAUUGAUCAUAAUACAUGUCAAAUAAGAAUCCAUUCUUUGGACUGAUUUAUCAUUCACAUAUGCAACUUUAUAAUAAUCACAUGUUUGCCAUCAUAUGUGUGUAUUUAAUUCGACCAAAUAAUAGUCUUCCUUUAGGCCGAUUAAUACUCGCAUGGAUACAUAUGUGCACUAGCAUUUGAUAUUUAUUAUGAACAAUUCAUAAAAAAAUAUCACUUUGACAACUUCUUGUUUAAUAGGUUCACUUAAAAUGUCAAACAAUUUUAUUUUAUAAAAAAACCAUUUAGUUGAGUUUGAUUCAACAUAAACCUUAAUCCAAAACAUAUAUUAUUUAUAUCCACAUAUAAAUAUAUAUAUCCAUUAUAACCUAUUGAUAGCAUUGCAUCAUUCAUAUACAAGGACUGCAUUUUGAAUUCUAGUGAUUGUCCUUUUGAAUUUUCUAUAAAACAAUUAUCAUUUUAUACAUGAUUAAACAUGGCAGAGCAAACUCGCCACACAGAAAUAUUGUUUCAGCAAUAACAAUCACUUAAUAAUGCAAUCAGACACCAACCAAUGCAACAAAUCAUAAGUGUUGUAACCAUUUAAACAAACAAGUCAGGUAAUAUAUAAAACAAGACAUGUUCACAUAAUAGACUCAUCACAAGAUACCUAGCACAAUAUCAAUUUCUAGUCUUUGGACAGAGAAAUUAAUUUGUAAGUGGUACGCUCAACGUAAUGAUCAAGUAUUAACAAUUAGCUCUGUGAAACAAUAGCCUUUCUUUGGACCCACUAUUAUUCACAUAAAAAAAAAACUUUAUAUUUAUUACAUAUUUAUCAUCACAAGUAUGUUAUUAUUCGGUCAAAUUGUGUUUUCCUUUGGGUCGAACACAAUUCGCUAAAUAAUCCUAUACUCAUGUGUGUAACUUUAAUCAAUUUCCACAAUAUAGGUUACUUUGGCAACAUAUUGCAUCAAUUAAUUCAAAAAUAAUUAUCAGACAAAAGUAAACAAUAUGGGUCUAUUAUAAAAAAAAUAUAAUUUUGGAAUUAAAACCUUCAGAUUUGAUAUCUUUUAUGAUUAAGAUUAACACAUAUAAUCCUACAAUAUAAUUUCAAAUCAAAAACAAUAUAUUACAUAUAUAUCAACUCAUAAAAAUGGAGACAAUCUUAAUCAAAUACAAAAGAGAUCGAGAUUGAAAUGCAUAAAAAAUAGAUGUAAAUCAUUAUCGAAAUUCCAAAUCGAAUAUGAUCAUGCAUAUCUUAAAACAUAUAUAUAUAACUAUUAAAAGAUAUAUAUAUAUAUAUAUAUGUGUGUUAACUUUAAUCAGUAAUUCCAAACAUUACAGCAAUUUCAAGCUGGAAACAAUUACAUAUGUAUAUAUGUAUAUUUUAAUUCGCAUUAUAUAUACAAUACAAGGCCAUGAAUUCUAUAUUGUAUAUGUAUAAAAGAUAAAACAUGACUUAACCCAUAUAUACCUUAUACAUAUACUUCAGCAAAAGUCAAUGUCCAACAGUAAGGCAUUAGUGCACAUAUAAUAUACAUAUUGCAUAACAGAGUCAUACAAGUUAAUGCAAUGUUGACGCACAGGUCUGAAUAUAUAGUUCAACCCAUGUUGCAAGGAUUCAUAAUACAAAUAACUCAUAAUUUAAAUAAGCAGAAGCGGAUAAAAGUUAUCAUCAUUAUUCCUAAAUACCCAAUUUUCAUAACCAAUAGCAGAAGCAUAAAAAUCCUCAAAUUAAAAAUUAGGGUUCAUAAAAAUUGGGAAAAAACAUAUUUAAUGGAGAAACAUAAAAUUCAGAGCCUAAAGCUCUGAUACCACUUGUUAGAUAUAUCAUGAUGAUUGGUGAAAUACCAAUCCUAGGAUUUUGAAUCUCAUGAUUCUCACACGUAAUAUAAAACAAGGAUAUAAAGUCAUACUUGAAUCUAUGUUAUCUGAUCUACUCAUUUGAUAUACAUUUUGAGAGAAUCUUGGUAUGUUGGUCUUCCUCAACCAAAUCCUUAAUUCAUUUUGGGACAUUUGUUUUCUCUCUGAUGGGGAGAAGUGAAAACUAUUUAAGAUUUGGUGUAUUGUGAACCAUAAUUGUUCCUUAUGUGUUAACUUAUAACUUAUAGGUUCCUAUUAUUCCCUAUAGGCCAACCAUUUAGGUAUCCCUCAUUAAGCCCAUAUUAUUAUCAGUUUCAGAAAUUUUAUAGUUUAUUAGUAAUUAGAUCACUUGUUUUGUAACUCAAAAAUAAAUAGUCAAUAUAAUUGCAUUAAAUAUAUUAUGCUCACCUUAAUUAGAAAUUAUGAAUUUCUAACACUAUAUACAUACGAUUUUAAAUUACUAAUAAUGAAAUUAAUAUUAACAAAUUAGAUGAUGUAAAAAUGAUUCUUAACUAUUGUUAUUAUGUUUCAUAGAUUCAUAACUUUUCCAUGUGGUGUUGCACAUUGGCAUGGUUUAAUUCCUAUAGCAUGGCAGCGUAACUCUAUUUUACUUCAAGUAACAUGGUAUGGUAACUUUCUGCAGGAAUUCUUGAAGCUCCUGAAAAAGAAAAGAAACAUAUAUGGAACUUUCAGAUACCAGAAGAAGCUUCAUAUUAUUGGACAGAACUUUAUGGUCAUUUAGACAACCUUGACCAAUGAUGAAAUUAUAAAAAUCAAGUUUAUGCAAAUUAUGAAUAAAAAAUAGUUUACGAUGACUACUUAUGAAACACAUAAAGUUUAAGGGGAUUUUGUGUAUUUUUACCUAUAAUAAUUAAUAAUAAUAAAUGUGUUGAAUAAAAUGUAAAGUCAAGAUAAAAGGCCUAAGUCCAGUGAAAUGUAAAAUCAAACAUGCAUUAUUCAGCUUACAUCUAACUGUCAUUACCUAUCUACCCCUGAUCAAAUAGUUAUUCCCGAAAAUAUCCCUUAUCAGGGGUUACUAAACUUAGUAUUUUUCAAACAAACACAACCUGCGAAGUGUGACCGUACGAAAACCGCCACCGAGUCUCACUCUCCGUGUUACAAACAAUGUCGCAAACGGCGCAUGUUGUCGUCGGUAAAUCACCGUCUUCAAUUAUUCUUUCCACAUAAACUUAUUCGAAAUACAAAAACCUUAGCCAACCUUAAACUAAACAAUAAAUACUAAAUAGCUGGUUCAAUUUCAUUAACUUAGUGGGUCUGUUUUUCAUUUGCUUAGUUUAAGAACUUGUAUUGAACACAUGGGUUUUGCAUACUUUGUGAGUUUUUUAAAUGUUUUUUCUGUUUUUCUCUGCAUUUUUGUGAACCCCAUGAAGGAGCUGGUUUUGAAGGAUAUAGUAUUCUGUGCCUUUGUGGGGUUUUGAUUGCUCCUAUUGCCUGCCAUAUGUUUGAUGAAAUGCGGGUUCUAAACCAUAGUAGUUGUAGGACACUUCAUUAUCAAAGGAAGUGCCCUUCUCCUCAGUUGCAUAGGGCUUUCUUUUUUCUGAAUACUUUCUUUAUGUUUGUUUUGAGUUUUGGCAAUGUUAUUUUGCUUUUCUAUGUGAUUCUUUCCAUCCAGCCUAAUGCCUUUAUUCAUAUCAAAGUGUGGUAAUUAGAAUUGGAUGGUUUUGAUGAUUGUUUUAAGUUGUAUCAUAGACAAUGGGUUGUAUGAUCAGUGUUCAUUACCUAUAGAAUGGCUCUCACCAAACUGAAAGCAUGGAUCUUUAGGUUCUGUUUUUCUUUGUGAUUGAAUGUUAGCAAUUGUUGUAUUUUGGGUCAAUUGGUUUUAUCUGCCAGCUGCUUCUACUAUAGUCUUAAGUCAUCAUGACUCUAGCAUGAUUAACUUAUUUUUAGCUGGCAUUUCUAUGGUUGAGUUCCCAUUAUUAGUCUUUUGUGAUGUGUAUUAUCCCUAAAUUCAGAGGCUUGAGUACUUGGUACCUUAUGUAGGGUUUCUGUUGUGACGUUUUGUGUCAUUUGAUGUCUUUGUUUAUUUUUUAAGUUCUCGUACUUUAUCUUUCUCUUUGUGGGUUUUUGUGUUUUCGAUGAUAUUGCAGGUUGUGGAAUGUCAGAAGGGAGGUGUCUCCCAUGCUCAGGUGUGUCUGGAAGAACAGCUGCUGUAUAUUCCAGCUCUUCUCUGAGUCAUUACAGAAUUCAUUCACUUGUCAAACUUAGAGGGCUGAAGUAUGCUUCCGUGAGUGCAUCUUUUGUUUGCGAAGCAAGGAGGAACCCUGAUUUCUCAAGGCAAAACAAGCACGGGUCCUCCAGAAGCAGGAACAAGCACAAUGAAGGGAGAGAUAGCUUUGAGCACUUUGAAGAAGAUAUGUUGUCUUUGAAAAAUGGACCCUUGCCAUCACUUUCUGCCUCUGGAAAAUCCCAAGCCACUGCAGUCCCUGGACUUAGAGAGAAGGAGAUUGUUGAGCUAUUUAGGAAGGUUCAAGCACGGCUGCGUGAGAGGGCUGCUACCAAGGAACAAAAGAGGGUUGAAGCUUCUCCAGUGCGGGGUAAAGAGAAUGGUACCGUUGAUUCCCUCCUCAAGCUACUGAAGAAACACUCAAGUGACCAGCAAAAUAAAAGCAGUGGAGGAGGCAGAGGAAAAGAUUAUAGUCUGGAUGGGUCGCAAGAAACUAGCCAAUACAACGGUCGACGAAGCACUAAAAUUUCUAAUUUGGAUAAUGCUGCAAAGGAUGAGUCCCAAGAAUCCAACAUCUCAUCUAUAAGUAGGCCUCAGUCAAGUUUCCAACGAAGGUCUCCUGUUCCUCGUGUAAAAUUCCAGCCUAUCGGUUACGACGAGGAAGAUACGAAUGUAAUCCAACCAAGUAGAGAGGUUAGAGUGAACAAUCACAAUCAGAGACAUUUGAAGAUUGAUCAUAAGGAGGGCCCUGGUUCUGAACCAGAUCUUGAUCAUGACUUAAAGACCGAUUCUGAACUAGAUCUUGAUCAUGAGUCAGACCAAGACUCUGAACCAGUUCUUGUUCCAAAGGAUGAGCUAUUCUUCCCAGGUAGGGAGAUUGAUGACUUGUCAGAUGAUGAUUCUGAACAUACCGAUAAUGACGAGCAUGCGGAGGAGGAGGAGCUAGUGGUUCAGCAUGAGGAUUUGAGUGCACUGAAGCUGCCUGAAUUGAGGGCAAUUGCAAAAUCUCGUGGCCUAAAAGGGUUCUCAAAAAUGAAGAAGGGUGACCUUGUGGAGUUGCUAUCUGGGAACUGAUUACGAUCAAGAAGGGACAACACAUGUCAGUUGAUAAAAUAGAUGUUUCCUUCUGUUUUUACCCUGCAUUGUAUUUUUCUGUGUUGGUUAAUCAUUAGAGUAAUCAUGAUAUCGUUGCCUUGGACAGGGUUUUUGACGCAUAGUUAUGUUCCCAUGAUAUUUGCGAACUUUUACCAGUGAUUUGGUACUUCUAGUAGGCACUUCUAUUUACAUUAUACACAUUAACGCGUAGACCGGCACUUAUAUGUAUCAUCUUCAUCUUAUACUAUUUAAGAAAAACAAUUUAAAUAGAAGAAAUGCAAUAUAUGAACUCGAUAGAUAGUGAAGAUAUAAAUAAGAGAAUUUGUAGAAGAUUAAUAAUAUCUUAAUAUAAAAAAUAAAAUUAAUAGAGGAAAUGUGUGGAAGUUUAUAGUAGUUAUUAAUAAGAGAGGUUAUAAAGGAUAAUUUUGGAAUAUAAAAAUUAGGUCAUGGUGGUGGUUAUUAUUUGUUUUGGCUUUUAUUAAUAGUAUAGAUAUAGAUAAGACAUCACUACUCACCCAAAUUUUAAUAACCUUACAACCCUAACUUCUAAACAUACCCCUCUUAUUUGCGUCUACUCUCUUCCUCUUUCUUGUUCCUACUGUCACGAACAAUAGUAAUCAAUUGAUUGUCUUGUGGCCUAAAUAUUAUGUUUUCAAAUCCUGAAAAGACUCUCCUCACUGGGUCAUCUUUUAAAAAAGAUGUUGAACUUCAUUGCAAAGCUUCGGUUGUUUGCUUUGUGGUUUCAAGGCCAUGUGCAUGAUCGAACAAACUUGAUAGCUUUUCAUUUGAUUUUUCUAAAAAACAACAAACAUUCCUUCAUUUUUGUUCUAAUUUUCAAAACUAAUUCCAUUAACAAUAAAUUGAUAAAUAUUAUAUGUAUAAUAAACUUUUGUAAAAAAAUUAUUUGCUAAAUAAUCAGUUUUUGUUGUAGUUUAUUGCUUUUUAUUUAAGUUUUGUUUCUCACAAUUUAAACUCAUUUAAUUAUAAUCCGCAAUUACUCAUAGCAAAUUAUGAAUCUGAUUAUUUUAGAGCGUGCUUAAGUAGCUGUUUGUAAAAUAUAUUUUAAAUGAAUUUGAUUUUGUAAAAUAUAUUUUAAAUGAAUUUGAUUUUUUAAAAUAUAUUUUGAUUAUAAUCGUGUUUGAUUUUUUAUGCUAAAAUUACUUUGAUGUAAAAUUGUAAUGUAAAUUAUAUUGAUAUUUGGAGAGUUAGUUUGUGAGUUAGGUUAUGAAUGAAAAAUAAAUAAGUUAGAAGCUAUAUAAGACAUGAAAUUCACUAAUAAACUCUGAAUUAUUUUCUCUCUAUUCCAAAAUCACACACUUAACUUUAGGAAAAUCAGAAAACAUUUAUUCUUCUUACAAGAGAUUAUUUAAGCAAUUUUGUUUUGAAAAAUGAAGUUAUUAAACUCUUUCUAAUUUUUAAUCUUGCACAAAUCACAACAUUUUAAUUUUAGUGCAUUAAUUAUCACAUCCCAAUGGCUGAUACUACUGGGUAAGCGAGCGUAUCUGGGAACUCUUAACUCUGUUUAUUAUCCCAUCCUCUCUAUCAUACAAUCGCAAAAAUUCAAUCUUUCCACUUUUCCACAUUCAACCUCAAAACUUGAUGCUACAAUAAAAUGAAUAAGAACAACCAUACACGGUUCCAAUUCCAGUGUCUGUAUCAAAUAAUUCAUACUGGAAACGUAGAAGCCAUUAAAGCUCUACACAGAAAUGGUGCCAGCCUUGAGGUAUAUGACACAAAUUUAUAUAUAUUUUUUCUUAUCCGUUUUUAUGAGUUUUGAGUAAUAGAAUUCAUAUAUGCAGUGGAGUGAUGAAGAAGGAAGGACCCCUUUAAUAUUGGCAUGUAUGGACUCUGCACUUCUUCAUGUUGCUAAGUUUUUGAUUCAUUUGGGUGCCAAUCUUAACUCUUACCGUCCUGGUAUGUAGCUUCUGUUCCUUUUCUAUUUUUUCUUUUACUAAUUUUCAAUUCGUAUAAUUUUAUGAUUCAAAUCCCGGAGACAGCCUUUUAGUUUGCGGGGAAGUGUGUAUCUGCACUCUCGAGACUCCACUGAGUUGCCCUUUAAUAUUUUCAUUGCAUAAAUUAAAGGGGGAAUCUAAAAAUGCCCCUAAACUUUAGUCCCUGAAUUUCAAAAUUGUGUAAGAUGAUACUAAACCCUGGUUGGGGUGCAAAAUACAAUUUUUCUAAGAUUUCAGGGAACGAGAUCCUCUAUCUCAAAAUCACUAUGUCCUCAUAUCCCUAGCCGAUCAGCAUCCUCCAAGUAAUAUAAAUCAAAUUUAGGGUCCUUUUUACACUUUUUUCCAAUCAUGUCCCUAGCCAAGCUCCCUUUUAUUUAUUUUUCAAAUUUAGGGUCUAAAUCAAAUAUGUCAAGAAAAGUUUCAUGACUGUUUUUUGGAUUUUUCCCUUAGUUGAACUCAAUAAGGAUUUAGUUGUUAUACGUGAUUCGUGUAAGAGUUUUUAUACCGCUAAUCAAUAAUAUCAAAUGCAUGAUGGGUUGUUAGUGUAAAAAUAUAUGAUUAUAUUGCACCAAAUUUAACUUCUAGAAAAUGUCAUGUUACUUUAACUUAAUUUUUAUUUCAACCUUUUGUGAAGGAAAUGAACAAACAUAAAAAAAAUGUUUUUACUUGUAAAUAAAAAGCAAAUUGAAAAUUAUAUGAUAUUUUUGCAAUUAUAAAUGAGAACAUCUUGUUGGAAUCUCAUAUUGUCAUGCUAUUUCAAGAUUCAAUUUAUAAUAAUUGACCAACGAAUAUAAUAACUCAACUGAACAUUGUCUUCAAUUCCUUAUAUAUAUUAUAGGGCCUUUUGGUGGCACUCCUUUGCAUCAUGCUGCUAGAAGAGGUCUAGAGCAAACUGUUGAGCUGCUUCUAUCUCACAAAGGUUCUUCUCAUUGAUUGAGCAUGUUGAAGAUUUACGCUGCAUUGUAUCAUGGAUAUUGUAAGAACCAUAUGCUAGUGAAGUAAUAAUGUAGUGAAAUCUUUUCGCUAAUUUUUCAGCUAAUGCUCUUGUGAGGAAUGAUAAUAAUCAGACACCGCUGGAUGUUGCUCGAUCUGAGAGGCAUGCCCAUGUUGUCCGUGCAAUAGAGGUUAGUGUACUUACUUUACAUACGUCGAGUUUUAUCUGCUUAUGUGAAUUGGCAUGUGAUGUUGCUGAAAAUAAUUAUAUGUAUUUUGAAUUUUGUUGAUUCUAGAAUCAUAUUUGCUAUUUCAAAGGUUGGAUGAGAGAGUUUCAUGGUCCAUGGUUUCUUGAAGCAAUAACUCCUCAAUUGGUAUCCAGAAACGUGUAUGUGCAAAUCUCCAGUCAAUAUUUCUUGUUAAUCAUCGCAAUAGUACUGAUGCAAGAAACUAUUUCGAAACACUUUCUAUUUGCGUUUGCUUACGAAAAAUUGUUUCUUGCAGUUGGGUUGUUGUUCUCCCAUAUUCCGAAGAACCACUGAAGUUGGAAAUAAUGAUAUAUCCUACUCAGCAGGUAUGGCAGACCAUAAGGUUUAUUAACUAUUUAACUUCUAGUAUUUCUUAAGAUUCUUGACACAUUUUGUAUAUAAAUUCAAAGUGAUUCUACAAAAUCAUAUGGUAGAUCUUACAGCUAUAGUUCAAUGCACAUUAUGAUUUUGUUUUGGGUGCUAAAAGUUCUGUCCACAUACCAUAAGUACUAUUUGGUAUGCUUAGUUUCUCAUUAACUUUGUUGUAUGUUUUGUCUUCUAAGAGAUUGGCAUUUAGGUUAAAUGCCCUUUUGGAUACAGCUGCAUAUCUGUGAGGAAUUGACCUCUUUAUUUUGUUUGAUAUACAAACAGGACUCCCAGCCCCGUACAGUUAUCGAUCUUUGGAAGUCCGAGAUUGAGGAACCCGCAUUUGACGAGUGGGAUCCAAAGCUCACAAUUUUUAACCAUUUUCCUAGUGAGUUGUUUCUGUAACUUUUCUUGUUUUGGACUACUAGAGAUCAUAGGACUAGAAUGUCAUAAAGAUAGUCAGUCUAUUUUUAUUUCACUGUGUCAUAAUUUACACAUUCUCUACAUAGUUAAGACUCAAGAUUAUUUGCUUGGAACUGUUGACUCCAUUGAAUUUCAAAUUGCUUUAUCAAAUCAAAGUGAUAAUGUAGCUCCCUACUUUCUUAAGGAAUUUUUUUUUGGAUGGUAGAUAAAUAAAUUCAUAAUCAUAUGCAAAUUCAUUUCAUCACCUGAAUGUCUACAAUUGAUUCUCCUGUAGGCUGAAUUACUUCCCAUAUCUCGUUUUGAUUCUCCCAUUAUAUUCUAAUGUUACUGAGUAUAGUACACAGAAUUAACAAGUUAUGGUACUGAUGCAAAAAAAAAUGUAUGAUGUGGCCUGAUUCUGCAAUAGUUGUGCAUUUUUCAUAUUUUUAUUUCCAUUGGCUUAAUUGAUCUUGGUGAUCUUGUUGAAAUGAUGCAGUAAAGCAUCCAAAAUAGUUGAUUUAGAAUUAUUUGCUUAGCCUAGACAGGGAAUAUAUGUUUUUCUUCCGAAAAGAAUUGGAUGGUAAUAUGGUAUGCAUAUCCACAAAUAUAAGUUUUUUUUGUUCUUCGGUCUUCACUGUAUAUAAUUUAUUUCCUCAGAUAAUUUGUGGAACAGUUAAGGUAAAUUUAAUAGGUGUUUACUUGAAGUAGGGCAGUCUUAGCAGUAUUACUCUUUUGAAGUGAAUGUCCAGAGUAGGUGUUGAUUUUGACUUAACUCUGGAUAACUAUCACCAUUUGCGUUUUAUGAAUUCUUCAUCCUUUUAUUUCUCUUUUCCUCCCAUUAUAUUUUUCUCUUAGUUCCCAAUAUAUCAUAUUAACCGAUGCCAGUUUCUUUAUCAGGGACAAAGUACAGGCUUGCCUCUGCAAUACAGAAUGACAAACAACAGCUCCAGAAUUUAUACAGUGCAUGCCGAGGAAUCCCUCAGGUACAUAAUUGGACAGCCACUAUGUAUUUCUGUUUACUCUUGCAAUACCUUACAUGUUUUUAGGGAUGCAAAGUGUUGUUGUAUAUUCAUUUAGAAGAUAAUAGCACGUGGUGUCAUUGCAACAGCUUUAGAUCUGGAACAUAGUGCUAGUUCUUACUCACUGGCUGAUUAUAAAGAAGAUUGCUGAAUUAUUGAUACCAAAUUUGAUCUUUUGCUCUAUGCCUACCACAUUUAGUGCAAGUUAUCAGAUUUAUUGACUUAAAUAAUUACAUUACAGUUGUAUUACAUGAUUUUUAGUCCAUUGUUUUUCUCAAAUUUGCAAACAGAUUUAGUUGUUCUGUGACGAUGAUGCCGGUGUCUAAAAUGGAUGAGAAGUUAUCAACAAUCUGAGUUUAAUUAUAUCAUUUAUAAGUCUAGAAAUGAAAUAAUUGCAUGAAAAAGUGUGUGCAUUUCGCUGAUGCUACACGUUUGUUUUUAAGUUGCAUAAUUAUGGCUGAAAUGGAUUCAAACAGUAAGAUGACAAGUAUAACUAGACCAUAAAAGGUUGCAUGCUAAACCUUUCUGGUCACACUGGGUACUUGUGCUAUUCUUGUUUGUCACUGACAAUUUUUAUGAAAUACCUUUAUCAUGUUGUUCUUCUGGUUUCAGGUUAAAUCUUCACCAGUUGUCUCUGAUACCCGCACUUCAUUGCUCUGUGCAUCUGUUCAGUCUGAACCAAUUAACACCAAUGGCUGGGGAAGUUCAAGUGAUAAUAGUAGCUAUAACGGUUGGGGAACCUCUCUUGGAGCCAGACAUUCAUCAGAGAAAAAUACUAAUGGAUGGAUGGACAAACCAGUUAAAGAUGACCAGAAUGGUUGGGGAUCACCUGACUCUAAGCCAGUUGACCAAUCGACAAAAAAUAAUUUUGGAAGUUCAAGUGAUAGUAGCUAUAAUGGGUGGGGAGCCUCUCUUGGAGCCAGACAUUCAUCAAAGCUAAAUACUAAUGGAUGGAUGGACAAACCAGCCAAAGAUGAUUACAAUGGCUGGGGAUUACUAGACUCUAAGCCAGUUGAUCAGUCGACUGAUAAUGUUCUAAGUCGUGACGACAAUUCUCCUAUCGUCUCCUCAGCUAGUUGCAGUUUUGUCUCCUCUCAUUUUGUUCCAUCCGCUCCCCCUAUUCCUGAUGAAGUUUUGAGUGAAGGGCAACUACAUUAUCCUUCAAUUCAUUCUCCGGAAUUGGAUAUGCAUGUUCCAUCUAUGGUUGAACCUGCCUUGUCCAACGGCAAGAACAAUGGUUACAGGGAUUCUUCAUGUGCAAUAUGUUGGGAUUCUGCUAUUGAAGGUGCAUGCAUACCUUGUGGCCAUAUGGCUGGUUGCAUGCCUUGUUUGAAUGAGGUCAGAGUUAACAAAGGUGUUUGCCCAAUUUGCAUGACCAAAAUAGAUCAGGUUGUGAGGCUAUAUGCUGUGUAGUUCUCGGCAUGAUCAAAAGGUGAAAAGAGAAUUCGCGUCGGGUAAUUGGUUUCAUGUGAUUUCCUACACUAUGCAGUUGGUACUGAGUGAAUGUUCUAAAUGAUAUUGGAGAUGUAGCUAGUUUAAACUCCAAAAGCUUAAGCUUAGUGAUAUAAAAUAUGCAGGAUGGUGAAAAUAUAUUUGUAGGUUAAGUUAAUUGUAGAUAAUAUGCUACACUCUAUAAGCACUGAGAGAUCCUCAGUUUUCUAUAAUUUUGUUGUACAUUGAGUAGUUGAGUAAAGUAAAAUUUGAGAAAUGAUAAAACCAAAAAAUGAAGCACAAUUAUUCAAACAUUCCCAUACAGUUACCCAUUAUCUUUCUUAAUAUUGUUCUUCUGUACAUAUGUGGCUGAUAGUUAGUGUUAAGAUAAAAACACUUUCAUGUUAAAGUCAUCUGUAGAAGCUUCCUACUCUCUUCAUCAAAAAACUUCUAUUGUUUUAUUGAAUUUGAAGCCACCAUCCUAUCUAGAAUAAAAUAAUUUGAUCAUUAGAAUGAACAAAUAAAGGACAAUUGAACUAGGAAAAUGGUGUUGAAAACUGAAAUUAUGUAUUGAAACAGCAGAAAGGAGAGUGGUAUUUGAUGCAUAUAUGUAUUCAUCAAGAGUACAUGAAUCUGAGAAUAUGACUAAUACAAAAUUAAACAAAUUCUGCUUUCAAAGAUCUUCCUUUGAUGUAUUGGAUUUAAUAAUACCAAACACAUGGACUCAAAACAGGACAAAAUGCCAUGAGUGGUUUUGUGUUGGGUGUCUUUUGAGGUAGGGUGAGAUGAACAAAAGAUUUUUUUGGGUGCAAAGUUUGGCAUGAUCUGAACGUUCCAUUUACAUUGAUUAGAUGAUUACUCUUCACACUGAGGUACAACCUUCAUGUAAUUAGAGUUUGGAGCCUAUAAUUCAAGGAAAAUAUUUCUGAAAACUUAUUUUUGACACCCCUUAUAGACAUUGUAGAUGGAUGUGAGUGAAAGUAUUGAGAUAUGCCAUAUGUCAAGUAAUAUUAGAUAUAUGUUGUAUGCUCCAACUAGACGUUGGUCUAUUAGUGUAAGGUUCCACUAAAUCCUCACGUAAUAUCAUUAGUUAUACCAGGGGAAAAUGUGUUGUGUUCAAAUAUUAGAAAACUAGGAUGGCAAUUUCUUUUCUUUGGAAAACACAACACAUGCCUACUUUUUCUUGCUUCCAAUAUAAGCAUUCCCAUCAUUCUGCUCUCUUUGUCUAAGGUAGAGUAGUAGAAUAUUUACAUAUUUCACAUGCUAGGGGACCCCAAACUAGAAAGUUUAUUCACCAAAGAAGCUUGUGGAUUUGGGGUUUGCUUAUUUUGUACUUGGACAUGGGUUUCUUUAGUCUUCAAUAACUAUGUGUUUUUCGUUUCAAAUCCUUUUAUGAUCCACAAUACUAACCAUGAGGUAUAUGGUAAGCACAAUAAGUAAUUAAUACAAAUCUAAGACACAUUAAGAUCUCAAUUAGCAUAAUCAUGGUUGACUUGAGUUCUAAGACUUCGUGCUUGACGAGUUUAGGAAUAUAAUAAAUAACCUUGUCUCCAAACCUAAACUUACGCCCAUAUAAAAAAUUAAAUAAAUUACAUCAUAAUAAUGAUUAAAUAAUGAACUUAAACUCACAUGUUUGGUUAGAGUUGUGAUUUAAUUCUUAUGUUUAUUAAUUUUUUGUAACUCUUGGUUUCUAUUUCAUAUAUUAUAUGAAUUAAAAAUAUAUGAUCUAUGAAUUAAAAAUAUAUGAUCUAUGCUUUAUUUAAUAUAUAUAUAAGUGAAUAUAUUUUAAAGGAUUAAGGGAAAAUGGAUGGAUGGGUUUCUCAUGGGUUUCCACGAAGUCGAUGGCAAUGAGGUUGGGUAUAUUUUUGUAGCAUGCAUUUAUCAAGCCCACUCUAAUUUUGACAAGGACAAAGUUGAGAUUUGUAAAACACGAUUGGACCCACCCAUUACUAUGCUUAGUGUAAUAUAAUUUUAAUUUGACAAUAUAUUAAAUUCUAUAUAAUAAUAGAACUUAUCUAGAAGUACAACAAACUUUUUUAAAUUAGUUGAAGACAUAUUUUCAACUACCGGACAACAACUUAAUUCAAUAAUUAUUCAAUAAUGUCUUUUAAAUAAGAUAAACAAUGUUUAUUUUUUUUAAAUAAUUAGUAAUAGUGACUAAAAAUAUAAGGGUGUGAUUCAAGGUAUAUUCUUCAAAGUCUUAAGACAUGCUACUUACAAGAGCUCUUAACAUCCUGCAACUCGACCUUCACCCUAUCCUCUAAUUUCGCUUUAUAUUUUUUCAAUAUACUAAAAAAUAUGAAAUGUGAUAAUUUUGUUGACAAAACUAGAGUUUUGAUCAAACUACUUAUACAAUAAACUUAGUUGAGGUUAAAAUUGACAUUUCCUCAAAAUUAAAAAUUAAAUUGGAGAACCUAGUUAUUCCCAACUUACAAUAUUAAUUUAAAAGUUUUGAAAUACUAUUUCAAAUAACCAUUUCUUCCAUAUUUUUUCACCAGACAUUUCAAAAAAAAAUUCCAAGUGAAUAAGGCAAUAUUUAUUAAAUAAGCUUUAAACAUUUGUGUUCAUAAAGAAAACUAUAAACAAUUGUACUCAUAAAUAAAGCUAUAAACAAUUGUAUUCAUAAAAAAAUGGAUAAACAAUUUUUAUCAAAAUCAUCGAAGGGAAAAAGGAAAUAUUGUAUAUUUAUGAUCGUAAGCAUAAAAGGUUUAUAAAAGUCAGUAUAUCAUCUAUUAUUUAUUUAUAUUAUUUUUUUGAAAAAUCAAUUAUAAUUUAACAUGAAUGGUGAAUAAAACAAUGAUAGUGUAUGAAACUCAAUGUAUAUAUUGGUUUUAUGAACGAAAAAUGUUCCCCUACCUAGUAUUGGUAAUUAGUGUUAUUCUGCUCGUGUCCAUGCAAUAUUUGCUUAAAUUAGAAUAGACACGAGCAUGUUUAUUUUUAAAUAGAACAUAAAAUAUUAUAUCAUGUCCGUCCUAAACAUGAGCCGGACUUGCAGACGACUCUAAAUAAAACAAAAAAAUAUUAUAAAUUUAUAUACAUUCAUAUAAAAUAAACAUUACAUAAUUUACAUAGAAAUAUGUAAAUGCAUUUAUUAUAAUAAACAAUCAUACUAACAGAAUAACACAUACAAAAUAUAAAUGUAUAUACAUAAUAUAAAAUAGGUAUAAUACAUAAUUUACAUACAAAAUACAUAUCGAAUAGUAUAUAUAUAUAUUAUACAAAAUUAAAUGUAUAUAAAAUAAGAAAAUAAUAGUAUUUUUUUAUAUUUGAUAUACAAAUACAUAUAUAACAAAUGGAACACACUUUUUCACGUUUGGCAAAAUUUAUAUACAUUUACAUAUUUCAUGUUCAAUACUUUCUUUAAUUAAUAAUAUCUGUAGGCUACAUGUUUUGCCCGUUUGAAAUAUCCAUGGACAGGUAGGGAAUAUUGAACAUAUAUUUUAGGGUGGAUAAACAUAUUUUUUAUGUCCUACCCAUCCAAUAAAUAUGGGUAAGUGAACCCCGUAGCUUUACCCAAAUUGCCAAUGUUACCCUACCUAAUACCCCACCAACAAUUUUUUCAUCUAUUUGUUUGGACAUUUUUACUUCUAAUGCCAUUUUUUUUGGUGCAUAGUAAAUGACAACCCACUUUAUAAUUUUCUAUCUCAGCACUGUUGGAUUAAUCACUUAACCAAAGUUUUCCACAAAACAAAUAAGCAACCAAAUAUUCUUUUAUAAACAUUAAUUAAGGACCCACCACAUUAACCUUUGUUAUGUUUUUUAAUAGUUUCUUCAAAAAUUUCCCUAUUUUUUGUUGCUGCUGUUGUUAGAUGGACCCUCUCUCUUUGUCGCAGCCUCUCCAAACAGCUUUGUUAGGAAACUACAUGAAUGAAUGAAGAUGAAGAUGAAGAUGAAGAAAUCCUUCAGUGGCAACAAAUAUGGAUAUUUCAUAAAUACAUGAUUUUUGGAAAACUUUCAUUCCAUUCCCUCAUGGUUUGAAGUUGUUCAGGAUCUGUUUCACUUGUCCCAUUUGAGUUUAUUUCACAACCAUGCAUAUAGGUAUGCAUAUGCAAUGAUCCAAAGCUUUUUAUUUUGCUCAAAAGAUGUUCUUUUUAAAGUUUCUUUCUAUUUUAUAAAUGUGGUUUGCUUAGCUGCCCUGUUUUAGUUUUUGAUUUAUUGGGGUAUUGAAUUAGUUCUUCUAUUAUUUCGAUUAUUAAAAAUCUGAACUUUGGGUAGUUUUGGUUCUCGUUUUUCUAUGAGGGUGCUAUUAAUUGUAAGAUAAUGGAAUCGUUGAGAUUUUAUUCAUAUCAAAUAGGUAUAAAUAUACAAGAUUGUGAGAGGUUAAUAAUGAUUAAUUACAACCUAAUAAUAACUGAUUACAACAAAUAAUGACUAAUGAUGACUGAUUAUUAUGUGAAUCGUAACAUAAUAAUAUCGUAUCAGAAUAUUCUAUCACACCCCCACAGUCGAAGCGGGAGGUUUACUGACGCUGAGACUGGUCCGAAAGUCAUCAAAGAGAAUACGAGGAAGUCCUUUCGUGAAGAUGUCUGCGAUCUGUUGUCGAGAGGGAACGUGGAAUACGCGUGCCUGACCACGGGCUACUUUUUCCCGUACAAAAUGAAUGUCCAUUUCAAUAUGCUUGGUACGUUGGUGUUGUACAGGAUUACCAGAAAGAUAAAUGGCACUAACAUUAUCGCAAUACACCAAAGUUGCAUUAGGAAUAGGAAAAUGAAGCUCUAGUAAUAGAUUACGAAUCCAACAUGACUCAGAGACAACAUUAGCAACACCUCUAUAUUCGGCUUCAGCACUAGAACGAGAGAGAGUGCGUUGCCUUUUGGAAGACCAAGAGAUAAGAUUGUUGGCAAAAAAAAAAACACAGUACCCAGAUGUUGAACGUCUAGUGUCGGGACAUCCACCCCAAUCAGCAUCAGUGUAGGAGACAAGCUUUGUGAUGGGGGAUGGUGAUAAAUGCAAUCCAAAGUGUAUGGUACCCUGAACGUAUCGAAGAAUGCGCUUGAGAGCAAGCAUGUGUGUUGUGUUAGGGUUGUGCAUAUGAAGGCAAACUUGUUGAACUGCAUAAGAUAUGUCUGGUCUAGUGAAAGUGAGAUAUUGUAAGGCUCCUGCAAGACUACGAUAAAGAGAGGGAUUCUCAUAAGGAGUGGCAGAUGAAGUACUGAGUUUCUGCUUGGUGUCAAUAGGUGUGGCAGAUGAUUUACAGGCCGCCAUUCCAGCACGUUCAAUGAUUUCAGAAGCAUAUGUGCUUUGACUGAGAAAAAUGCCACCAGGAUGACGAGAGACAGCAAUGCCCAAAAAAUAACUUAGGGGACCCAGAUCUUUCAUUGCAAAUUCUGAUGCUAAGAGUGACAUGAUUGAUUUGCGAAGGGCAUGAGUCGAGCUAAUAAGUAUGAUGUCAUCCACAUAAAGAAGAAUGUAAGCCAUGUCAGAGUGUUGUCGAUAUAUGAAGAGAGAGUGGUCUGAUGUGCUAUGUUGAAAACCAAUGGUUUUUACAUAGUCAGCAAAGCGUUGGUACCAUGCUCUAGGUGCUUGUUUGAGACCAUAUAGUGACUUCUUCAAAUGACAAACGUGAUUUGGAUGAUGUAAGUUACGGAAACCCAAUGGCUGAUGCAUGUGAACAGUCUCAUGAAGAUCACCAUGUAAAAAGGCAUUUUGAACAUCCAACUGAUGAAUGGGCCAUGAUUUAGAGAGAGUAAUGAUGAGUACCGUUCUAAUUGUAGCGGGUUUGACCACCGGACUGAAAGUCUCAUCACAGUCCACACCUGCAACCUGUNNNNNNNNNNNNNNNNNNNNNNNNNNNNNNNNNNNNNNNNNNNNNNNNNNNNNNNNNNNNNNNNNNNNNNNNNNNNNNNNNNNNNNNNNNNNNNNNNNNNAGGAUGAGGACGAGAAUGAGGAGGAGGAUAUGAUGGGGAAGAGGACGAGGAUGAGGAUAAGAUGAGGACGAGAAGGAGGAUAAGGAUAGGUUGAGAAUGAGGAUAGGAUGUGGAUGAGGAUGAGGAUAGGAUGAGGACGAGGAUGGGGAUAGGAUAAGGAUGAGGAUAGGACGAGGACGAGAAUGAGGAUGAGGAUAGGAUGAGGAGGAGGAUGAGGAUGAGGAUAGGAUGNNNNNNNNNNNNNNNNNNNNNNNNNNNNNNNNNNNNNNNNNNNNNNNNNNNNNNNNNNNNNNNNNNNNNNNNNNNNNNNNNNNNNNNNNNNNNNNNNNNNACCACUGCCAACAAUAACCUUCUGAUUUGAAUUACUCAAAGGAAAAUAAGACGAGAGAUUACCUCGCGAUGCUGCCGUGUGAGAUGUUGCACCAGUAUCCAUGUACCACUGAUUGUCAGGAGUGUGUAGAGACAUGGUGUGCAUAGCCGCCUCAAUGUCUGUCGGUGUCUGAGAUGAUGUAGUGGCUGCGUAUGCCUGAGGAUGUUGUCCUAAAAUUCCUGGCUGCUUCGGGGGACCGGUAGGACGUGUCCACUGAGACGUGGGAUACAGACACGGUGGCAAAGCCCAUGGUGGUGGAGCCCAACCCCAUGGCUGCCAGGCUGGGUACUGUUGUUGCUGCUGCCAAGGAGGAGAGGACCAUGAUGGAGGAGCAUUGGGAGCUCCAGACUAAGGUCCACUACGGUUACCACACCCUCCUCCGCGGCCUUGCCUCCCACGAGAACGAGAGCGGUUGUCAGGACGACGGUUGCCACGGUGAGAGAUGUCUUCAGAAGGUCGCUGCUGAGUGGUGUGCAUAGCCGCAUGAGAGCCUGUGCUUGCCAUUUUAGCCAUACCGGCUUCUUCCAAAGUGAGCAUGGAGCGAGCCUGAUAAAAUGUAGGAAGAAGAUUACUCUGGCGAAUCAAGGUGGCAACACUACGAUAUGCUUGUGGAAGGCCUGAUAUCAGCUGAAGAACCAGACGAUGAUUGUUAACAGGAGAGCCAACAUUUCUCAACUGGUCAGAGAGCAUCUUAAGACGCUGACAGUAAGCAGAGACGUUGGGAAAAUCUUCCAUGCGGGUGUUGGAGAAUUCUUGCUCAAGAGUGACAGCACGAGCAUUUUGAUUAUCCUGAAAAAUAUCUGUCAAAAGAUUCCAUGCCUCCAUGGCAGUGGAAUUAGGUUCCAGAAUAGUUGUCAACAGAUCGGUAGAAAUAGUAGAAUAAAUCCAUUGAAGAACGGUUGCAUCAAGAGUGACCCAUUGUUCAUGGUCGGCGUCGGUAGGAGUUGGUGGUUCUUUUCCGGGAGAUGGAAUGAUGUGAUGUAGGACUUGAUGUGAGCGAGCAUGAAGGCGGAAAAGCUCAGCCCAAGUACCAUAUUGAUCUUUCUCCAUCUCAAGAAUAAUAGGAAUGUGAUUCCUAAUAUUGGAGCGUGUUAACUGUGUGCUGGCUGGAAUGACUAGUAGCAGCGUUAGUUGUACGUUCUGAAUCAGACAUGGUUGCAGAGAAAAGAUAGAGAGUGGUGUCAGAGUCUUGAAAUGGAGGCGGAAAUGUGAUCACGAACAGAGAAUGGUGGUGUGGUGUGCGACGGCGGCGGCACGAUACGAAAGAGGACGAGGAAUACUGUAGUUCUCGUGAUUGGCGGCGGCGGUGAGCAACACGGUAACAAUGGUGCUUCAAGGAAGAAGAAAAAAGAAAAAAUUAAUUUAGAGAGAGGGAUCGGUAAAGGCUGACCAUGUAAGAUAAUGGAAUCGUUGAGAUUUUAUUCAUAUCAAAUAGGUAUAAAUAUACAAGAUUGUGAGAGGUUAAUAAUGACUAAUUACAACCUAAUAAUAACUGAUUACAACAAAUAAUGACUAAUGAUGACUGAUUAUUAUGUGAAUCGUAACAUAAUAAUAUCGUAUCAGAAUAUUCUAAUAUUCUAUUAGAAUAUUCUAUCAUUAAUUUGAGAUAUGUUUGAUGAAAUGUUCUUAACAAGUGGUUGUUUUAGAUUUUUGUUAGUGAUUUGUUGGAUUGGUUAAUGGAAAAGAUGCACACUUUCCACUUGCUUUGUUGGUGUAAAUAAACUGAGGAGUUGUCAUUUGUCAAAAAGAUAGGGCACUUUUGGAAAAUACUCUUUCAUAUAUAUGGUUCAUGCCUUCAUGGUAUAGGUAGAGUUCUGUUUUAGCUUAAUAGUUGAAUAAGGUUAAUUUGAUUCGACAUUGCUGUCUUCACAUGACUAUUUUACUUGAAUUUCUGAAUCAGAAGGUCUUUCUCCUUCAAUGGUCUUUGACUUGUUUUGCAUGCACCAUUUCUCUAAAAUGCUGGGACCCGAGCCACCAUUUAUUGAGGAUCAUUGUACAUUAAUAACCUCUUUGUAAUUUUUGUACUAGACCUGUUUUACCUGGAAGUGAACUUCAUCUUCAUUUCAUCAAAAUUUAUAUAUAUAAAUAUCGUCACCUUUAGCGCAAGAAUCAAAUAUGCUUAUGUAUUAGAAUCAUUAAUCAUGAUAUGUGUUUUGGCAUGAAGAGAAACUUGUGGUACUCCAGUUAGAACAUUUCUUGAUCUACUAUGCAUUGUUGUCUAUCUAAUUGCUUAUUUUCCCCCAAUGAAUACACUCAUAUUAGACUAAACACGGGACUAUCUUAUAAUAUUAAGUCCAUUCCUCACUAUAUCUUUCAAAAUUCUUUUGUUGUUUGUGCAAUAUUAAUUUGUUUUAUGGGUUCACUUAAGCAGGUCAAACAGAUAAAACUUCAGUGAAAUGUCUAAUCAACAGCAUUUCUCGAUUUAUUCAUUUAGCUUCUUGCCGAACAGUUAAACCGGUACCCUUUCAGAAGAUCUGUAAUAAUAUGGUUGGAGUAUUAAAGCCUUUGAAACCAGUGCUUGAUGACUUAAUGGAUUACGAAAUCCCUUUAUCUGAAAACAUGUCUAAAGAGUGUCAAGAAUUAGAUAUGCAGGUUAACAAAGCUUGAGAUUUCUUUGAAAAAUGGGGUCCAAAGAUGUGCAAGAUUCACAGUGUAAGUAGUUACUUAUAUUCUUAUAGUCAAAUUAAUACCAAUAUCCAACAAUUAUUCUAACUUGUUUAAGAUCAUUUCUUUUGAUAGUUGAAAAAAACAUUAACCACCAAUACCUCCACUAUUUCUUUCUUCAUAGGGUGAGGGUGACUGCAACCUCAACUCUUAACUGUUUUGUGUGGAUUAUUCUGCUUUCAGGUUCUCCAAAGUGGGACAUUGUUGAUCAAGUUACAGUGCACUUCACUGGAUAUUUGUCACUUGAUAGUUAAAUCCUUACAGUCACCCACACCUGCUUCUGUUUUGUCUAAUCUUCAGGUAAGUUCAAACCGGAAACUAAAUCCUCUAUAGAAGAUUCCUGUAUUUGGCAGGAAUAGCUGAUGGCAGUUUUUUUGGGUGUAUUGUUAAUCAAUAUAAGUAUGAGACUAAUUUCUAGCAACUUCUUCAGAACUAUAUUCAGGAAAUUCAGUGUCUCAAGAAGGAAUCAGCAAUAGUCUAUAUAGAAGAAGCACUGAGAAACCAAAGAAAUAAUAUUAAACCUUGCAAUGAACAUCUAAAGGAAAUUAUCGAGUUACUUAAAUUGACAUCAAACCAGGAGCUCUUGAAAGAAAGUAUUGCUGUAGAAAAGGAAAGGUUGAAUGCUGAAGUCAAAAAAUUAAAACCGAACUUGGAAGAAGUUAAUGAAAUUGUGAACCUUGUUCGCAAUUUACGUGAUUACAUGAUGAAAACUGAGUGCACUGAAGUCAAAAGUAGUGAUUCAAUCCCUUCAUACUUCCGCUGUCCUUUAUCAUUAGAACUCAUGUUGGAUCCUGUUGUCGUGGCUUCAGGUCAAACAUACGAGAGGCAAUCCAUCCGAAAGUGGCUAGAUCGUGGGCUGCUGUUUGUCCCAAGACUCGUCAGAAACUUACUCAUACAAAUCUCAUUCCCAAUUAUACUGUCAAAGCUAUGAUAGUGAAUUGGUGUGAGGAAAAUGAUGUCAACUUUUCCAGUAACUCUGAGCACAAUCAUUCUGCCCCUAUUGCCUUCUCCUCAGAUGAUUCAUUAUCUCAAGGUUUAGCUCAUGCAUGUGGUGUUGGGUCUUUACCUAGUAGCAAUUCCAUUUCAAGAUCAUCUCUUCAAACUGGAAAUACAUUUGAUAAGCAAAAGGAUGAUAACUCAUAUAGAUUAAGUGAAGAACACAAUGGAUGCCGAAGUGGAGCAGCAGAGAAGUUUGAGCAGCAUUCCCCAUAUAUUCACAGCAGAAGUGAAUUCUUUUCAAGUACAAUUUCUAGUACCGACUGUUUACUUCCAGUUUCAAAAGAGGUGUCAUGGAUAUCCAAUCAGCAUUCAUGUGCGAGGGCGAUUUCUAGAGAAGUCACAAAUGUGUCUGUCGCUUUGCCUGUUAAGAAACAAUCAGGGAUUUCGCCUUGGUUAUCUGGAAAGCAAUUUGAAUGCCCUGGCUCGAAAAUUGGAGGAUUAAUGGAGAAUGGAAAUAAUAAUAGCAGUCAUACCAAUAAUAGUCAUUUAAGUGUUGAUUCCCGUCAUGUUUCCACCUCCGGAUCGGAUGAAUUGACCGCUGCUUCUCAUGUCAAUACAUUGAUUCAAGACCUUCACGGACAAUCAAAAAAAGUGCAAACUACUGCUGCAGAAGAAUUGAAGCUGCUUACAAAGCAUAACAUGGAAAACCGUCUCAUUGUAGGGCAGUGUGGGGCUGUCGUGCCUUUACUUUCGCUGCUGUAUUCAGAAGUGAAGAUAACACAAGAGCAUGCUGUGACAGCUCUGCUAAAUUUGUAGAUUAAUGAAGACAACAAGACCUUGAUUAUGGAAGCAGGAGCCAUAGAUCCACUUAUCCAUGUUUUGAAGACAGGAAAUGAUGGUGCCAAGGAAAACUCUGCAGCAGCUCUAUUCAGCCUUUAUGUGAUAGAAAACAAUAAGGCAAAAAUUGGCCGAUCUGGUGCAGUUAAAGCUUUGGUGGAUCUUCUUGCAUCAGGAACUCUUAGAGGAAAGAAGGACGCUGCUACUACUUUAUAUAACCUGUCAAUAUUUCAUGAAAAUAAAGCUCGUAUAGUUCAAGCGGGAGCUGUGAAAUUUCUUGUUCAGAUGAUGGAACGUGCUGAUGGAAUGGUUGACAAGGCUAUUGCUCUUCUGUCAAACCUGUCAACAAUUUCAGAGGGCUGGUUAGAAACUGCAAGGGAAGGGGGCAUCCCCUUACUAGUUGAAAUCCUUGAAUCAGGGUCGCAGAUGGGAAAGGAAAAUUCUGCUUCCAUUCUCUUGCAACUAUGCCUUCAUAGUUCCAAGUUUUGCACUCUAGUUUUGCAAGAAGGAGCUGUCCCUCCCCUGGUUGCAUUGUCUCAAUCUGGUACGCCGAGAGCAAAGGAAAAGGUAUGGAGGUUAUCAUUAUCUGCCUUUGUCAUCAUUUUCAGUGGUUAACAUUUCUCUCAUGUGCUAUUAUACUACAUACUAGCUGUUUUGCUGCAUUUGGAUAGGUAAACAGUAAACUAGUGUUGAAACCUUGAGGGUCAAUCUUUAUGAUGCAACCAUUUUGUCGAAAUCUUGGUUUCCAAUAUAUGCUCGACAUUUGGUUUUUAGGAUUACUAAAAAUGUCCGGUAUAGUUGAUAACUGAGUUCCUUAAGUAUGCAGUCAGGAGUGCAAAACUUGGACGGUCUACACCUCCCAAUGCCCAAAGGCCCCAAUUCUCUCUACAAAUGAUAAGAUACCUCAACCUCUCUCCCUCUUCCUAUCUAAAGCAACAUGCCUUAUUUCCAUCACACUAACUAGGACAAACAAAUUAUAACUACUUCUCUAAGGGUUAGUUUGAGAGUUGGAUUUUGGAGAGGAAGGAAGGGAAAGGGAAGGCUUGGGAGCUAUGAAAUACGUUUGUGAGAAGACUCCCAAGCCUUCCCUUUCCCUUCCUUCCCCUCUAAAAUCCAACUCCCAAACUAACCCUAGAUGGUUAACCUAUCAGAAACAUUGACCCUUGUUUGGAGCUUUGUUUAAAGAUAUUUUCCCUUUGGUCUUAACAUGGAAUUUCUUUUUAAAAUUAGGAACUUAUGAAAGGUGGUUGAUGAUAGAAGAAUACAAGGAUGUUGCUUGAUGGAAUUUGUUGUUAUUUUUACUUGUUAGAAACUGAUGGAAGAUCUCAUAAACACAUUAAGUAAGAAUGCUGACAUGUUGUACACAUCCAUUCAUGCAGGCACAACAGCUCCUCAGCCAUUUUCGGAAUCAGCCAGAAGGAGCAACUGGGAAGGGAAAAUCAUGAAGAUAGACAAUUUUGGUUAUUUCAUAGCCCUUUUUUCUUGCAUUAGUAGUAACUUGUAGCAUUCAUAUUUCUCCAUGUUCCAUUGCUGCCAUGUUGAGGACUUUAGGUCUCCUUUCAUUGCAUUCUUUUCAUUUUUACAUGUUACCAAUUAUGAAGCUUUCAUUUUUCUCCUACUUCCACUUUGUCUCAUUUCUCCCCCUAACUAUUUUCUAUUUUGAUAGUCUACUUUCUGAAAAUAGUCCUCCCUCCCAAGUCAGUGUUAUACAUAUUUGUACAUAUAUACUAGGGAAUCUUGUGGUCUACUAUAAAUUAUUGUAACACUGUUCUAUGAGUUGUCUCAUUCAACCUUGUAUAUAAAUCUAUACUUCAUAGGAACAAGGAUCCUCACUUCUUUCUAGUACUAGGGAGAAUCCUACCUUUUUGCAUACCUUGUACUGUCCAUAGGUUGUGUUGAGAAAUGCCAAAUAUGUUGGAAUGAAAUCUUUUAUGAUAUGUCAUUGUCUUGUCUCUUUCAUAAUGGAGACUAGCCAGCAACUAGAGCACCACGGUUCUAGUAUUCUACACUUAGACAAUAAUAUCAUUAUGCUUCUUUCUCUUUUACCUUUAUUUUUAUUUUUUGAGGGCAUAGGUACCAAAAAAUGUAUUGUGUUCAUUUAUUGGAUACUUUUUAUUUUGAAUUUUACUAAAAUUUGUUUUCUAACAUAAUAAGGAUUUCAAGAAUAAGAAAUGUAGAGUAUACCAAACUUAAUGAAUAAAUGGAAACAAAUAACACAGAGAAAAGGAUAUAUAUCGUUUAUUAAGUUACUAUUUAUUAUUAAUAAAAUAAAAUAGAUUUAAAUUUAUAAAAAAGAGGAUUAAAUUUGUUUUUAGUGGUUGUAAUUUGUAAAUAUAACUUUUUUAGAAUUUAGUCAUUGAAACGGUCUUUCCUCUUGUAAAGGGAAGAUUGUAUAUAUCCUAGAUCACACUAAGUAUGAAACUCGUGUGUGUUGGGAAUUUAUAUUAAAAUUUUAUUUGAUUUUAGUCCUUAAAAAAUAUAUAAAUAAUGUGAAGAACAAUACUGGCCCUGUUAUGACAAAAAAUAAAAGUGAUUUGGCUGAUGGUACUUCAUCUACUAUUGGUGUGAGGAAAAUGAUGUCAACUUUUCCAGUAACUCUGAGCACAAUCAUUCUGCCCCUAUUGCCUUCUCCUCAGAUGAUUCAUUAUCUCAAGGUUUAGCUCAUGCAUGUGGUGUUGGGUCUUUACCUAGUAGCAAUUCCAUUUCAAGAUCAUCUCUUCAAACUGGAAAUACAUUUGAUAAGCAAAAGGAUGAUAACUCAUAUAGAUUAAGUGAAGAACACAAUGGAUGCCGAAGUGGAGCAGCAGAGAAGUUUGAGCAGCAUUCCCCAUAUAUUCACAGCAGAAGUGAAUUCUUUUCAAGUACAAUUUCUAGUACCGACUGUUUACUUCCAGUUUCAAAAGAGGUGUCAUGGAUAUCCAAUCAGCAUUCAUGUGCGAGGGCGAUUUCUAGAGAAGUCACAAAUGUGUCUGUCGCUUUGCCUGUUAAGAAACAAUCAGGGAUUUCGCCUUGGUUAUCUGGAAAGCAAUUUGAAUGCCCUGGCUCGAAAAUUGGAGGAUUAAUGGAGAAUGGAAAUAAUAAUAGCAGUCAUACCAAUAAUAGUCAUUUAAGUGUUGAUUCCCGUCAUGUUUCCACCUCCGGAUCGGAUGAAUUGACCGCUGCUUCUCAUGUCAAUACAUUGAUUCAAGACCUUCACGGACAAUCAAAAAAAGUGCAAACUACUGCUGCAGAAGAAUUGAAGCUGCUUACAAAGCAUAACAUGGAAAACCGUCUCAUUGUAGGGCAGUGUGGGGCUGUCGUGCCUUUACUUUCGCUGCUGUAUUCAGAAGUGAAGAUAACACAAGAGCAUGCUGUGACAGCUCUGCUAAAUUUGUAGAUUAAUGAAGACAACAAGACCUUGAUUAUGGAAGCAGGAGCCAUAGAUCCACUUAUCCAUGUUUUGAAGACAGGAAAUGAUGGUGCCAAGGAAAACUCUGCAGCAGCUCUAUUCAGCCUUUAUGUGAUAGAAAACAAUAAGGCAAAAAUUGGCCGAUCUGGUGCAGUUAAAGCUUUGGUGGAUCUUCUUGCAUCAGGAACUCUUAGAGGAAAGAAGGACGCUGCUACUACUUUAUAUAACCUGUCAAUAUUUCAUGAAAAUAAAGCUCGUAUAGUUCAAGCGGGAGCUGUGAAAUUUCUUGUUCAGAUGAUGGAACGUGCUGAUGGAAUGGUUGACAAGGCUAUUGCUCUUCUGUCAAACCUGUCAACAAUUUCAGAGGGCUGGUUAGAAACUGCAAGGGAAGGGGGCAUCCCCUUACUAGUUGAAAUCCUUGAAUCAGGGUCGCAGAUGGGAAAGGAAAAUUCUGCUUCCAUUCUCUUGCAACUAUGCCUUCAUAGUUCCAAGUUUUGCACUCUAGUUUUGCAAGAAGGAGCUGUCCCUCCCCUGGUUGCAUUGUCUCAAUCUGGUACGCCGAGAGCAAAGGAAAAGGUAUGGAGGUUAUCAUUAUCUGCCUUUGUCAUCAUUUUCAGUGGUUAACAUUUCUCUCAUGUGCUAUUAUACUACAUACUAGCUGUUUUGCUGCAUUUGGAUAGGUAAACAGUAAACUAGUGUUGAAACCUUGAGGGUCAAUCUUUAUGAUGCAACCAUUUUGUCGAAAUCUUGGUUUCCAAUAUAUGCUCGACAUUUGGUUUUUAGGAUUACUAAAAAUGUCCGGUAUAGUUGAUAACUGAGUUCCUUAAGUAUGCAGUCAGGAGUGCAAAACUUGGACGGUCUACACCUCCCAAUGCCCAAAGGCCCCAAUUCUCUCUACAAAUGAUAAGAUACCUCAACCUCUCUCCCUCUUCCUAUCUAAAGCAACAUGCCUUAUUUCCAUCACACUAACUAGGACAAACAAAUUAUAACUACUUCUCUAAGGGUUAGUUUGAGAGUUGGAUUUUGGAGAGGAAGGAAGGGAAAGGGAAGGCUUGGGAGCUAUGAAAUACGUUUGUGAGAAGACUCCCAAGCCUUCCCUUUCCCUUCCUUCCCCUCUAAAAUCCAACUCCCAAACUAACCCUAGAUGGUUAACCUAUCAGAAACAUUGACCCUUGUUUGGAGCUUUGUUUAAAGAUAUUUUCCCUUUGGUCUUAACAUGGAAUUUCUUUUUAAAAUUAGGAACUUAUGAAAGGUGGUUGAUGAUAGAAGAAUACAAGGAUGUUGCUUGAUGGAAUUUGUUGUUAUUUUUACUUGUUAGAAACUGAUGGAAGAUCUCAUAAACACAUUAAGUAAGAAUGCUGACAUGUUGUACACAUCCAUUCAUGCAGGCACAACAGCUCCUCAGCCAUUUUCGGAAUCAGCCAGAAGGAGCAACUGGGAAGGGAAAAUCAUGAAGAUAGACAAUUUUGGUUAUUUCAUAGCCCUUUUUUCUUGCAUUAGUAGUAACUUGUAGCAUUCAUAUUUCUCCAUGUUCCAUUGCUGCCAUGUUGAGGACUUUAGGUCUCCUUUCAUUGCAUUCUUUUCAUUUUUACAUGUUACCAAUUAUGAAGCUUUCAUUUUUCUCCUACUUCCACUUUGUCUCAUUUCUCCCCCUAACUAUUUUCUAUUUUGAUAGUCUACUUUCUGAAAAUAGUCCUCCCUCCCAAGUCAGUGUUAUACAUAUUUGUACAUAUAUACUAGGGAAUCUUGUGGUCUACUAUAAAUUAUUGUAACACUGUUCUAUGAGUUGUCUCAUUCAACCUUGUAUAUAAAUCUAUACUUCAUAGGAACAAGGAUCCUCACUUCUUUCUAGUACUAGGGAGAAUCCUACCUUUUUGCAUACCUUGUACUGUCCAUAGGUUGUGUUGAGAAAUGCCAAAUAUGUUGGAAUGAAAUCUUUUAUGAUAUGUCAUUGUCUUGUCUCUUUCAUAAUGGAGACUAGCCAGCAACUAGAGCACCACGGUUCUAGUAUUCUACACUUAGACAAUAAUAUCAUUAUGCUUCUUUCUCUUUUACCUUUAUUUUUAUUUUUUGAGGGCAUAGGUACCAAAAAAUGUAUUGUGUUCAUUUAUUGGAUACUUUUUAUUUUGAAUUUUACUAAAAUUUGUUUUCUAACAUAAUAAGGAUUUCAAGAAUAAGAAAUGUAGAGUAUACCAAACUUAAUGAAUAAAUGGAAACAAAUAACACAGAGAAAAGGAUAUAUAUCGUUUAUUAAGUUACUAUUUAUUAUUAAUAAAAUAAAAUAGAUUUAAAUUUAUAAAAAAGAGGAUUAAAUUUGUUUUUAGUGGUUGUAAUUUGUAAAUAUAACUUUUUUAGAAUUUAGUCAUUGAAACGGUCUUUCCUCUUGUAAAGGGAAGAUUGUAUAUAUCCUAGAUCACACUAAGUAUGAAACUCGUGUGUGUUGGGAAUUUAUAUUAAAAUUUUAUUUGAUUUUAGUCCUUAAAAAAUAUAUAAAUAAUGUGAAGAACAAUACUGGCCCUGUUAUGACAAAAAAUAAAAGUGAUUUGGCUGAUGGUACUUCAUCUACUCUGAGCGUUUCUCGGACAUGAUUUUAGUAUAUAUAUAUAUAUAUAUACAGAGGAGAGAUCUGUUUACAACCAAGUUAAGUUACAUUUAAUCUCAGUAAUUCAUUUUCUUAAAUCCAACGGACCAAAUAAGUGGUUGCAAUAAAUUAUUUAAUAUUUCUCCUUUUCCCUCUCAUCAUUUAUUGUACUCACCCAGUCACCCAUUUGAAUGGAAAUGGAUCCUUACUGUUGUUACAAGAAAUGAGAGUAAUUAUAUAAAAAUAGAGAAAAAGAUGUAUGUAUUGAGAGUAUAAGAGUUUUUUUUGCAUUAUUAGUGUAUCAUUCACCAGUAAUUUUCAAUCAUCAUUAACUCUUAAAAAAAAUAAUACAAAUAAUAAAUGAUGUAAUAACCGCCUAUAAAUCUUUAUAUUGUUAACUUAUAUAUAUUAAACUCAUAAUUUGGCGCUUGAAGAUGAAAAUAUCAGUUUGAGAGCAAAGAUCCAAUAAAUUGGCUUUAGAUUAGAGAACCGUGGGAUAAGAAUUGAAUGCCCUUAAAAGUUAGAAUUGUACUCCUUUCAGACCUUAAUUAACUGGCACUUAUUGUAAGCAGUAACAAGUUUUAAAGACAAAUAACAACAUAGUAACUAGUCCUCUUUCUGUUCAUUGUUUAAACAAUCACGCUUUCAAUGCCACAACCUGUUGGUUUUAGCAGUAAAAUGGUUCAGUACAAUAGUAAAUAAUGGUUGUUCACCAUACCUAUAAAGGAAGAGUAUAAAUAGUAGCCUCAAACUUCAUAUUGAUUUACCAACCUUUUUAUUUUUUUAGUUUUCUUCUUCUUUCCAUUGAAUUCUCUUGAGAAAUUAUUAUUAGGGAAAUAUUAAUUAUAUUAGUAGACUGGGUAAUGAGUAUUGGUUAAAGAAACUUUUAAUUGGAUAAUGCUGAUUUUAAAUAAAUUAAAAGUUCAAAAUAUGUAAUUUUAAUAUAUUGCUUUUACUUUUGGAUUUCUUAAUCAAUACUCUUAGGGCACUCCUUAAGUGGACUCGUAUUGUUAAAAUUACUUAAGUCAAUUUCUUUUUUAUUUCUUCCAAUUCAUUAAAUUUUUAAAUGGUUGCAAUAUUUUUAUAGUUAGAUACAAGUUAUUUUAUAUUGUUGUUAAAAAACACAUUAGAAAUCAAAUGCAUGUGAUGUAAGUCCUACCUUGAGGAGGAGGAAUGUGCAAAGUAAAAAAUUACAGUAGAAGAUAAAAUUUGUUAGUUAAGAUGUGAUGCGAGAUGACUAUGAAGGGCUUCACAUUAGGAGACGCCUAUUAGGAAUUAAUUAGGCGUAGUAUCGGUGAAGAAUGUGCAAAAUCUAAAUAUAUAAAUAGAUUAACUCAUAAUUCUAAUAUUUUAAUUUAAGGUUUUGUAUUAUGAUGUUAUGUUCAAUUCGUUACUCCUCAUGUGGUUUAAGUUAGAGAAUGAAAUCCCUUAAUAUAUGAUCUUAUGACUAUCAAUUAUGUGAUAAGUUGUCAAUCUCUAUAAUUAAGUCAUUACUAUAAUUAUACUAUAUCAUGUAAUCAAUAAUAUUUGUAAUUGUAAUUAUUAUAGGAUUAUUGUCAUGAUGACUAGCAUGAUUAUAGGAUUAGAAUCACUAGUCAUUGUUGUAUAUAUACUCAUGUAUUCAUUUAUGAAAAUGAUCACCUGAUCAUACUUUCUAACUUGGUAUUAGAGUAUUUAAAUCUUGAUCCAAAACAAAUCAUGUCAUUGGCUGCCAACUCAAAUCACAAAAAUGAUCUACCAUCCACUGCAUCUGUCAAAUUGGACAGAGACAACUAUCCACUAUGAAAAUCACUAGUGUUGCCUAUAACCAGAAGUGUCAGGAUAGAUGGUUACAUGUUAGGAAACAAGGAGUGUCCUGGAGAAUUCAUCAUUGUUGCAUAUUAAAGCAAAAGGUCCAAUCCUGAUUUUUGAAAAUUAACAAGCAUAUGAUCAACAACUCCUUGGUUGGUUGAUGAACUCAAUGACUACUGACAUAACAACACAAUUAUUGCAUUGUGAAAUCUCAAAACAACUUUAGAUGAAGCUUAAAGUCUAGUUGGUACUCAUACAAGGUCACAAAUUACUUAUCUCAAAUAUGAAUUCCUUAGCACCAGAAAAAGAGGAAUGUAAAUGGAAGAUUACCUGAUCAAAAUGAAGAAUUUGGCUGAUAAGCUAAAGCUUGCAGGUAAUCCAAUCUCAAAUUCUGAUCUCAUCAUCCCGACUCUAAAUGGAUUGGAUUCUAAAUAUAAUUUUGUAGUUGUCAAACUAUCUGACCAAACUAUACUCAGUUGGGUCGAUGUACAAGCUCAAUUGCCAACCUUUGAAAAUAGAAUUGAGCAACUAUACAACCUCACCCUCAAUGCAAUAAUAUAUGUUGCUAACAAAACUGACUACAAAGGUAACAAGUUUACCUCAAACAACAACUAGAAAGGUUCAAACUUUAGAGGUUGGAGAUGAGGCAGAGAAAGAUAUAGAACAUCCAAGUCAACAUGUCAGGUUUGUAGUAAAAUUGGACAUACAACAAUGCAAUGCUACUACAGGUUUGAUAAAGUCUACUCAAGCUCUAAUCAUUCAACAAUGACAAGCAAGGAGCCCACAAUGCCUUCAUGGCUUCUCAAAACUCAGUCCAAGAUUAUGACUAGUAUUUUAACAUUGGUGCAAACAAUCAUGUGUCACACUAUAAUGAUAAGUUCCAAGAUCUGACUAAACAUCAUGGUAAGAAUUCUCUAGUAGUUGGAAAUGGUGAAAAAUUAAAGAUUGUUGGUACAAGUUCUUCAAAACUGAAUUCACUCAACUAACAUGAUGUUUAUGUGCCUAAUAUUACCAAAAACCUAUUGAGUAUGUCUAAGUUGGUUGUUGAUAAUAAUAUCUUUGUUGAAUUUGAUGCAAAUUCUUUCUUUGUGAAUGACAAACUGACUAUGAAGGCAAUUUUAAAAGGGACACUUAAGAAUGGUCUGUAUAAGCUCUCAGGAAUUAAACACGAACCAAAAGCUUAUGUAUCAAUGAAGGACAAGCUGACAAGGAAGGCAAUUUUAAAAGGGACACUUAAGAAUGGUCUGUAUCAACUCUCAGGAAUUCAAUAGGACCCAAGUGCUUAUGUAUAUGUUAAGAAGAACUAACAUAGGAAACUUGGCCAUCCAAAUUAUUAAGUCUUAGACAAAGUAUUGAAAGUUGUAAUGUGAAACUAUCACCUAAUGAUCAUUUUAGCUUUUGUGAGUCUUGUCAAUAUGGUAAGAUGAACCUUUUACCUUUUAAAUCAUCUUCAUCUCAUGCUCAAGAAAUCCUUGAGUUAGUUCAUACUAAUGUAUGGGGUCCUGCACCAAUAAUAUCAUCAUAUAGUUUUAGAUAUUAUGUUCAUUUCGUUGAUGAUUUCACUAGAUUUACAUGAAUUUAUCCUUUAAAAUACAAUUAAGAUAUUGCACAUGUCUUCAUUCAAUUCAAAAACAUGGUAGAAAAUCAGUUCAACAAGAGGAUUAAAACAAUUCAGUGAUGGUGAUGGUGAAUAUAAAGUUGUUUAGAAAUAUGUCAUAGAAACAUGAAUGCAAUUCAGAAUAUCAGCCCAUACACAUCAGAACAAAAUGGUAGGGCUGAAUGAAAACAUAGGCACAUUGCAGAACUUGGAUUGACACUAUUGGCACAAGCCAAAAUGCCUCUAAAUUACUGGUGGGAAGCAUUCUCCACUUCUGUAACGCACCGAAAAUCAUUUCAUAAUUACUAUAUUUAAUCUCUUGGAAAAAUGGGUAAUUUUUUUUUAUGUAACAUAUAACUUACAAAUCAUUAUUUUUCCAUUUUAUCAAUUCUCUUUUAAGACGUCAUAUUUUCAAACUUUUGCAGAAAUAAUUUCUUAACACUUAAAAUAUAAUUGAACGAAACACAAUUCUUUUAUGAAUACUUCUCAUUAAUCAAUUCUUGAAUUUGUAAUACGGACAUCAUGGUUUGCAAAAUACAAGGCUGAGUCUAUUCUUCACUCCUAACAUAGACUAAAAAUACAAAUAAAAAUAAAAUAAUGUCGAGGGCGUUGGCAUUAAAAAAGUACCCUACACAAGUUCACUAUCAAAAGAAAGAAAGGAGCUUCUAGACCAGUAGUGCACUAGAAACCUCACUCGGGUCUUCCUCAAUCUCCGAGUCUGAAGAGAUCUCUAUAACCUCCACCGAAUCCUUUAUGCAAAUUAACUCUACACAUUCAUCGUCCUCGUCCUCCACCACCUCAUCUGCUGCCCAAUCCAUCAAAGGGUCCGGGGUGUACCCCUUAGGCUCCGAUGAAGUAGCCAUGCCUGCCCCUUCCUUCCCUCUUAGCGUUGAAUCAGUAGAUGAGAAUCCCAAUUAGAGCUAGAUCCUGAAAACCUUCGAUCUGCCUCGUGCCUCAACUGGUGCGGAUGGACCAAUAGGUAUGGACCUUCACUCUGGUAUGGUGAAUGAUGCUUCCCGAACUGCGUAAUGUGCCGGGAGAUGCAACAUAGAGCCAUCACAUAUGAGAUCCAAUUCCAGACCGUAGGGACCAAUGUAGGUGUAUCUGUUUCCUUCAAUGUUCCAUGCCCACUCCUAGGACAUGGUAAAGCGGUAGCCCCUAAUAAUCGUCGAUCUGUCCAUCUAAACAUGGAUGUAUACGAGUACACCAGAAAGAAAAAAAGGGAGUAAAACAUCUAAUGAAAAAAUUAUCAUUGACAUCGUGGAAUUUCACAGAAUAUCACCCCAAGACAAAGAACAAGUACAAAUAUAUCAUACGAUCAUACACACAUGUAUUAAUGAUGAGUGCAGUAUAAAACUUAUAAUUUUAUGAUCAAUAUCGAUAAAUACCAUGAAUGCAUGCUAUGCAUAUGUCCACCAUCCUUAUACCAUUAUCCUCCCAAUAACUAUUCGGAAAUAACCGAGAGUACAAGUCCCAUAACAAGCCGAUUUGAUCGCAACAAAACUUAUUCAUCGCAAGGAUAUAUAUGAUCGAUUUGUUCCAAUGAAACUGUCCAUUUCAGGACGGUGUUGUAUCAAACACUUUCUGGUAGGGGUGGCAAUAUGGGCUUGGCCCGACGGGCUAGCCCGUUCGGAUGGCUAUUUUUAGCGGGCCGGGCUAGGGCUUUUAGCCCAAAAACCCAUAUUCAGCCCGUUUUAGUAGCCCGUUUUUUAGACGGGCCGGGCCGGGCCGGGCUGGCCUGACUGGCCCGACGGGCCAUUGUUAAAAAAUAAAAAAACUAAAGUGUGUGACACUGUGCUGUGCGUGGGGCGUGACAACUGGUUUCUUCUUUAGAAUUUACAAGUUUUAAGCUAAGAUGUUAUGUUGUUAUUGUAAUAUUGUAGACUUAUGUUUGUGAUUUUUUGUUUUAAAAUACAUCUAUCAAGUUUGUUGAUUAUUUUUUGUCUAAAAGUUUUAAUUAUGUACAUUUUGGAGGGGAAAACGGGCCAGCCCGUCGGCCUGCCAGCCCUGCAAAAUAUAGGUCGGGCUGGCAUUUUGAGCCCUUUUGACAAUACGGGCCAGGCCGGGCCAGCCCUUAUUUUGGCAGGCCAAAGGCGGGCUGGGCCGGGCCGGCCCACAUUUCCACCCCUACUUUCUGGGCAUCUCUCUUAUCGAUCCUGAUUGCAAAGAGGGGUUAUCAGAGAUCGUCUAGUUUGCACUGUGAGCACUGUCCUAUCCAACAGAAUAUCUCAUCCAAGAAUACACGGGACUCGUCUCAACUCUCCUUCAAGACUUUGCUGACGAAUCACCACCAUCACCAUCCCUCUCAACAUCUCGGGGCUCGUUCGUCUCCCUUAAAUUUUCUCUCCACUACUUCAUUAUUCAUAAUGAAUAUGCACACUAACCGAAGUUAUCAAAUUAAAUCUUUUAAUCUAUUUUUGUAUACCGAUCUGUCCAUCCUAAGACAUCUCCUAUCAGAAUGCUUCUAGUGGGACCCGAUCUUAACAUUUAAACCACAGAGAAUAAACCUCAGCACCACUAUGAACCAUCGCUGAAUCACCCUGGACGGCUCUUAAGCCAAGCCUCUUACAGUCAGACGAUCUCACUACAUGGGUAUAUAAUAUUUCUCAGCACCACUACGAACCAUUGCUGAAUCACCUUGAACGGCUCUCAAGCCAAGCCUCUUAUGGUCAGACGAUCUCGCUGUGUGGGCAUAAUAUAACACUUGCGGGCCUCAUCCUUAACCAUGCAAUUCUUUACAUACAUCACUUUAGAUAUGACAACUCUUCUUUGUAUCAUUUCCAAGUAUUUCAUAUAAUUAUUCAUCUUUACAACAUAUACUUAUUGAAAGAACAUUAUCUUUAAUAAAUAUGUUUUAGGUUUUAUUGAAUAUGAUUGGAAGUGAAUGAAUUCUUGAUGGCAAAAAUGCCAUUAGACUCUCGCACAUGUGAGAGUUACCGUUCAGACGACUUAAGAAGUCUUGUGUGUAUGGAGCCCUCUCGCUCAAGCGAGAGCUGUCUUGCUCAAACGAGGAAAUCACCAUUUUCAUAAGGCACAUGUGGCUCAAGCGACAGCUAUCUCGCUUAAGCAAGAAAACAACCAGUUUUCUUUGUGCAUAUUUCAGCUCAAGCGAGAGCUGGCUCGCCCAAGGGAGAAAACCCGUUUUAUCUGGACACUUCUCGCUCAAGCAAGAAAAACUUGAAACUUAGUUAAAUUUCUUUUCUCAAUGAAAAGUUUUCUCAUUUAUAACACAUGUUUUUAAGUCUUGAAUUUAACAAUUAUCUCAUACAUAUAAUUCUUAGAACAGUUAUUCGAACAAUAUUAAACAUGAAUAAUCAUACAUAAACAUAACCUAACAUAAUUCGGCAUGAGAAACACUGUUGUACUUAAUCCAAACAAAACAGACAAUUGAUUAAGUAUAAGCAUUCUUAAUACCCAAGACAACUCCAAACUUGUGAGGGAGUUUGGACGUCCUGAAGCAUAUUCGGACACCACUGUGUCACAAUGUUUUUUCCCUCACCUGAGUGUGUCGUGCAAAUUGUUUCCUCGAUUCCAGGUGAGCUUAAU